CCAACAACAUCGUUAUUCUCAGUAACAACAGUUUACCAUGUUGUUCUAUAUCUGUGUUAGAAAGAUUGAGACUUACUUGAUACCCAAAUAAAUAUGCUCUUGAAUACCAAAACCAAAGCAAUCAGUGUCGCUAAAGUUCCUUCUCAAAAGUUCGUAUUCUUUAACUUUCAGCCCACUGUCCAUGAGUUGCUGAUAUGAUCCUAGGUGAUCGACUCUGAAAAGAAAGGCAAUAGAGGCAGCGAUAUAAUGGCCAGAGUGUAUCGAUGAGGCGAUAUGGUGGUGGUGGUGACACGAUGAUGGCGCGAUGGCUGGUGUUUGUGGUUGUAGUGAUCGGAUCAGGGAUGAUGAUGGUGAGAUGAUCGAUUGAAGGUGUGGUGAUGAUGAGAUGAUAUCGAGUUUAAGAGAUAGAAGAAUCUAUUAUAAAUAGAUUAGUUUUUAAGAGAUUUGAAUUUCAGAGUUUUCUUAUACUCAGAAAUCAAAGAGAGAAGAACACGUUAAAAGUUGGCUAAAAAUUCUUCACUGAAUAACACUUAGGCGAUUUUGUCUCUUAAAUAGACAUAGAGAGAAAUCGCAGCCCUAAGAAACAAACUACAUGAAGUUUGAAAUAAAAACAACAAGAAGUUUGAUUAAAAAUAAAACUGCGAGGCGUCCCUUCUAAAUCCUAAGUGGUGCGCCUAAAAUACUAGUACACAAGUCAUUGUGACUUUGCACAUUAUUACCCAUUAGUAACAACUUCUAAGUAACUCGACGUAGCAAUGAUUUCUGCCUCGUUAAAAACCUUGGAGAAGAACCUCCUUCCUUCCAAAAUCCUUACCAAGGAAAAUAGUACAGAAUCAUCACCUAAGUUACCUAGUCAUUGUUACUGGGUUCUUCAUUCUUCAAGAUAGAGAUGUUGAAAAUGUGAGCUCCAGCCUCCAGUUGAUCGCUGUCCUCUGCUGCAAUGAGAGCUUGAGCCUCCUUAGCCAUCUCUCUAGCUCUGGAACGAGUUAUCCUGCCAGCUACCUCUGGUUCCUCCUCCUCUGAGCUUGUCACGAUCAUAUCAUCCUCUCCCUCUUGAAAAGGAUUUGUCCUCAAAUCUGAAUCUGCAACAUAAGGAAGCAAGUCAGAGUGAAAGCAUCAGAAACAUCAUACUUACCUUGAAGAUCAAUCUGAUAGGCGUUGUUGUUGAUUAUUUUGAUGACUAAUAAUGGUCCAUCAACUCUGGGCAUUAGCUUGUUUUUUCGUUCAGCUGGAAAUCGCUCCUUCCUCAGAUGGAUCCACACCAGAUCUCCUUCUUCGAAAAUCAGCUCCUUUCGUCCUUUGUUGGCAUGUUUCUCAUACUGCUUAGUCUUUUUCUCGAUGUUCUCCUUAGCCUUAGCAUGUAUUCUUCGGACCUGUUCAGCUUUCUCCUUGCCAUUCAAACUGCAAUUUCCACUUAAAGGCAAAGGGAUCAAGUCUAGAGGUGAUUGUGGAUUAAACCCAUAUACAAUUUCAAAAGGAGAAAAGAGAGUAGCGGAAUGCUUAGCGUGAUUGUAAGCAAACUCGACAUGAGGCAGACACUCUUCCCAUGUCUUGAGGUUACUUUUCACCAAAGUCCUUAGAAGUGUGGACAACGUUCUAUUCACCACCUCGGUCUGUCCAUCGGUCUGAGGAUGACACGUAGUUGAGAAUGAGAGCUUUGUUCCCAGCUUAGCCCAAAGCGUUCGCCAAAAGUGUCCUAAGAACUUUGUGUCUCGAUCUGAAACGAUAACCUGUGGCAUUCCAUGCAGUCUUACUACUUCCCUGAAAAACAAGUUAGCUACAUUCACAGCAUAAUCUGUCUUGUGGCUAGCGAUGAAGUGAGCCAUCUUGCUAAACCUGUCAACAACUACAAAAAUAGAAUCUCUACCAUUUCUGAUUCGAGGUAAGCCAACUACAAAAUCCAAGGUUGAGAAGGAAUAGGCAGAGGAGUAUACAAACCGUGAGGUUGAACUUUACUCUUGGCCAUCUUACAUACGACACAUCUAGAACAGAUUUUCUCAACGUCUUUCUUCAUGUUCUGCCAUUAAAAGUGCUCUUGUAGUCCAAGAAGUGUCUUUGUGACACCGAAAUGUCCAGCUAAUCCACCUCCAUGAGCUUCUCGUACCAGUAGCUCUUGGAUGGAUCCUCGUGGUAUGCACAAUCGGUUACUGAAGAACAAGUAUCCAUCCUGUCUAUAAAAUUUCUCACACGCAAACUUAUGACACUUGGCAUAGCUCUCAGAAAACUCAGUAUCAGAUUCAUAAAGAUCUAUAAUGUGCUAAAAUCCAAUCAACUUUGAUGUUAAAGUCGAAAUAAGAGUGUACCUCCGGGAUAAUGCGUCUGCGGCCACAUUAUCUUUACCUUUUUUGUACUUAACAAUGUAGGGGAAUGUCUCAAUGAACUCCAUCCAUCGCCCAUGUCUUUUGUUAAGUUUCUGCUGACCCUUGAGGUGCUUUAGAGACUCGUGAUCGGUAUGAAUGACGAAUUCCUUAGGCCAUAGGUAAUGCUGCCAUGUCUGGAGAGCUCGAACCAAUGCGUAUAACUCCUUAUCAUACGUGGGAUAAUUCAGCGUUGAUCCUCCUAACUUUUCGCUGAAGUAAGGGACGGGCUUCUUAUCCUGCAUAAGAACUGCUCCAAUACCUACACCAGAAGCAUCGCAUUCAAUCUCAAAAUUCUUAGUAAAAUCAGGAAGUACUAGUAAGGGCGAAUUGAUAAGCUUCUCUUUAAGGGCUGUAAAAGCCUGUUCUUGUGCCUCUCCCCACUUGAACCCCACGUCUUUCUUGAUUACUUCUGUUAAGGGCGCGGCUAUGGUGUUGCUGAAGUCACGAACAAAACGCCUGUAGAAUCCUGCUAAACCAUGCAAACUUCGGACUUCUCCAAUAUUCUUAGGGGUUGACCACUCCUUGAUAGCUUUUAUCUUCUCUUCAUCUACUUUAACUCCUCCUGCACUCACUACAAAGCCUAAGAAAACAAUUUUGUUAGUGCAGAAUGAACAUUUAGAUAAAUUAGCAAAGAGAGUUUAAGAGCGAAGAACAUCAAGAACCGAUCUGAUGUGAUCUAGAUGUUCUUCCAAACCUUUACUGUAGAUGAGGAUAUCGUCGAAAUAAACCACUACGAACUCGCCAAUGAAUGGUCUCAGGGCAUGGUUCAUAAAUCUCAUGAAGGUUCUGGGAGCAUUGGUGAGACCAAACGGCAUAACUAGCCACUCGUAGAGUCCUUGCUUUGUCUUGAAUGCCGUCUUCCAUUCGUCUCCUUCUUUCAUUCUGAUCUGAUGAUACCCACUCUUCAAGUCUAUCUUAGAGAAGAUUGUCGAUCCACAGAGCUCAUCCAGCAUAUCAUCUAGCCUUGGAAUCGGAUACCUAUACUUCACAGUGAUGUUGUUGAUAACUCGGCAGUCUACACACAUCCUCCAGGACCCAUCUUUCUUUGGCACUAACAGAACUGGAACCGCACAUGGACUCAAGUUUUCUCGGAUAUGUCCUUUGCUCAUCAGCCCUUCCACUUGCUUCUGCAGCUCCUUAGUCUCUACAGGAUUGGUUCGGUAAGCUGGCCUAUUAGGUAAUGCUGAUCCUGGUACCAAGUCAAUCUGAUGCUCUAUCCCGCGAAUUGGAGGUAGCCCUGGUGGAAUUUCUUCCGGAAAAACGUCCUUAUAUUCCUGAAAAAUCUCAAACAUAGCACUAGGAAGCUCCUGUGAAGGGUUAGUACUAACAAGGGAUUCCUUGUACACAAACAUGAAAGUAGUCAUUUCAGGAUCAAAGAGUUUAGAAAAUUCACUGUGGUUUAUGUAGAGGCUGUUGGCGACUUUCUCCUUCUCUUUGAGCUUCAUCUGAAUUUGAUUGGUAAAUCUCGGUAGGCGUGAGAGGUAGGAGGGUAAUUUUGCGACCUUUGAACUCGAAUGAGUGCUUGUUGGUAUAACCAUCGUGUAUCACCCUACGAUCGGAUUGCCACGGUCUGCCUAGCAACACAUGACUCGAACCCAUGGGAAUAACAUCACAUAUAAUCUCAUCUUCAUACUUCCCAAUAGAUAGAGAAACCAUAACUUGCUGAGAUACGGUCAAGGCUCCACUGUCAUUCAACCACUGAAGCUUAUACGGUCUUGGGUGACGAAUAGUCUUGAGCUGGAGCUUCUUAACCAUCUCUUUGCGUGCAGCAUUAGUAAAACUUCCUCCAUCUAUGAUCAGGCUACAAACUUUUUCUUUAAUGAAGCAUCUCGUAUGAAACAGGUUCUCUCGCUGACAGGUCUCUUCAGGUUGACUCUGAACACUCAAAGUCCUUCUGGCAACCAGCAUCUCGCCCACGACAGCAGCUUCUUCCUCUUCCUCUAGUUCAUAUUCGGCCUGGCAAUUUUUGAGAAGUCUUUGAUAAAUCUUCUGUAAAACCCUGCAUGCCCAAGGAAACUCCUUAUCCCUUUGACUGAAGCGGGGGUUUGCAGGUUCACCAUUACUUCACCUUUUGCUCUGUCAACCUCUAUGCCCUUCUCAGAUAUCUUGUGCCCAAGAACUAUUCCUUCCUGCACCAUGAAGUGGCACUUCGCCCAGUUCAACACCAAGUUGUGCUGCUCACAUCUCUCCAAGACCUGUGACAAAUUAGAGAGACAAUCCGAGAAGGAGGAGCCAUAGACACUAAAGUCAUCCAUGAACACUUCAACUUUCUCUUCAAUAAUGUCAGAGAAAAUGUGCAUCAUACAUCUUUGAAAUGUGGCAGGGGCAUUACACAGACCAAAAGGCAUUCGCCUGUAUGCAAAUGUGCCAUAAGGGCAUGCGAAUGUUGUUUUCUCUUGAUCCCGGGGAUCUAUGGGAAUUUGGAAGAACCCCGAGUACCCAUCGAGAAAACAAAAGAAGGGGUGGUUUGCAAGCCUCUCUAACAUCUGAUCAAUGAAAGGUAAAGGAAAAUGAUCCUUCCUAGAGGCUGCAUUGAGCUUUCUAUAGUCUAUACACAUUCUGUGUCCUGUGACAGUUCUAGUAGCUAUAAGCUAUUCUUCUCGUUUUUAACCACUGUGAUCCCACCCUUCUUGGGCACAACAUGAACAGGAGACACCCAUCUUGAGUCAGAGAUUGGGUAAAUUAUCCCUGCCUCAAGAAGUUUUAGUAUCUCCUUCUUAACCACUUCCUUAAGGUUGGGGUUAAGUCGUCGUUGAUGCUCAAUAGAGGACAUAGAUUGGUCCUCUAGGUGGAUCCUGUGGGUGCAAAUGUCAGGAGAGAUCCCUCUAAUAUCAGCCAAAGAAUACCCUAUGGCUCUCCUGAACUUUCUUAUCUCACUAAGCAAUGCACUCUCUUGAUCCUCUAAUAAGCUAUCAUUGAUGAUGACAGGAUAUGUGGAGUUUAAACCCAAGAAAGCAAACCUGAGCCCUGUUGGUAGAUGUUCUUCCAAACCUUUACUGUAGAUGAGGAUAUCGUCGAAAUAAACCACUACGAACUCGCCAAUGAAUGGUCUCAGGGCAUGGUUCAUUAAUCUCAUGAAGGUUCUGGGAGCAUUGGUGAGACCAAACGGCAUAACUAGCCACUCGUAGAGUCCUUGCUUUGUCUUGAAUGCCGUCUUCCAUUCGUCUCCUUCUUUCAUUCUGAUCUGAUGAUACCCACUCUUCAAGUCUAUCUUAGAGAAGAUUGUCGAUCCACAGAGCUCAUCCAGCAUAUCAUCUAGCCUUGGAAUCGGAUGCCUAUACUUCACAGUGAUGAUGUUGAUAGCUCGGCAGUCUACACACAUCCUCCAGGACCCAUCUUUCUUUGGCACUAACAGAACUGGAACCGCACAUGGACUCAAGUUUUCUCGGAUAUGUCCUUUGCUCAUCAGCUCUUCCACUUGCUUCUGCAGCUCCUUAGUCUCUACAGGAUUGGUUCGGUAAGCUGGCCUAUUAGGUAAUGCUGAUCCUGGUACCAAGUCAAUCUGAUGCUCUAUCCCGCGAAUUGGAGGUAGCCCUGGUGGAAUUUCUUCCGGAAAAACGUCCUUAUAUUCCUGAAAAAUCUCAAACAUAGCACUAGGAAGCUCCUGUGAAGGGUUAGUACUAACAAGGGAUUCCUUGUACACAAACAUGAAAGUAGUCAUUUCAGGAUCAAAGAGUUUAGAAAAUUCACUGUGGUUUAUGUAGAGGCUGUUGGCGACUUUCUCCUUCUCUUUGAGCUUCAUCUGAAUUUGAUUGGUAAAUCUCGGUAGGCGUGAGAGGUAGGAGGGUAAUUUUGCGACCUUUGAACUCGAAUGAGUGCUUGUUGGUAUAACCGUCGUGUAUCACCCUACGAUCUGAUUGCCACGGUCUGCCUAGCAACACAUGACUCGAACCCAUGGGAAUAACAUCACAUAUAAUCUCAUCUUCAUACUUCCCAAUAGAUAGAGAAACCAUAACUUGCUGAGAUACGGUCAAGGCUCCACUGUCAUUCAACCACUGAAGCUUAUACGGUCUUGGGUGACGAAUAGUCUUGAGCUGGAGCUUCUUAACCAUCUCUUUGCGUGCAGCAUUAGUAAAACUUCCUCCAUCUAUGAUCAGGCUACAAACUUUUUCUUUAAUGAAGCAUCUCGUAUGAAACAGGUUCUCUCGCUGACAAGUCUCUUCAGGUUGACUCUGAACACUCAAAGUCCUUCUGGCAACCAGCAUCUCGCCCACGACAGCAGCUUCUUCCUCUUCCUCUAAUUCAUAUUCGGCCUGGAAAUUUUUGAGAAGUCUUUGAUAAAUCUUCUGUAAAACCCUGCAUGCCCAAGGAAACUCCUUAUCCCUUUGACUGAAGCGGGGGUUUGCAGGUUCACCAUUACUUCACCUUUUGCUCUGUCAACCUCUAUGCCCUUCUCAGAUAUCUUGUGCCCAAGAACUAUUCCUUCCUGCACCAUGAAGUGGCACUUCGCCCAGUUCAACACCAAGUUGUGCUGCUCACAUCUCUCCAAGACCUGUGACAAAUUAGAGAGACAAUCCGAGAAGGAGGAGCCAUAGACACUAAAGUCAUCCAUGAACACUUCAACUUUCUCUUCAAUAAUGUCAGAGAAAAUGUGCAUCAUACAUCUUUGAAAUGUGGCAGGGGCAUUACACAGACCAAAAGGCAUUCGCCUGUAUGCAAAUGUGCCAUAAGGGCAUGCGAAUGUUGUUUUCUCUUGAUCCCGGGGAUCUAUGGGAAUUUGGAAGAACCCCGAGUACCCAUCGAGAAAACAAAAGAAGGGGUGGUUUGCAAGCCUCUCUAACAUCUGAUCAAUGAAAGGUAAAGGAAAAUGAUCCUUCCUAGAGGCUGCAUUGAGCUUUCUAUAGUCUAUACACAUUCUGUGUCCUGUGACAGUUCUAGUAGCUAUAAGCUAUUCUUCUCGUUUUUAACCACUGUGAUCCCACCCUUCUUGGGCACAACAUGAACAGGAGACACCCAUCUUGAGUCAGAGAUUGGGUAAAUUAUCCCUGCCUCAAGAAGUUUUAGUAUCUCCUUCUUAACCACUUCCUUAAGGUUGGGGUUAAGUCGUCGUUGAUGCUCAAUAGAGGACAUAGAUUGGUCCUCUAGGUGGAUCCUGUGGGUGCAAAUGUCAGGAGAGAUCCCUCUAAUAUCAGCCAAAGAAUACCCUAUGGCUCUCCUGAACUUUCUUAUCUCACUAAGCAAUGCACUCUCUUGAUCCUCUAAUAAGCUAUCAUUGAUGAUGACAGGAUAUGUGGAGUUUAAACCCAAGAAAGCAAACCUGAGCCCUGUUGGUAGAGGCUUGAGCUCAACAGGGGGUGCAUCAGCCUCAUUCCAAUCCUGGUCCAAUCUGCUUUGGCUGGUGACUGAUUCCUUGAUAGCAAAAACAUCAGAGCCACUUUGUUCCAGCUCCAAAAACCUUGUCUCAGGACCCAGCUCUCUUGCAUUGUCCAAAUACAGCUUAUACCCUUCACUUGCUUCAGCUAAGAGCCCAUUGUCUCCUUGUUCUUGAGUUAGAGCAGCUUGAAGAGGAUCCUCAGUGUUCAGCUCCUCAAGCAACUCAUCAGCCAACUGAUCCAUUGUCUCCACAUAGAAACAUUAACCUUCAAUGGUGGGUUUCUUCAUUAUCUCAUUCACAUCAAACUUGAGCUUUUCAGACCCAAGUUGAAGCUCUAUUAUCCCACCUCUCACAUCAAUAAUAGCUCCUGCAGUGGCUAAGAAUGGCCUGCCCAAGAUAAGAGGAUCUACUGGUUCCUCAUCCAUUUCCAGCACAACAAAAUCUGUUGGAACCUCAAAACCACCAAUCUUGACAGGUAGAUCUUCCAACAUACCAACAGGCAAUCUAACUGAUUUAUCUACAAGGAUAAGAGAAAUCCUUGCAGGUUUGAAGACUCUAAAGCCCAGCUUCUUUGCUAUGGAGAAUGGCAUCAAGCUGACUGAUGCUCCUAGAUCACAAAGACAUCCAGAGAAUAGAAGAGGUCCAAUGGCACAAGGGAGUGUGAAACUCCCUGGAUCAGUUAACUUCCUUGGAAUGGACUUCUUCUGAAUGAUAGCACUGCAUUCAUGACUCAGUACUACCAUGCCUUGAAGCUCUUUUGUCUUGUUCAGAAUGGCAUCCUUCAAGAACUUCCCCAUCUUUGGCAUCAUUAAGAAUGCAUCAAUGAGAGGCAUUGUGAGUGGUGUCUCCUUGAGUGCCUUCUCAAAUACAGCUCUUGCCUUAUCCACUAGUUGCUUCUUGAAUCUCCCUGGAAAUGGGAGCUUGGGUUGGUAUGGAGGUGGUGGCACAUAUACUUUUUCUGGUUCUGGUUCCUUUGCUACCUCUUUACCCUUUUCUGUCCUUGGUUUCUCAGCAACUUGAUCCUCUUUUAAGGCUGCCUCCCCCUCAGUUUGAUCAUUUUCCUCAAUAAUCACAUUGUUGUUCUCAAUACCAGGUAACUCCUUCCCACUCCGCAGUGUAAUGGCCUUGGCAUAUUCCUUGGGGUUGGGUUCUGGUUUUCCAGGUAGGUGACCUUGGUUCCUUGAGCUUGAUGCCUGGUUCUGCCUCAGUUCCUUGAUUUCCUGCUGCAUGGCUGCAUUCUGGCUUGCAAAGAUCUGUUGACCCUGAAGUAGUUGUUGCAGAAUACCAACCAUAUCUGUACCCAUCUGGGGCUGCUGUUGAACCGUUGGUGGCUGAUACUGUUGUUGAACAGGCGCUUGCUUUUGGAACUGUGGAGGACCAAACCCUGGUGGUGCCUUUUGCUGCUGUGAACUGAAACUAGGACCUUAAAAUGGUUGCUGUUGCUGACCAAAACCUUGAUUCUGAGCAAACUGAUUCUUUGGUUGAAAAGAUCCUUGAAAGUUGUUCUUGGGAACAAAGUUCUGUCGAGCUUGAGAAUUUGGAUAGACCUGGUCUUGUGGGUUAGCUACAUUGGUGUUCCUGUAAGAAAGGUUUGGAUUGGCAAUACCAUACUGAUAUCUCUGGAACUUCUGAUUCCCAAUGUAGUUAAGCUCCUCUUGGGUGAGACCCUCUUCACUUAUGUUCUCAAAGAUUUGAGAUGGUUCCUCAUACUCUCCAACAAAAUGCAUUGGCUUGUGAGUUACCAACUUCAACUUGUCUAAUUCACUUCUCAACUCCUUAACUUCUCUGGUGAGCCUCUGUUCUGAGCUUGAACCUUCAGACCUAUUUGAUCUGUCAUAGUCUUCACCAUAAGUAUCAUUGCUCAGUGCUAAGUUCUCCACUAGCUCUAAAGCAGCAUGUAUCUCUUUACCCAGAAAGUUCCCAUUGGAAGCAGUAUCCAGCUGGUUUCUAAUUUUGGGAAGGGCUCCUCUAUAAAAUGUGCUGAGAAGAGAAGCCUCACUAAACCCAUGGUGUGGGCAUUGGUUUGUGUAGCUCCUGAAUCUCUCAUAUGCUUCACCAAAACUCUCAUUGCUGUGCUGAGUGAAGCUAGAGAUUUGGUUCCUCAGUUUUGCAGUUCUUGAGGUGGAGAAGAACUUAGAUAAGAAGGCUUGCUUGCAUUGCUCCCAGGUUUGAAUGGAGCCUCUUGAAAGAUUCUUCUCCCAUUGAUGAGCUUUGUCACCAAGACUGAAUGGGAAUAGUCUUAGCUUGAAGCUGUCCUCAGAAACUCCACUUAUCUUUGUCAGAUCACACACCUUAUCAAACUGGUCCAAGUGUUCCAAGGGAUCUUCCAUUGCUAACCCAUGGAACUUUGAGUUUUGGACCAUAUUCAGCAAUGAUGCUUUCACUUCAAAGUUGUUGUUUUGCACAGGUGGUGCCUGAAUACCAGCUCCAUACUGAUGAGCAUUAGCCCUGUCAUUCUCUCCAACAUAGACUUGGGGUUGCUCAUAUCUUCUUUGCUGUUGUUGGAAAGGGUGGGGUUGGUGGUGCAUCUGUUGUCUUUGCUGAACAUUGGCCUGAUGCCUCUGUUGAUGANNNNNNNNNNNNNNNNNNNNNNNNNNNNNNNNNNNNNNNNNNNNNNNNNNNNNNNNNNNNNNNNNNNNNNNNNNNNNNNNNNNNNNNNNNNNNNNNNNNNNNNNNNNNNNNNNNNNNNNNNNNNNNNNNNNNNNNNNNNNNNNNNNNNNNNNNNNNNNNNNNNNNNNNNNNNNNNNNNNNNNNNNNNNNNNNNNNNNNNNNNNNNNNNNNNNNNNNNNNNNNNNNNNNNNNNNNNNNNNNNNNNNNNNNNNNNNNNNNNNNNNNNNNNNNNNNNNNNNNNNNNNNNNNNNNNNNNNNNNNNNNNNNNNNNNNNNNNNNNNNNNNNNNNNNNNNNNNNNNNNNNNNNNNNNNNNNNNNNNNNNNNNNNNNNNNNNNNNNNCUGUUCCUGAUGAACAAUUACCUGAUGAAAGCCCUGACCAACUCAUUAACCAGCUCCAUUUCCUUGAGCAUGUGCUCAUGAACUGGUAGUUCUAUAUCUACCACGUGAUCUCCUUGUUCUGCCAUCUCAGUCUGAUCAAAUUUGUCUACCACGUCUGUCCCUUCUCCUCCUUGGUACCAGAAGAUUGAUAUUGUCGUUGAGAGGGAAAGGUGGACCACAGCUUCUUGAUCUAGACCUGGUGUUCAUACACCUGAAAUCACAAACAGAACUUGAAAGUAAUCAGUUAAAACAAGAAAGUAAGCACUUGAUCUCAAGAACAGAUCAGAGCUUAAUGCUAAACAAACCACAAUUUGGCAACGGCGCCAAUUGAUAGACAGACUUUUUAAGGUCUCAGGGCUAUCAAUCCCCUUGUCAAAGUAGCACAAAGAGGUUUAUCAAUCCACGAAUGUGGUGAUAGACACUAAGGUAUGUAAUCAGGUUCUUAAUUCAAGCAAACAAGAGUGGUUUUGAUUAUCUAAAGACAACUACAAACUUAAACAGGAUUAAAGACUAAUGACAAUGACAAAUGAUAUGAAUAUGAUAUGAUGGAAGCAUGAGAUUCUAGACAUGAUAGUUGGUUAGGGUGCUUUGGUGCUAAACUAGAAAUGCUAAUGACAAUAAUGAGACAUGAUUCAAAUGAUUAAGAACUCUAAUCUAGGUUAAUCCUCUCAUGAAGGUAUUAACCCCUAUACUAAUCCAUUUUCAAACCAAAUUCCCAUUUGUGAAAUAUGAAUCAAUAUGCAUUAAUAGACAGUUCUUAAUGAUCAUUCAAGCAAUUAACAAUACAUCAUCAUGCAGAAAAUGCUUAAACCUCUAAUACAGCUCUUUCAGGAAUUUCAUCAAACACUUUUGGUGCAUGAAAUUCCCAGAAUCUAGAUCUCAAGGGAUAUGCAAGGAUCUAGCAUAGAGAACAGCUGUUUAGAGAGAUGAAUCAAUGAAUCUAGCCCUAAGCACUCCUAAUCUAACACUUUAGCACCCUAACCUACAUAUCUAGAACCUCAUUAAGGUGACUACUCACUAAUCAUACUAAUCUCUCUUAAACCUUUGCAAGUAGAGAAGAUCAGCAUGAUUAAUGAUGAGAAAUAGAGGUGGAGAUGAUAGAUUAAGAAGAAAGCAGCUUUAAAACUCAAUAAUCCCUUAGACUCUCUUGAUUAAAAGGCCAAAAAUCGAUAUUUCUUUUUCACAAAAGAGGCAAGAGGCAAAGGGAAUAAAGUUUUGUUCCCUCAAAAAAACCUUAAAAAGUACUUAUACCUCUCUAAAAACGAACCGGGUCAGCCCGGAACAAACUGGUUCCUGACCCGGCUUUAAUGGAUAAAGUGGAAUUACUGCGGGUUGGUCCAGUGUCUCCCAGGUAGCACGCCCAAGUCGCAGUAGAUGAAGAAUGCUGCUUGUGAGACUUAAAUCGCUUGUCUUAGCCGCACGCCCAAGUAGGAGUGUUUUACGAGUGUUGCUGCAGCUUGAUCUUCUUCUUCUUCAACUCGCAGGUCCAAGGCGGUUUCUGGGGAAUGUGCAUAUGUGCGGGUUGGUUUCCAUUGCACCUAGGUCGCAGGCUCAAGUCGGAGUGAUUUGCGAGUGAUCGUGCGGCUUAGUUCCAGCAAUCUUCUGAGCUCAUCGGCUCGGUCCAAAACAGCAGCGAGACAGGGGUUUCUUCCGACGAGCAUCACUCUCUGCUCACGCGUCUGAAUUCCAUGAUUCCACUUGCUACGAAACCGUGAUCCAAUCCUCUCCAACUUCUAUGAAUCCCCCGAAAUCUGAAUCGGACCGGAAGGUUCCCCGGACAGGCGAUUUCGGAAACAUGUCUGCACCCGGAGAUUUUGGCCGAGAGAUCCAAUAGCCGGUACGCGUUUUGGCCGACAAAGUCUACCCGCAGUACGUGAAAAUGGCCGAUAAAAUCCUUCCUGGUACGCGAGAAUGGCCGAGAAAAACCUUCCUGGUCAGCGAGAAUGGCCGAGAACCUCCUUAAACCCAAUUUUACCACUUUUCAAGCUUUGAUCACCAUUCCACUGUAUUCAUCUUUUCAGCUCCAAACACACCUGAUAAACACUCAAAACAUGCAAAGACUCAUUGGGACCUAAUGCAUCUCCUAAGUUCUAAAACAAACCCUAAGGACCUAAAAUGCAUGGAAUAAAACAUGGUUUAGAAUGAAUUAUGCAACCUAAAUGAUGCAAAUUAUGAACAUAUCACAAGGCUCCACUGUCAUUCAACCACUGAAGCUUAUACGGUCUUGGGUGAGGAAUAGUCUUGAGCUGGAGCUUCUUAACCAUCUCUUCGCUUGCAGCAUUAGUACACUUCCUCCAUCUAUGANNNNNNNNNNNNNNNNNNNNNNNNNNNNNNNNNNNNNNNNNNNNNNNNNNNNNNNNNNNNNNNNNNNNNNNNNNNNNNNNNNNNNNNNNNNNNNNNNNNNUUCCUCUUCCUCUAUUUCAUAUUCGGCCUCUGAGUCCUCUUGAGGAACUAUCUCUCAUCCCUCUUGUAACAAGAAAACCUUCUUGUUUGGACAAUCUCGAGAGUAAUGUCCCAUUCCUUGACAUUUGAAACACCUCACAUUGCUGAUAGAAGUACCACUUCUAGGUUUGAACUUAGCUUUAGCUUCUUCUUUAACUCCAGUAGAGGGUGGUUUGCUGAUCUCUUUAGGCUUAGGCACACUAGGCGUGAAUGUGGACUUGAUGAUUCGCCUCUUGACUUGAGAUUCCACCAAUUCAGCCUUAUGCACCAUCUCUUGUAUAUCUGCGAAAUCCUGAAGUUCCACCUUGUCUUGAAUUUCUCGGUUAAGUCCUCCAAGAAAACUCGACAUUACCAUCUCUUCUCCUUCUCGUAAAUCUGCACGAAUGAGCAAAGUUUCCAAUUCUUGAUAGUAAUCUCGAACAGACUUUGUACCUUGGACGAGGCGCCUAAGCUUGUUGAGUAUCUCGCGCUGAUGAUGGGCUGGAACAAACCUCUUCCUCAUCUGUAUAACAAGCUGAUCUCAAGUAGUAAUUGGAAGUUCCCUCAGGCGAUUUCUGGUGACUCCCAACUGCUCCCACCAUAGAAGCACAUACCCAUGAAAUUCCGAAACUGCGAUCUUCACCUUGUUGAGCUCAUAAGUUCCUUGGACCAGAAAAUUAGACUCCAUCUUCCUUUCCCAAUCGAGAUAAGCUUCGGGAUCAUUAGUUCCAUGGAAAGGAGGAUACUGGAUUUUGAUGUGACGCAGCUGCUGACGUAGAGGAUCAUAAUCUCGACCAUGUCCUCGGCCUUGAUCUCGUCUCACAGUUUCUCUGCUAUGAUCAGAAGCUUCGUCCUCCUCAUAGUAUUCUGGGUCUGAUUCCAGGGUAACUCAGUGCCCAGCAAUAUAUUCCUCUCUGCGAUGCUGACGAUCUACCCUUAAGCCAUCUCGAUCUGCACCAGUAGGGUUCCUCCUCGGAUUAAACGUAGUCUCUCUGCCCCCAAUUUGGCUUCGGCUAGACUUAGCUUUAGUCCUGGCUUCGGAAGGUGUUGGGUGGCGUGGGAGUUUCCGGGAAGAUCCUAUAUGCCUUUUACCCUUAGCUAAGCGCAUUGCUUCCGACGGAGUUGGAGUUUGUGACGACUCUUCUCCACUUGCACUAAGAUAUUUGAGCAGGUCAUUCAUCUUUGUCUCGAACUUGUGAUUGAGUUGUUCGAUUUGUUGCGUGAGCUGAGUUGCUAUGGCUUGAUUCGCUUCUUUAAUCUGUUGGGACAUUGCUCAGUUCAGAGCCUGAAAAAAAUUUAAAAGAACUCGCAGUACUUGUUCUAGACGGAAUCACAAAGACAUAAACAUGAUCGAACCAAACUUAACAUAAAAAAAGAACGAAAUUCACGAAAUCUGAAAACAAAUUUAACGAACUUAACGAAUUUUUUUUUUUUUUUUUUUUUUUUUUUUACGAAAAAUUCACGAAAAUUAACGAAAAAUUUACGAAACAAAGAUUUCCUAACAAGCCUAAACGAGAAAACGAUGAACAACGAAACCUAGCUAAAUCGAAAACUAGUUACGAGAUCACGAAACCCUAUCAAACCUAACGAAAUCGCGCAGACUCUUAACAAACCCUAACGAGCGACUACACGAAGACUCUUAUCGACCAGAACGAAAACAAUAGAUGAGGACUCGAAAAAAAAAUCAGUCUCGAAAUCAAUAACGACGAGUUAUGAACCCUAACGAAAUCGGACACCUAAAAACGAUUCUCAGACUCGAAACUAAACAAACCUGACUUGACACGAAAUAAACUUGAGACGAUCACGAUCUAACAGGAACCCUAACAGCGAUCGAUCCGAAACCCAAAACAAGAGAGAACGAUGCGAUGAUAUGAAACAAAAGGAAUCAAAUCGAUGCACACAGUCACAGAACUCGCUAACCCUAAUAACACAGAGAUGAAAAUUCAAAGUACAGAGACUAGGGUUAGAGUUUCGCUCAGCCUUUGGUUCAGAGUUGGCUCUGAUACCAUGUGAUAUGAUCCUAGGUGAUCGACUCUGAAAAGAAAGGCAAUAGAGGCAGCGAUAUAAUGGCCAGAGUGUAUCGAUGAGGCGAUAUGGUGGUGGUGGUGACACGAUGAUGGCGCGAUGGCUGGUGUUUGUGGUUGUAGUGAUCGGAUCGAGGAUGAUGAUGGUGAGAUGAUCGAUUGAAGGUGUGGUGAUGAUGAGAUGAUAUCGAGUUUAAGAGAUAGAAGAUUCUCUUGUAAACAGAUUAGUUUUUAAGAGAUUCGAAUUUCAGAGUUUUCUUAUACUCAGAAAUCAAAGAGAGAAGAACACGUUAAAAGUUGGCUAAAAAUUCUUCACUGAAUAACACUUAGGCGAUUUUCUCUCUUAAAUAGACUUAGAGAGAAAUCGCAGCCCUAAGAAACAAACUACAUGAAGUUUGAAAUAAAAACAACAAGAAGUUUGAUUAAAAAUAAAACAGCGAGGCGUCCCUUCUAAAUCCUAAGUGGUGCGCCUAAAAUACUAGUGCACAAGUCAUUGUGACUUUGCACAUUAUUACCCAUUAGUAACAACUUCUAAGUAACUCGACGUAGCAAUGAUUUCUGCCUCGUUAAAAACCUUGGAGAAUAACCUCCUUCCUUCCAAAAUCCUCACCAAGGAAAAGAGUACAGCAUCAUCACCUAAUUUACCUAGUCAUUGUUACUGGGUUCUUCAUUCUUCAAGAUAGAGAUGUUGAAGAUGUGAGCUCCAGCCUCCAGUUGAUCGCUGUCCUAUGCUGCAAUGAGAGCGUGAGCCUCCUUAGCCAUCUCUCUAGCUCUGGAACGAGUGAUCCUGCCAGCUACCUCUGGUUCCUCCUCCUCUGAGCUUGUCACGAUGAUAUCAACUGCAUUGCCUUGUGUCCCCUGACAGUCACGUAGCACGCAAUCUUCUCGUUAUGUCCGAUACCAAAAGAACGAACAGUGUACUGUGCUGCAAACGGACACAUGCGUUUAGAUUAUAUCAGAAAAAAAGUUUUAGUAAUAUACAUUUGGCGGCAAUCCGCUGAUAAAUAUUAGAUCCAGCUGAGGCAUCUUCGGAACAGAAUACAAACUGAAAAGAAACUGCAGAACCAUAGAGGCUUCGUCCCUUUCUCUGAUAAGAUCCACAUGAUCAAGUAUCAGGUAUACCAUCUUCACCAUGGGUUUUUCAUCCUGCUUAUUCAAUCAUGAGAUUCUGGAAGCAAACUCUAGCGUUUCUAUCACAUCACUAAGGGCUUGUCGAAGCAAGUUGACAAAAUCAGAUGUGAGUGAUACCAUCUCUCAAUGUGAUACAACUGAGCAUUAAAACUCAAAACAAGAGGUUUGCACAAGUGAAGAGAUGAAACUGAAAGAAUAAAAUGCUAUAACCACAUGUGCUAAAGUUACAAAGCAAAUCAAUGUGAACCAUCUUUCUCCAAGUUGCAGUCAGUUAUAUUUUUUUUCUCAGAGGCAUUAACGAGCGAAAGGAAAAAGAAGAGACUAUGGAGAGGAAGCCAUUCCAAAUCAAACACAGAAAGAAGAUAUACCUAUAUCAGAGAGAGACCAGUAAAACCUAGCAGAAACAUGAAUUUAAGUCUUGUACGAUUUAAGAAACUCUUGCACACACAUAAGACACUGUCAAAUUCAGAUAUGUUCUUUACUUUUCACUGAAAGAUUACAGAUGUCUGAUUGAAACCGACACUUGGAGACAAGACAAUGAAACAGAUCGAGCAUUAGACUUAUCAAGAAAAAACCCUUCGUAUAUAACAAACACGGGUCUCUCUUUACAUCUUUAUUAUAUGUUCGUGACCCAAAACAUAAUAAUAACUCUGUACCUAUAUUGAGCAAAGGAAUCGCAACCCUUAAUCAAUCAGAAGAAGUAAACAACAGAAGAUUGAGAAAACCAAAAAAAAAAAAAUUCAGUGUUUUUGAUAGAAGAAGCAAACCUGGAAGCGAGCAAUUAAGGAGAUGGGAUUGAAGAAGAUAGCAGUGAAUCAAUCAAUCAAUCACAAAUUGAGAAAUACGAAGCCAAAAAGUGAAGAUCUUUCCGAGAAGGAAAAUUGGUCGAAGGAAGAAUAAUUUCCGAGAAGAAAAAUGGUCGAAAACAGAAUAAAAUUGGUCGAGGAAAAUGCAUACUAAUUGAGUCAUCUUAUUAAUUUAUCACUUCUUGACAUGAGUGGACAAAGAUUCAAACUUGGCGUUUAGAUCAUUGUACAUACAAUCAACCUUAACGUUGAUAUCCUUGGUCAUGACAAGCUGUUGGAUCGAUUGCUCGAGUCUUCCAAUUUGAGAAGCAAGUUGGUUCGUGGUCAAUCCUUGCUGCUGUCAGUAUUGGUUGACAACAGUAGUUGUAAGGGUGUCGAGGUCGUAGUUUCUGAUUUGAAACUUGUUUUGGAAUGGUCUUUGUUGCUGCGGGUAUUGCUGAUCUUGGGGGUUCUCCACGUUCUGGAUACGGUAAGUGAUGUUGAUGAAGUGGGAAACUACGACCUUGGAAGUCUUCAGUAAAGUUGAAGGCCAGAGACUCACGGUUCCAAUGCAGUUGGUCUCGUACCGUUUGGAGCCCUAAAUUGGAAGUUACAGCUGUCGCCGUGAUUUCAUGGCGAUAAUCAUGAACUUAACAAUCUCGUGGCGAAAAUCAUGCGCCUCAUAAAUCGUUCAGAGUGGAGCCCUUCCCAAUCAAUGUGGAGGGACAUUGCAGCUAUCCUUUGCAUUUGUAGCUGAAGUAGGCCCACUAAUUGGCUAUGAUGGUCUCCUGAGAAGUGGUAGGUUUAUAAGUCCUUGUGCCGUAGGAGUUGGAAUUACACAAUUUGGAUCUCUGGUUGGAAAGAUAUAGUCCUCGCCCUCUUACAUAUCCGUCUGGCGCGCCUAAAGUCCUCGCCCUUUAACAUAUCCAUCCUUUCCAAACUCUCUCCACUUCCGCAGAGACAUACUUCUGCAAGUGCACAGCAGUGCGUAGUAGUAAUUACGGUAUCAAUCCACAUGGAGGCAAGACUUCUUCUGCAAAACUGUAUGAAAGAGUAAUGGUAUGGAAGUAUAGAACUAAACAUUUUUAAAGGGGUUUUGGGUGUCAUAAAAAAGUAAAUCUAAAACUAAGCAGGAAAAGUAAAAUUUAUUUUUAAAAUUGGUGUAGACUAAUGAAAAAUGGACGUUGGUCGUUCGGGAUUUCUCAUGGGUAUGUAGAUUUAAACUGAUAGUAGGAUUUUAGCCUACUAAGGUCAAUUAACCUCUUGUGUUGUAGCAUUUGAGGGUCAAUCCAAAUGGAGAGAUUCUAGACACCAAGACUAUGAGGAUCAAUUCUUAGUCCUAACAAGUGAAUGAUUGGUAACCAAGAUGAUCUAAAAACAUAAAACAAAUCAAGCAAGAAGCAAUAAUUAACAAUAAGCAAACAAGAGAAAUUCAAGACUCAAAUUCAAGUAAAGAGAAAGCUAAAUCUCUAGAUGUGAUCAUUGAUAAGGGUGCUUUAAAUGUGAAUUCCUUAUGCUAAGAAAACAAUGCAAAACUUGCAAUUCUUUAGUCUAGACUUCAAAAGCAGAUUAAUUCAUUCCCAAGACAAAAAUCCCUUUGCAAAUUACUUAAUCAAGACUAGUUCCCAUUAGUAAAUAAGCAAUUAACAAGCAUAAGGUUCCAAGUCUAAAGUGACCAAACAGCCUCUUUGUGCAUCAACAUAAAAGCUAAGAAAGACUGAAUAUUGUACAGAAAGAUAAAGCAAGAAUCACAUGAUGUGAAAUUCCAAUCAACAUAGAACUCAAAGCAAGACCAUUUCUUUCCCAAGACAAUGAUCACUAUACUAAUCAGCAUUCAAACCUAACUCUCAUUGGUGGUAAUGAUGAUCAAUAUGCAUUAAUAAAUAGUUCUAAUAUGUCAUUUAUGCUUCAAACAAACAUCCUCAUGGCAUUUAAAACAUAAACCCUUAACUUAGCUCAUUCAGCCUAAGUUCUAGACUACAGUGAUUAUCAAAGAUCUAGCAUUAAGUGCCCAAACAUCAUAAUUCAAACCAAAACUAGCACCGGGGUGCAUUAUCUCGGUGUGGUCCUCGCUGUGGGUCUCAAUGUAGCAAAAUCCUCAAGGUAUGUCCAACACCGAGGUCAGUCUUCCCGGUGUUCAUCUCGGUGCCUGGAACCUCUCUGUACUUAACCCAUUUUAACUCUCUGAUCAGUACUCCAAAUGAUAACUCAACCAGCUCAAAGUUUGGUGAAGACCCUGAUUGCAUCCGGGGAAGGGAAGGUCUCCCGGACGGCUGAUCUUUGAAUGGACCGGAAUGCUCCAGAAAAGGCUUCUGAAUAAGUGUUCACUCUAGAAAGGUUAUCUCCCAGCUCAGAGCUCUAUAUCGUGUGAUCUCAAGCGUUCUGUAAAGAAGACUCAAGCUUUUGAAUAUUGGUGAAGGGCCCGGAAAAUUAAUCGGAGAGGAAGAGCAUCGUCCUGCAUAAUCUCUUAAGCACAUUGAAUCGGUCUGGAAUGCAAACGAGACAGGUGUGCCUUCUGUUGGCCAUAACUCUCAGCUUACUGAUCCGAAUCCACUAACUCCAACUGUUCUGGAACCACGACUCAAUCCUCUCCAACUUUGAUGAAGACUGUGGAAGCUGAAUCGGACGACAAGGUUUCCCGGACAGGCAACUUUAGAGAUGUAUGGGCACAACAGGUUUUAGCCGAGAAACUUAAGCAUCCGGUACGUGUUUUAGCCGAAAAAUCCUGCCCACGGGAUGGAUUUUAGGCGAGAAACAUCAUCAUGUGGUACAGUGUUUUGCCGAUGAACUAAAAUGGCUCUUUCACCAUUUGUGAUCCUUUCUCCACCAUUUUAACACCUGGUCUCAUCUCUCCACUCCAAAUAAGCUCCAAAAUAAAUCUGUUUAACACUCCAAACCAUGCAGAACUCUCUUGGACCUAAUGCAAGCUCCUAAGUUAUAAAUCAAUGCUUAAAGACCCAAAAUUUAUGCAAAUGAGACAUAAUUUGGAUUUAAAUAUGUACACUAAAUGAUGCAUUUUAUACAUAUAUCAACUCCCCCACACUUAUCCUUUGCUUGUCUUCAAGCAAAAAUAACAAAUGAGAGAAAUAGGUUGAAGCUUGGGAGUUCACAUUUCUUAAAGAGAGAGAGUAAUCAUCAAAGAGUUCAAAUCAUGUCCUAGUUACUAAUUCUAAAUUGCAAUGAAAACUGGUGUACUCAUAAAAACUAGCCAUGUCAUCACCAAGUGAACCAAACUCAAGAAUCCUAACUCCAGCCCUUUGACAUUCAUUUAAGUAUCAUGUAGAUCAUGCUCAUGCAAAUCAUGUGAAGUCAUUUGGCUAAGGGAUGAGGUUAUGACACAAAUAUGAUCUCAUUCAAUGCUUAUAGGUUCAAUGCAGCUCAAGGGAUCACUCAAGAAGGAAUAAACUUUAACAGAAGGCUAAGGGUAAAAGGAAACUGAUGCAUACAAGAGUAGAAUCCCAUCUACCCAAUGCCCUAAGUUGGUCUUUCACCUUAACUCUAAACCCAUGAAGAACACACCUAAGCUACCCUUCUCCCAAGGCAUUCAUUGCCUUCUCAAGCCACUUCUCACUUCACUCUCAAUCUUUUCCUCAUCAGGGGAUUCAUCUUUUCAUUCUCAAACUCAGGCUUAAGGGUCUAAACCUUUCACUUAGUUCCUUCUCACAUAACAUUGCUUGGCCUCUUUCCUUUUCGCUUUAAACACUUGAGCCUUUUUGGCUUCUUUUCUUUUCUUUUUACUUAGAGGCUAGACUUUUCUUUUCAAAACACAAGAGCUUUCUUUCUUUAAUCAUCAUACCCCAAACCAAUUUCUUUUCAUUUCCAUCCCCUGGUUCUCAUCUCAAUCUCUCUCUUUUCCACUCAGUGUUUCCCAAGAUCCCUUUCUAGCCUACUCUAGACUCAUGAUGCAGAGUGAUAACACCGUAUUUUGACCACUUUUAUGGAUCAUUUUGAAAUGCUUUUUUUUAUGUUUUUAAUUGCUUUUAAGUACUUUAUUACGUUUUUUCUAGUAUUUGUAGUUCCAAGACUCUUUUCAGGUAACUUAGGGAAAAGCUUAACAAAAUGGAUAGAAAACCAGAUUUCAGCUCAGAGUCAAACCGUCAGAAGUUCACCCUUGAUUGAAGGCCUUCUCACCGUCUGAUCCAGCUAAAAUUUGGAGACCUUAAAGAUGGAAGUAUCAGAUUUCCAGUGCACUUUACAGCUUGGCAAUCCAACGGUUCAAUCAAAAGAUACGCGAAGAGCAAGAUGUCCCGUAAACCAGCUGGCAAGAACUUCCACCCGCGGCCAGCAAGCAAUUUCCCGCGGUCAGAAGCAUCCCGACCGUGGCAAACCACUCAUUCCCCACGGUCAGAGCACUCCCGACCGCGGCCAUCAACCUCCGAGCCCAAAAAGCCCAUUUCUGAAGCCCACAUUUGGAGAAACCCUAAGUGACGUCCAGAGAGGUCUUGAGCACUAUAAAUACAUGUCUUAGGAACCCUAAACGAAAGAAUAUCGAACAACCUCAUAUCAUCUAUCAUUACUUCAUACUUUUAUUGUUUUUACUUUAGCUUUUAGGGAGAGAGAGAUUUGUUCUCUUGAACCCUUGUUCUUUCUUUUUCAAUUUUGGUUUCUAUUAUACUUAUUAAUACUAUGUUUUUGAUUUCGUUCAUCAUGUCUGAGUAGAUUGAUUGUCGGGAUUAAGAGAUUUUCGAUGGGGAUUAUUUGUUCGAUGAGGAUUCCAUGAGCUUUUGAGCCGAAUCUUAGAACUUUUUCUUCUGAAAUCGUUUUUACUGCAUGAGAGUAGCGUCAUGAACUACAAUCUGAUCCAGAUGCUUGGUGACACGAAAGUGUUCAUCAGGUAUCAGAUCUAGUUUAAGAGAGCAAAACAAACAUAGGAGUAGAAACCUACCUAUGGGCGAUUUAUGAAUUAGGACGAGUCUUAAACAUAAUGCAUCUUUUCUUUUCCAGGGCCAGAGUGGAAACCUACUGGUUAGGGUUGAGAGAGAUAGUUGUCUAUGAUCACGACAGUGGCGUAUUCAUAGUCCGUGACUCCAGUUCGAAAAGUUUAAGCUAAGAUCUUAUCAAAUUUACUCUCUAUCAAUGUUUUGAAUCGUUCGUACCCCUAAGAAAACUUCCCUGAAGCCCAACGUUCUUUCCCAUUGAUUUAAAACGAUUUUCUUUCAAGCUUUAGUUCAAUAUUGUCUUUCCUUUUUAGUUCAUUUUCAUUUAAGCAAUUAGAAUAUCCGUUUUACUCGUUUUAAUUCAUUUUCGUUAAGUUUAGUUAUUACGUCAUUUAAUUCUCGUAUUCUCUUUUAAUAUUUCGUUUUUACAUUUUAAACAAACUACCAAACCCCCACAAAACCUUUUUGGUUCUAUACUUCCUUACUUUAUACUUAUUUCAAAGGCUUUUUGCAGGAAAAGAUCAUCCUUCCCUGUGGAUUCGAUCCCUAAGUACUACAAUCGAUCGGCUGUGCACUUGCGGCUAUUGAUUUCAUUUAGGGUAAAACUUGACAACCCUCACGACACCACCACAAUCAAGUUUUUGGCACCGUUGCCGGGGAAGGCACGCGUUUUCUUUUCUGCAAAACCCCGAGAAAGGUUAGUAAAUCGACUCUAGAACCCCCUUUUCUGCAAUUUUCCAUUUUUCGCUUAUUUUGUUUCCAUUUCAGAAGAUAUGGAUCCUAUAAAUCGAAAUAUACACUAUGAGGAAGGUUUCUAUAACACUCCUCAUGCCACCAGACGCAGAGAGAAGCAAUUUCUACGCUCAGAGAAGUUCAAACCGAAGACUACAGAACCUUCCAGAAGGAGCCCUACGCACCUCAAAUGGCAAACCCUAUAUACUCUAUGUAUCGCCUACCUCACCAAGUUCUCCAGCAAGAUGAGAACGUCCAGCUCAGCAACAGACUGAGUUUGCUCAAGCAACCACUACAAUUGCUCUAAACGAAAGGAUUGAUGGGAUAUCGAAACUUUUCAAUGAAAAAAUCAAUAACCUAGCCUCACAAGUCAAUUCAAUUGAAGAACGUGCAACCAAGGACGCAGCUAUGAUUGCCAACAGGUUCAACAGCAUGGAGGAAGAGCAAGCAAAGCACAACUAUGAGCUUCGCAACACCAAAAACAAAGUCAUGGAACUGGAUUUCAAACUUGAUGACGUGGACAAAGCCCUAAACGAAGCUAAGAACGAGUCUUAUGACUUUACGGUCGAAGUUUCAGAGAAGGUGUACAAAGUCAUCGACAAAACCGAAGAGCUUGACUUAACCAUGGACAAAGUAGUCUAUGCUCUUGAUGAAAUUGAAGAAAAGGUUGAGGAGAUCAUGCAAGGACUUGGAGAUCAGAUUCCAGCAACCAAAACUAAAGACUCAAGUCCAGAGAGGAAGUACAUCAAGCCAGAAGACCCAGGAGACCAUCUAGGAAGCAAAGGAGGAAGCAACAGCAGCAGAGCAACUCGGAGGCAAAUCCCCGCGGUCGCGUUAGCUCCGACCGCGGCCAACAAGCGCUCCCCUGCAGUCAUGUUGGGUCUACCCGCGGCCGAUGGUCGCUUCCCCGCGGUCGCGUCACCUGCAGUCAUGGCCAAUCGGAAAAACGUUCAAAACAGUCCCGUUCAGCUCAUACAAGCAUCUGUGGAUCUGGUACACCUCCUGGGAUAACUAAACCACUCCAUCAACAACUGGUUUGCUCCAUAAGCACCCAAAGAUCUGAAGAAGAGGACAAGUCAUGGCCUUGCAACAUGGCUUUGUCUUGUGAAGAUGAGUAUGAAGAGCAAUACUCUGAAGAUGAAGAGUAUGGGUUGUUUGUAGAAGAUCCAAACGCAGGAUAUUCCUUAGAAGACGACUCAGGAGAAAUUCAAUGGAUCACCAACAACAUCAGUAGAGAGAAGCUAAUGGAGUUCAACAACGUAGUCAGGUCAUUCCCUGCUCAUUUAAGCUUUGAUGAAAUCUGGAAACUUGGUCGUUUGCAAGUCUUUUUCAGGUACUGCAAGGAGUCUAAAGAGGAUAUCCAUAGAUUCUUUAUGAGAGCUCGAUACAUGACAACACCAGAAGCAGCUGUCUAUGCGAUUCACCUCAAAAAUCCGGAAGACUGCAGCCACUACACCAACAAAAUCAGCAAAGAAAAGAUCGAUGAAUUUAAUGAUGUGGUUCGAAAUUUGCUUGAAGGAAUCACGUUCUAUUAGAGGAGAAAUAUUUAAAAACGUGCUAUGUGAUUCUGGAGCUUGUCUUAACAUGAUGUCCAAGGCAAUUGCUUUGAGACUUGGCAUUAAACACCUGAGCAGGACUAGAGCAAAGAUUAGCCUAACUGAUGAUUCAAAUGCAACACCUCAAGGAAUAGCUCAUGAAAUUCCUUUGAGAAUAGGAAAUUGCAUAGUGCCUGUCGAAUUCUACAUUGUCGAAACGAGAGAUGCAACAUAUCCAGUGAUUCUGGGAUGGUCUUUUCUAGCAACUUCCGGAGCUAUAAUUGACUGGCCAAACCGGAGGAUUUCAUUUGCUAAUAUUGACAAAGAUGUCUUCACAGAAGCUGUUCCAUACAACAGCAAAGCAGGAAAACGUACUGCAACAGAAGAGUUUGAAGAAGAACUUUGGAGUCACGAAGAACCUGCUAGGCAAAGCAACGAGAUGUCGAAAAAGACUUGUCUCAGGACAAGGUCUUCUUCAUUGGAAUAAGUCACGUCCAAUACCAAAAGUCGAGCUAAACGACUUAAAACAAAAGCGCUUAAUGGGAGGCAACCCAUUUAGGUAUUGUUUUCUUUGGAAUUUUUCUUUCUUUUUCUUUUGAUUUUUUUCUUUUACUUAGUUUCAGGUGUUUCUUAUAAAACAAAAAAGCCAAAAAAAUCAAAAAACCAGAAAAAACCAAAAAGAAGGAUGGUACCUGACUGCUCGGCCCAGCAGGAACCAAGGAGAAGCAGGAAGAGGCCUCGAUAUAAGCCCCCGCGGUCGCAGGUGUUUGGACCGCGGGAAACACAUGUUCGACCGCGGUCGCGUGAUCCUGAUCGCGGCCAAGCACUUGGUUGCCGCGGUCGUAUGGCCCCUGACUGCGGCACUUGGUCGUUGACACCAAACCCGACCCAAACCACCACUUUCUCCUCAUUUCACCUCACCAAUCACCCUCCACCUCAUUCAUCACUUUCCACCACCUUCAUCACCACCUAUCACCUUCCCAAACCCCUUCGAAUGAAUCCGGUUCAUCUCCACCAGCAUCCCGGAUCAAGGUAAGUUCUCUUUGUCCUUACCAAUUCGAUUAUCUAUGCAUUUUUCUCAUCCAAUCUCGACUUGUUUCACACUGAGGACAGUGUGAUUUAAGUCUGGGGGAGGAUUUCAUCCCUUUCUAACAACUUUUCUUUCAUGAGUCUUGCAUUAUCUACACUUUUUGCAUUUUCCUUAAAGUUUUUCAAAAUCGGUUUUCAAAACAAAAUACGUUUUAAAGGGAAUGGUGAACAUGAAUCAAUGAUAGUUGACUCUGUGAUUUUAGACUGUUCCUAGUGACAUGCUCAUUCAUCAUUUAUGACUAGACUAGGCGGUAGCUAAGCACAUUUGAAACGAAGUACCCUAGAGGAAUUUGAAUGAUUUCGAUUUAGAUGAAGGGAUACACUAGCUCUGUUUUAUUUGGACUUAAUUUGGACUUAAUUUUCUCAUUGAAGCAUUAGACCAGGGAAACGAAUCAUACAUUCAAGACUCCUUUAUCAUUUUACCACUCUCUGUUGAUCCUGAAUGGCUAGUUCAUAUUUAGCUAGUUCCCCACCUUAUCCAAUCCUCUUUCAAACCACAUACACUCUUGUUUUCUAUUGUAUUAUAUGCAGAUAAGUGCCAAAACGUUGGAGAGAAAGAGGAACGACACAGUUUUCAGUCACUAAGGACAGAGACCUGCGAUUUGCCGGAAAAGUUCCCGGAAGGAUUCAACACAAGAGGAAACUCAGUUUGCCUUAGAAAAAUCUCAAAUUUUGGUACAAUCACGUCCUCUAGUCUCUCUCUCUUUAAAAGGCAUUUCCUAUUCGAAAAAAAAAAAAAAAUCCGAAAAUAAGAAAAGAAAGGAGAUAAAAGCCUUAGAGAGUCUAGAGAGGUCGAAUUUUAACUCCCAAGGCAACAAGAGUUUGAUUUUAUGGAGUUUUGGAGAUUGUUUUCUGAUUCCCGGAAAGAAUCUAAGUCUGGGGGAAUAGCUGUUUACAACAAAGGAGGAAGGAUUAUGCAACAACAUUUGGCAAGAAGAAGUGACUGAAAAAUGUGGUCAUCAACAGGUCCUUAUUUCUCUUGCGGUUUUGUAUAUUAUCUUGCAUCCUCCAGAUCUUCAGGUAACCCGAAACACUUUAACUCCACCACUUAAACAGCCCUUUAAUGCCAAACGCCGUCUACCCUGGAUGAUGUCUUUAAUGAGAACUCACUAUUGAACUUAACGAAUGUAGAGAACUAGUUGACUAGAGUCCAGAGAGGUCUUGAGCACUAUAAAUACAUGUCUUAGGAACCCUAAACGAAAGAAUAUCGAACAACCUCAUAUCAUCUAUCAUUACUUCAUACUUUUAUUGUUUUUACUUUAGCUUUUAGGGAGAGAGAGAUUUGUUCUCUUGAACCCUUGUUCUUUCUUUUUCAAUUUCGGUUUCUAUUCUACUUAUUAAUACUAUGUUUUUGAUUUCGUUCAUCAUGUCUGAGUAGUUUUAUUGUUAUAAUGAAGGGAUUUUCGAUGGGGAUUUAUAUGUUCGAUGAGGAUUCCAUGAGUUUUUGAGCCGAAUCUUAGAACUUUUUCUUCUGAAUUCGUUUUUACUGCAUGAGAGUAGCGUCAUGAACUACAAUCUGAUCCAGAUGCUUGGUGACACGAAAGUGUUCAUCAGGUAUCAGAUAUAGUUUGGGAGAGCAAAACAAACAUAGGAGUGGAAACCUACCUAUGGGCGAUUUGUGAAUUAGGACGAGUCUUAAACAUAAUGCAUCUUUUCUUUUCCAGGGCCAGAGUGGAAACCUACUGGUCAGGGUUGAGAGAGAUAGUUGUCUAUGAUCACGACAGUGGCGUAUUCAUACGUCCGUGACUCCAGUUCGAAAAGGUGAAGCUAAGAUCUUAUCAAAUUUACUCUCUAGCAAUGUUUUGAAUCGUUUGUACCCCAACGCCUUCUUUCCCAUUGAUUUACACCGAUUUUCUUUCAAGCUUUAGUUCAAUAUUAUCUUUCCUUUUUAGUUCAUUUUCAUUUAAGCAAUUAGAACAUCCGUUUUACUCGUUUUUAUUCAUUUUCGUUAAGUUUAGUUAUUACGUCAUUUAAUUCCCGUAUUCUCUUUUAAUAUUUCGUUUUUACAUUUUAAACACACUACCAAACCCCCACAAAACCGUUUUGGUUCUAGGCUUCCUUACUUUAUACUUAUUUCAAAGGCUUUUUGCAGGAAAAGAUCCUCCUUCCCUGUGGAUUCGAUCCCUAAGUACUACAAUCGAUCAGCUGUGCACUUGCGGCUAUUGAUUUCAUUUAGGGUAAAACUUGACAACCCUCACGACACCACCACAAUCACAGAGCUAGAUCUACAUGAAAGCCUACUCCUGCCGCCCUAAACCCAACACUUUCUGUCAAGUUUAUUCAGAAAAAAGCCUCACAUCAUCUCUCACUAAAGUGUUUUAGGCUUCAAGGAAGGUUUGGUUCAAGGAAGGGAACUGUCUCAAGAUGAGAAAACAGAUAUUUGAGCUAGCAAAGAGUGGUAAAAAGGGAUAAGAGAGCUCUAAUAUUUUGUUAUACCCAUAAGCUCACAAUGAUAUGCACAAACAUGAUAAUUGGAUUGUCAAACUAUGGUUUUCACUUAUGAAAGGCCAGAAUUAAUCACAACUUGAUCCAACUAACACAGAAGCAUUGAGACACUAAUUCCAAGUGUGGUUCACCCCUGAUUUCAUACCAGUUUUGCAAGCAAUAGAGAAUUAAUAACUAGGGCCAUCAAUUCAAGUUCUUAAAAUGAUUCUCUCUCAAGGAAACCUAUCAUUACCCCUAUGAAAAUGAUUCAACCUACAUGAUUAGGCAACUAUACUCAAUCCUAAAAAUGUAAAUGUAACUAAAUGAACAUUUUUUGUGAUUUUUGUUUCUGAUAUUUCAAUUUUUUUUUGUUUUUCUAUGCACUUAUAUGCAGACUCAAUAUGAAAAGGAAAAUAAGAUCAAGAACAAACAUGGUUAGCAAUACUAAACUUCUCCCCCACACUUAAAUAACACAGUCCCUUGUGUUAUAAAAGCAUAAGAAAGGAGUGUAGAUCAAGCUCAAAAUGCAAAAUGAGAAAAAAAAAUGAAAUGCAAAAUGCUAUGUACAGGUUGGAGUUGUUACCUUCUCAUGGUGGGGUUGGAGACAUUCCAAGUCACACCUGGCAUGAUUUCCCCGAUGUUGAACCCGGUGUGCUGCAUCAUCUCAAGGCUGAGUUUUACACUGGGUUGCAUUUGUCUGAUGUUGUCCCAGGUGUGGAGCAGUUUUGUUUCAGGGAGAAUCUACACCGGGUUGCAUUUCCCAGGUGCUGAUCCAGGUGUGGUGCUGCACGCUCUAGGGAGAUUCUACACCGGGUUGCAUUUCCCAUGUGCUAAUCCAGGUGUGGUGCUGCACGCUCUAGGGAGAUUCUACACCGGGUUGCAUUUCCAAGGUGCUGAUCCAGGUGUGAUGUUCCCCUAAGGAAAAUUUUCCAACACCAAGGUGCAUAUGGCCAUUGGUGACCUCGAUGUGGCCUAGACCGGUUUCAACUUGGUGCAGCUUAGCUUAUCCUUCCUUUUGGCACCAUUUCUCCUUCUUUUGAAAACUCCUGAAGACCUAUAGACCUGAACACUCUCAACAAACACAAUAAGAACAUCCUAAAAAAAAUAAAAGAAAGAAAAGAAAAGAUUAAAAAGAGAUAUAUGUUGGGGUCGGUUUUCACCCCAAACAGAUAAAACCAUCUUAAAAUGGCUAAGUAUGGAAGAAAGACAAAGUAGCCGAGCCGUCCACCAAAUAUGGGCCGAGCCGUGCUCACCAGGACAAGUGGGAGAGCCGUGCUCACCAGGACAAGUGGGAGAGCCGUGCUCACCAGGACAAGUGGGAGAGCCGUGGUCACCAAGACAAGUGGGAGAGCCGUGGUCACCAAGACAAGUGGGAGAGCCGUGAAGAAAGAUAGAUGGGCCGAGCCGUAUCAUGAGAAAUGGGCCGAGCCGCACUUCAACAUGCUUGGGCCGAGCCGCGCCUCGGUGAGGUGGACCAAAUCAUGUCUCGACUCAAAUGGCAAGUGGGCCGAGCCGUGGAGAAGUUCAGAUGGGCCGAGCCGUGGAGAAGUUCAGAUGGGCUGAACCAAGGCCUUGAGAGACGAAGCCCAUAGAAACCCUAGGCGAAAUACAAAGGCGGUGAGCCGCACGAGGCGAUAAGGAAAUAUUCCAAAAAUCUCUCCCGAGAUUCUCGGCUAGGCGGUUCAGAGAAUUAGUAUAAAUAGACGAUGUAUACAAUUCAUUCUGUAACUUUUGCAACCCUAAGCAAUAAGAGCUAAAUACUUUUACAGCAUAAAAAUCUUCUUUUGAUCUUACUGUUCUUGCGAUUACCCUAGAAGUUUCAGAUCCCUUAGUUUUCCUUAAACAAAUUUCUGGUUGUGCGAGUUUUGGCUCACACAAUAUAUACAAGGAUAAGCUAGGGGUGUCUCCCAAGAGCAGUUUGUUUAAAGUCACUAAGUUGGACUUUUCAUACUCUUUUCUCAAUGGGGGAAAGGAGGAGCUUGUCUUGUACAUGAAUUCAAGCAUGAGGUCCUUGUUCAUCAGCUCCUGAACACCAUCAGAUCCUUUGUCCUUGAAAUCUGGUGUGAGGAUAGCUCUGACCUUGGCAAAUGGUCUUGAUCUUCCGUUGCCUUUAACAUUGUAUUCCACAGCUUCACCAUCAAACUUCCAAGGAGUAAGAGUUAAAACUUGGGAACAAGAGUCAAGAGUGGAUGGUUUGGUGCUUGUUGGGCUCUUAUCUUGGGAGCUUGAACUGUUGCCUUUAUUGUCACAAAUCUCUUUCCCACUUAGUGUAGGAGAUAGAGAUUCCACUCAAGCUUCAUCAUCACUAAAGAAAUCCCCUUCAAACUCAAGAUCAAGUCUUCUUAAGGAUUAUUUCUUCUUCUCAACAGAUGCAAGGGGUUGAGCUUCUUCUAUAGUCCCAAUGCUCCCCAAAUACAUUAUUUCAUAGUGUUUCAACUCAUCAGAAUCAUCGGAUAUAACUCCACAAAACCCAGGAAGAGGAAGCUUAAGAGGAUAAGAGACUUCAUCAUCUAACUUAGUAAGCACCACUCUUUAAGUAUCAAAUUCCAUCCUUGCUCCUGUGGUGUUCAGAAAAGGAGUGCCCAGCAAAAGAGGAAGCUCUUUGGUCUUCUUCAUCAUUACCACAAAAUCAGUUAAAACUAUGCAUUCACCAAUCUUUAGUGGGUAAUCUUCAAGGAUUCCAUAUGGCUUCUUUGAGGAUGAAUCUCCAAAAGUAAUUGAGAAGGGGUGAUGCUUGAGAGUCUUGAUCCCUAGUCUCCCCAACAUGUCUAAAGACAUUACACUGAUGCUUGAUCCAGAAUCACAUAAAGCAUUAUCACUUUCAAAUUUACAAGGGAGCAUGAGAUGGAGAACUUUCCUGGAUUAACUAGCUUUGGAAUAGUUUUGGGUUUCACCCUUGUUGAACCAGUGGUAGAGACUUCAUCAGAUGUCCUUCCUUGAACCAUUCUAUGAUCCUUUCCUUCAGCCAUCUCAGAUUCAUUCUUUUUCAUAUCAAAACAAGCUGCCUCCCCACCUUCUUUAUCAAUGUCCUCAUUAAGAUAACAGAACAGGAAGUCAAACUCCUCUAUGAUGGCGUCCUCCUCAUCAUACUUUGUUAGGCGUUUUGCACUUGAGAAAAAGCCAUGGAGAAGAUUCUCAAUUUCUUGGACAGCAGCAUGAUUCUCAUCAUUGGAGAGGAUUGCAUUGCAGUAUUUUGUUGGAUGUGCAACUGAUGUCCCUGUUAAAGCUUGAAAACUGCAGUGGCCCUUGUUGUUCUCUAGAGUCUUGACUUUGGAAGUCAAGGUUACAAACUGAGUAAGAAGAUCAGAAUAAGUGCAGUCUACUUUGUUGUUGAUCACUGCCAUUUUCUUGUUGAAGUCCAUGGCACCACUUUCUUGACCUUUGAGGAUUUGCUGGAGCAAGUUCUGAACUACUUGAUCUUUAUUCCCUAGGGAAAAUAAUGACAAAUGGAAGAAAUCCACAUUUUUAGCUCAGAGUCAGACCGUCAGAAUUUCAGCCUCAAAUGAAGACUUUUUCACCGUCUGAUCCCGCUCAAAUUUGGAGACAAUCAAAAGGAGACAACCAGAUUUCCAUAGCACUUUACAUCACAAAAAUCCAACGGUGCAAUCAAAUUUCCAAUAAGCUCCUAUUUGCCUAUUUCAUCAUUUUUGCACCUUCUUUCACCAUUCCUCCACCUUGUUCCAUCUUUUCCACUCCAAAUGACCUCCAAAGCACCUGAUUAACACUCCAAGUAUGCAAGACUCACUUGGACCUAAUGCAAAGUCCUAAAACUCUAAAACAAAGAUAAAACACAAUUAAUCUAUCUAAAAUGCAUGCAUAAGACUCUAUUCUUGGACCAAAAAUGCAUACUAAACAAGCAAUGAUAUGAAUAUAUCAACCCCCCCCCUCAAUUAUCCUUUGCUUGCCCUCGAGCAAACAAGAACAAAUGAGAGAGAGGUUUGGGGUUUGGGAGUUCACAUUUCUUGAAAGAGAGAGAGAGUUGAUCAGAAACAGAUUUCAAGCUCAUGGUUCUAGUUACUAGUUGUGGGAUGCAAUACAAAGAAUAUUUUGGAUGCAACAAAUUCAAACCCUUACCUAUACAAGCAUUCUUAUCCUUCAGCAUUUUGACAUUCAUUAAGUUGUAACCAUGUGUAUCUAGUGAUGGUUUUUCAAAUGAGCUUGUUUGUCUGAGGGAUAAGGUUAUGAGACAAAGAUGGUCUUAUUCAAUGCUCAGGUGGGUCUCAAGGGAUCAUUCUAAAGGAAUAAACUUUAACAAAAGGCUAAGGGUAAAAAGCAACUGAUGCAUACAAGAGUAGAAUUGUAACACCUGUGUUCGGGAAAACCUUACCAAGUGGGAAAAUUAAUUAAGGGAGUUAUGAGUUAUGUAAACCAAAAAUGAGGAAAAACCAGGAGGUUAACUGAGGAAGGUCGGAUGAGUUUGGUCGGAGGAAAUUGGGUUUGGUAGGGUGAUUCUGACUCAAGUCCAGCUUUCGCCGAGAUAAAUCGAGUUUUGCCGAUCUAAAAUCAGCUGGCCUGGAUUUUUGGGAAGUUUAGCUGGAAAUUCCGACAAGCCGAGUUUUUCGUGACUUGGUCGGAAUUCUGAAUUUCCAUCAUUUAAAAUGCAUAUUUAGGUCCAAACCAUGUUUUCUAUCAUGCAUUUUAAGUCCUUAGGUUGCAUUUUAAGGUUUAGGAACUUGCAUUAGGCCCAAGUGAGUUUUUCAUAGUUUGGAUGGUUAAAACAGGUAUUUGGAGAACAUUUGGAGUAGAGAAAGUGAUCCAGCUGAAGAAAUGGUGUUUAGAGCCCCGAGUGUUACCGGCAUCAGACUGUACCGGAGAGAAGGUUUUAUCGGCUAAAAAGCUUACCGGGAAGGUUUCCCGUCGACCAAAAUGCUUACUGCUUGUCAAGAGGUUUAUCGGGUGAAAAUCAUGUCUUGGUCGAUGCCGGUUUGGUGCCAAUGCGGUCAAAAAUGCUGAUCAGAACAUGGAGUGGUUCGGUUUCAGUACGUACCGCAGGCUACAGGAUUCUCGGCUAAACAUCACAAGCAGGUACAGGAACCUCGGGCAAAAAGCUUCCCGUGGUACAUGAAAGCUCAGCAUAAAUCUCUUGUUCCCGACACGCUUCAAAGAUCAACCAUCCGGGGAGUCUUAACGUCCGAUUCAGCUGACAGGGUCUGCAUCAAAGUGGGAGAUGAUCGGGUCACGGUUCCAUAACAGUGAAAUCAUUGGAUUUGGAGUCGUGAGCUGAGAGUAAAGCUCACCGGAAGACACACCUGUCUUGCUAUAGUUUCAAGACCGAUCAUAUAAGUCACAAAGAUUGCGUGGGACGAUGGCAUACCAGUCCGAUUCAGUUGCCAAGGCCUUCAUCAAGAUUCAAUUUCUUUGAGUUCUCUUUCCAGAACAUCUAAGACCAUCCCUUUUGGAGCUAUUUUCUGAAAGAUACCGUCCCCGGAGUAAACACUGGUCCAAGAGCUUCUUUUUGAUCGUUUCAAUGCACUUCAGAGACGAGCCGUCCGGGAAACCUUCCACUUCCCAAGCGCUAAAGGUUAAUUCAUAAAAGUUUGAGAUAUUUGAGUGCUAUUUCCACUGAAGUUGGAAUCAAGCCAUUUGAAUCCAUAUCCUGGAUGUUACGCUGCCCCGAAUGCAAAGUGGUCCGAGGAGACUUGGAUUGUGCGAGAUGGUUCUGCGACUUGGUUUACUCGCAGCACUUAGAGAUUGAAUUCUGGAAACGAGCUGCGAGUGGAGAUAUGUGGGUAAGGCAACUCUGAGCAUGGGUAAAUAUUUCCGUGCUUAGAAUAUUGAUAUGAUCGUGACCAGCUCAGAGGAGGAGGAACCAGAGGUAGCUGGCAGGAUCACUCGUUCCAGAGCUAGAGAGAUGGCUAAAGAGGCUCUCACACUCAUGGCCGCAGAGGACAUCGAUCAACUGGAGGCUGGAGUUCACAUCUUCAACAUCUCUAUCUUGAAGAAUGAAGAACCCAGUAACAAUGACUAGGUAACUUAGGUGAUGAUUCUGUACUCUUUUCCUUGGUGAGGAUUUUGGAAGGCAAGGAAGUUCUUCUCCAAGGUUUUUAACGAGGCAGAAAUCAUUGCUACGUCGAGUUACUUAGAAGUUGUUACUAAUGGGUAAUAACGUGCAAAGUCACAUUGACUUGUGCACUAGUUGUUUUAGGCGCACCACUUAGGAUUUAGAAGGGACGCCUCGCUGUUUUAUUUUUAAAUCAAACUUCGUGUUGUUUUUAUUUCAGACCUCAUGUAGUUUUGUAUUAGGGCUGCGAUUUCUCUCUAAGUCUAUUUAAGAGAGAAAAUCGCCUAAGUGUUAUUCAAUGAAGAAUUUUGAUCAAACUUUUAACGUGUUCUUCUCUCUUUGAUUUCUGAGAACUAAAAACUCUGAAAUUCGAUAUGUUUACAAGAGAUUCUUCUAUCUCUCCAUCAUCACCUAAUCGAUCAUCACACCACGUCCACCUUCUCAUCCCACCCGAUCUGCCGCAUCACACCACCAUAUCUAUCUUCACUGGUUCGAUUAUCAUAUCCCUUUCACGACACCAUCGAUCUCUCAUCGCGCCACCAUCGCUGCUUCAUCGCACCAAUAUCAUCGCAUCUGUCCCUCCAAGUCACGAUCUCGAUUCACUUGUUGCCUUAGCUUCAGAGUUGAUCACCUAGGAUCGUAUCAUGUGGUAUCAGAGCCAACUCUGAACCAAAGGCUGAGAAAUCUCUAACCCUAAUCGCGAUUUUUGAUUUGAAUUCGUGUUUUGAUUGUUAGGGCUUAGCGAGUUCUAUUUGUGUGCAUCGAUCUGUUUCCUUUUGAAUAUUGUAUCGUUAUUGCUUUGUAUCGUUAGCGAGUUCGUUUGCUAUUGUUAGGGUUAGUCAAGUUUCGCAUCGUUCGUUGUUAUUCCUGCUGUUCGAUCGUUCGUUGUUGUUCCUGCUAGUCAUCGAUCGUUUUCUAUUGUUAGGGUUAGUCGGUUUGCUAUCGUGUUUGUCUCAAGUUUGUUUGUGUCGAGUCCUAUCACAUCAUAUCGAAUUUGGUAGAUUGAGUUUAGGGCUUUGAUUGUCUCGUUCUCGUUAAACUUGAUAUUUAUUUGCUUCGUUUUCGUUUAGGUUUUGUUAAGAGAGUCCUUGUAUUUUCGUUUUUCUCGUUUAGGCUUGUUAGGAAAUCUGUUUUUGUGAUUUCGUUAAGUUUGAAUUAAAAAAAAAAAAAAAAAAUUCUUUAGUUUCGUUAAGUUUGUUUUUAGAUUUCGUGGGGAUCGUUUAAUUUUUUUUUUUAUGAUGAGUUUAGUUCUGCUGUUUUUGUGAUUCCUUCUAGAACAAGUUACUGCGAGUUUUUUUUUAAAAAUUUUUUGCAGGUACCAUGGAGCUUUCAGCUGAGGCGAUGGAAGCUCUGAACCGAGCAAUGUCUCAACAAAUUAAAGAAGUGAAUCAAGCCAUAGCAACUCAGCUCACACAACAAAUCGAACAACUCAAUGACAAGUUCGAGACGAAGUUGAAUGAUCUGCUCAAAGACCUCAGUGCAAGUGGAGAAGAGUCGUCUCAAACUCCAACUCCUUCGGAAGCAAUGCGCUUAGCAAAGGGUAAAGGGCACAUAGGAUCUUCCCGGAAACUUCCACGCCACCCAAAACCUUCCAAAGCCAGGACUAAAGCUAAGUCCAGUCGAAGCCAGAUUGGGGGCAGAGAGACUACGUUUAAUCCGAGAAGGAAUCCUACUGGUGCCGAACGAGAUGGCCCCAGAGUAGAUCGUCAGCACCGCAGAGAGGAAUAUAUUGCUGGGCAUCGAGUUACCCUGGAAUCAGACCCAGAAUACUAUGAGGAGGACGAAGCUUCUGAUCAUAGCCGAGAAACUGUGAGACGAGAUCGAGGCCGAGGACAUGGUCGAGAUGAUGAUCCUCUACGUCAGCAGCUGCGUCAUAUCAAAAUCCAGUAUCCUCCUUUCAAUAGAACCAAUGAUCCCGAAGCUUAUCUAGAUUGGGAAAGGAAGAUGGAGUCUAAUUUUCUGGUCCAAGGAACUUACGAGCUCAACAAGGUGAAGAUUGCAGUUUCAGAAUUUCAUGGGUAUGCGCUUCUAUGGUGGGAGCAGUUGGGAGUCACCAGAAAUCGCCUUAGAGAACUUCCAAUUACUACUUGGGAUCAGCUUGUUAUACAGAUGAGGAAGAGAUUCGUUCCAGCCCAUCAUCAGCGCGAAAUACUCAACAAGCUUAGGCGCCUCGUCCAAGGUACGAAAUCUGUUCGAGAUUAUUAUCAGGAAUUGCAAACUUUGCUCAUUCGUGCAGAUUUACGAGAAGGAGAAGAGAUGGUAAUGUUGAGAUUUCUUGGAGGACUUAACCGAGAAAUUCAAGACAAGGUGGAACUUCAGGAUUUUGCAGACAUACAAGAGAUGGUGCAUAAGGCUGAAUUGGUAGAAUCUCAAGUCAAGAGGCGAAAUUUCAAGUCCACAUUCACGCCUAGUGUUUUUAAGCCUAAGGAGAUCAGCAAACCAGCUUACUCCAGAGACAUCAAACCACCCUCUACUGGAAUUAAAGAAGAAGCUAAAGCUGAGUUCAAACCAAGAAGUGGUACUUCUAUCAGCAAUGUGAGGUGUUUCAAAUGUCAAGGAAUGAGACAUUACUCUCGAGAUUGUCCAAACAAGAAGGUUUUCUUGUUACAAGAGGGAGGAGAGAUAAUUCCUCAAGAGGACUCAGAGGCCGAAUAUGAAAUAGAGGAAGAGGAAGAUGCUGCUGCCGUGGGUGAGAUGCUGGUUGCCAGAAGGACUUUGAGUGUUCAGAGUCAACCUGAAGAGACUUGUCAGCGAGAGAACCUGUUUCAUACGGAUGCUUCAUUAAAGAGAAAGUUUGUAGCCUGAUCAUAGAUGGAGGAAGUUGUACUAAUGCUGCAAGCGAAGAGAUGGUUAAGAAGCUCCAGCUCAAGACUAUUCCUCAUCUAAGACCGUAUAAGUUGCAGUGGUUGAAUGACAGUGGAGCCUUGACCGUAUCUCAGCAAGUUAUGGUUUCUCUAUCUAUUGGGAAGUAUGAAGAUGAGAUUCUAUGUGACGUCAUUCCCAUGGGUUCGAGUCAUGUGUUGCUAGGCAGACCGUGGCAAUCAGAUCGUAGGGUGAUACACGACGAUUACACCAACAAGCACUCAUUCGAGUUUAAGGGUCGCAAAAUUACCCUCCUACCUCUCACACCAACCGAGAUUUACCAAGAUCAGAUCCAGAUGAAGCUCAAGGAGAAGGAGAAAGUCGCCAACAGCCUCUACAUAAACCACAGUGAAUUUUCUAAACUCUUUGAUCCUGAAAUGACUACUUUUAUGUUUGUGUACAAGGAAUCCCUUGUUAGUACUAACCCUUCACAGGAGCUUCCUAGUGCUAUGUUUGAGAUUUUGCAGGAAUACAAGGACGUGUUUCCAGUAGAAAUUCCACCAGGGCUACCUCCAAUUCGCGGGAUAGAGCAUCAGAUUGACUUGGUACCAGGAUCAGCUUUACCUAACAGGCCAGCAUACCGAACCAAUCCUGUAGAGACUAAGGAGCUGCAGAAUCAAGUGGAAGAGCUGAUGAGCAAAGGCCAUAUCCGAGAAAGCUUGAGUCCAUGUGCGGUUCCAGUUCUGUUAGUACCAAAGAAAGAUGGUUCCUGGAGGAUGUGUGUAGACUGUCGAGCUAUCAACAACAUCACUGUGAAGUAUCGACAUCCGAUUCCAAGACUAGAUGAUAUGCUGGAUGAGCUCUGUGGAUCGACAAUCUUCUCGAAGAUAGAUUUGAAGAGUGGGUAUCAUCAGAUCAGAAUGAAGGAAGGGGACGAAUGGAAGACGGCAUUCAAGACAAAGCAAGGACUCUACGAGUGGCUAGUUAUGCCGUUUGGCCUAACCAUUGCGCCCAACACCUUCAUGAGAUUAAUGAACCAUGCCCUGAGACCAUUCAUUGGCGUGUUCGUAGUGGUUUAUUUCGACGAUAUCCUCAUCUACAGUAAAGGUUUGGAAGAACAUCUAGAUCACAUCAGAUCGGUUCUUGAUGUUCUUCGCUCUCAAUCUCUCUUUGCUAAUUUAUCUAAAUGUUCAUUCUGCACAAACAAAAUUGUUUUCUUAGGCUUUGUAGUGAGUGCAGGAGGAGUUAAAGUAGAUGAAGAGAAGAUAAAAGCUAUCAAGGAGUGGCCAACCCCUAAGAAUAUUAGAGAAGUCCGAAGUUUGCAUGGUUUAGCAGGAUUCUACAGGCGUUUUGUUCGUGACUUCAGCAACACCAUAGCCGCGCCCUUAACAGAAGUAAUCAAGAAAGACGUGGGGUUCAAGUGGGGAGAGGCACAAGAACAGGCUUUUACAGCCCUUAAAGAGAAGCUUAUCAAUUCGCCCUUACUAGUACUUCCUGAUUUUACUAAGACUUUUGAGAUUGAAUGCGAUGCUUCUGGUGUAGGUAUUGGAGCAGUUCUUAUGCAGGAUAAGAAGCUCAUCGCUUACUUCAGCGAAAAGUUAGGAGGAUCAACGCUGAAUUAUCCCAUGUAUGAUAAGGAGUUAUACGCAUUGGUUCGAGCUCUCCAGACGUGGCAGCAUUACCUAUGGCCUCAGGAAUUCGUCAUUCAUACCGAUCACGAGUCUCUAAAGCACCUCAAGGGUCAGCAGAAGCUUAACAAAAGACAUGGGCGAUGGAUGGAGUUCAUUGAGACAUUCCCCUACAUUGUUAAGUACAAAAAAGAUAAAGAUAAUGUGGUCGCAGACGCAUUAUCCCGGAGGUACACUCUUAUUUCGACUUUAACAUCAAAGUUGAUUGGAUUUGAGCAUAUUAUAGAUCUUUAUGAAUCUGAUACUGACUUUUCUGAGAGCUAUGCCAAAUGUCAUAAGUUUGCCUGUGAGAAAUUUUAUAGACAGGAUGGAUACUUGUUCUUCAGUAACCGAUUGUGCAUACCACGAGGAUCCAUUCGAGAGUUACUGGUACAAGAAGCUCAUGGAGGUGGAUUAGCAGGACAUUUCGGUGUCACAAAGACACUUCUUGGGCUACAAGAGCACUUCUACUGGCCGAACAUGAAGAAAGACGUUGAGAAAAUCUGUUCUAGAUGUGUCGUAUGUAAGAUGGCUAAGAGUAAAGUUCAACCUCAGGGUCUGUAUACUCCUUUGUCUAUUCCAUCUCAACCUUGGACUAAUAUCGCUAUGGAUUUUGUAGUUGGCUUACCGAGGACCAGAAAUGGUAGAGAUUCUAUUUUUGUAGUUGUUGACAGGUUUAGCAAGAUGGCUCACUUCAUCGCUAGCCACAAGACAGAUGAUGCUGUGAAUGUAGCUAAGUUGUUUUUCAGGGAAGUAGUAAGACUGCAUGGAAUGCCACAGGUUAUCGUUUCAGAUCGAGACACGAAGUUCUUAGGACAUUUUUGGUGAACGCUUUGGGCUAAGCUGGGAACAAAGCUCUCAUUCUCAACUACAUGUCAUCCUCAGACCGAUGGACAGACGAGGUGGUGAAUAGAACGUUGUCCACACUUCUAAGGACUUUGGUGAAAAGUAACCUCAAGACUUGGGAAGAGUAUCUGCCUCAUGUCGAGUUUGCUUACAAUCACGCUAAGCAUUCCGCUACUCUCUUUUCUCCUUUUGAAAUUGUAUAUGGGUUUAAUCCACAAUCACCUCUAGACUUGAUCCCUUUGCCUUUAAGUGGAAAAUGCAGUUUGAAUAGCAAGGAGAAAGCUGAACAGGUCCGAAGAAUACAUGCUAAGGCUAAGGAGAACAUCGAGAAGAAAACAAAGCAAUAUGAGAAGCAUGCCAACAAAGGACGAAAGGAGCUGAUUUUCGAAGAAGGAGAUCUGGUGUGGAUCCAUCUGAGGAAGGAGCGAUUUCCAGCUGAGCGAAAGAACAAGCUAAUGCCCAGAGUUGAUGGACCAUCCGCAGUCAUUAAAAGAAUCAACAAUAAUGCCUAUCAGAUUGAUCUUCAAGGUAAGUAUGAUGUUUCUGAUGCUUUCAAUGUUUCUGACUUGCUUCCUUAUGUUGCAGAUUCCGAUAUGAGGACAAAUCCUUUUCAAGAGGGAGAGGAUGAUAUGAUCGUGACCAGCUCAGAGGAGGAGGAACCACAGGUAACUGGCAGGAUCACUCGUUCCAGAGCUAGAGAGAUUGCUAAGGAGGCUCUCACACUCAUGGGCGCAGAGGACAUCGAUCAACUGGAGGCUGGAGUUCACAUCUUCAACAUCUCUAUCUUGAAGAAUGAAGAACCCAGUAACAAUGACUAGGUAACUUAGGUGAUGAUUCUGUACACUUUUCCUUGGUGAGGAUUUUGGAAGGCAAGGAGGUUCUUCUCCAAGGUUUUUAACGAGGCAGAAAUCAUUGCUACGUUGAUAACUAAGAGUUUUCAGGCUCUUAGGAGGGUUAUCAAUCCCCUUGUCAAAGUAGUAUAAGGGGUGUCAAACCAAGCUUGUAAACGAGACACUAGCCUAUGUCAUUUGUUCUCUUAAGUCAAGACAAGAAGAUAAAAGUUUGGUGACGAUGAUUAACAGGCAGAUAAGCAAUAAAAUUAAAUAAAAGCAGAGAUUUAAACUAAUCAAGAUGCAAACAAAAAACAGGUGACUCAGAUGAUGAUAAUAUGCGAUAAGGGAAGAGACUCUAGACAAGAUAAUCGACUCGGGUGCUUCCAAGCUAAACUAAUGGGUUAAUGAAUUAUUUUGUCAAGCGAUUUCAUUUAACUUUGAACUCAAGGCAUGUUAAUCUUCUCAUGAAAGUAUCAAACAUCUAAACUGAUCCUCCUUCAUACCAAAAUGUCUUUUUAGAAGCACGAAUCAAUCAGCAAUAAGAUUCAAUUCAAAUAUGUCAUUUAAGAGAACAAACUAUCACUCUCGCGAUGAAAGACUCUUAAACCUUUAACCGAGUGGUUCAGACAUUUCUACAAACACUUUUGAUGCGAGAUAUGCCUCAGAUCUGAACCUCAAGUGACAUGCUUGGAUCCAGCCUAGAGAUCUCGUCGGUUAAAGAAUGAAACAUGCAAGACUAGACACCUAAACCCACUAACCUAUCUUGAAAGCACCCUAAUCUACUUAUCUAAAGCCGCUUAAACGACUACUCACUGAUCAUAACGAGCUCACUAAGUCCUUUGCAAGACGUGUAGCUGGUCAUGAUUAGGAGUUUAAUGCUGAUAAUAAAAGAAGAAUAAAGAAAGAACAAGAUUCAGAUGCAAAAACGAGAUAUCGGAUUAGAUUAAUAUGGUUUCACAAAAGAGGUAAGUUCUUAAACGUAAAUGGAGAUAAAAGAUAUGAUGAUUAGGUUUUUGGUCAUAAAAUGUAUUUAUAGUAAAGGGAAAGUGUCGCGGGUCAGCCCGGAACAAACCGGGUACUGAACCGCUUCUUUGGGUUGAUGGGUGAGUGCCACGGUGUGUCGGAAAGUGAAGCCGAGGUCUUCAUGCCGAGGUGUGCACGUGAGUCAGGAUCCAGAUGAAGAUCUCGUGAAGAACAUGUCAAGAACAUGCAUGAACCCUAGUCUUUGAUCCAUCCUCACGUGUGUGUUCUUGAGCCAUUCUGUUCUUGAUUCUAAGUUCGUGACAAGGGACCUCGGGAUUAAAUGUCGAGGGGUCAUGAUGUCGAGGUGCUUGGGAGAACACAGUCCGGCAUGCACGCCGAGGUCAUUACACCGAGGUGUACUUUCAACACUUAGUCGUUUCCAGCUUCAGUUCCUACGUAUGCAUGCCUCGAUCAAAUCAUGCCAAGGCUUUGGCACGAGGUCUAGUCCAGAAUACUUCCAAGAUAUGAGCCUCGACUUGAGUGAUGCUAAGGUAAAGAUACUGAGGCUUGUGAAAACACUUAGCGCGUAUCGCAACUCAUUUAGGCUUGUAUCGACCAUGUCACCUUCCGGAAGCAGUAACUUUCAGCACACGACUCCAAUUGCUCUGGAACCAGUUUCACAGUCAAGAUGACUCAAUAAGCUCAAACUUUGGUGAAGGGACCGUUGGAGCUUGGGAAGUGGAAGGCUUCCUGGAUUUCACAUCUUUGCACCGCAUCGGAUUCACCGGAAAAUAAGCUUUUGAACCAAUGUGAACUCCGGACCUUACUUUUGAACCACUGCUCCGAACUGAGCGAUUCUAACUGUUCUGAGAAGGCACUUCAUAGAUCUCAAACUUUGAUGAAGACAGGGCAGGCUAGUUUGGUCCGGAAAGGCUUCGUCCGCCGUGAUCUUUGGAAUCCGCCGUUCCGUUCUCGGAUGCGCGUAAUGCUGGUGCAUCUUUCGGAAGCUGUAUCUUUCUCCUAACUGGUCCGAAUUGGAUGACUGUAACUGCUAUAAAAUCUUUGCUUGAUUUUCUCCAACUUUGAUGAAGACCCCGCCAACUGAUUCGGACCGGAAGGUUCCCCGGAUUGCUGAUAUCUGAAUUGCGCGGGCAAGGACAACUUUUGGUCGUAAAAACCUUCCCGCGGUAAGGAAAAUGGCCGAGGGCUGUGUACCGCGGUAAGCUUUUUGGUCGUAAAAAUCCUUGCCUCAGUCAAAAACUUGUCCCGUGGUAUUUUUGCACUCGAUACUUGAUUCUGGCCGAUCGGUAAGGUUUUUGGCCGGUAAUGAGCAUCCGGUAAACAUUUUGGCCGAGGUUUCCGAGCAGCCGGUACGAGAUUUGGCCGAGAAAUUCCUCCAAGCGGUUUCACCAUUUUUGACCCUUUUCUUCACCGUUUUAUUUUCUGUUCCUCUUCUUAGGCUCCAAUUGGUCUCCAAAGCUCCUGAUAAAGACUUCAUAACAUGCAAAACUCUUUGGGACCUAAUGCAAGCCCUAAGUCCUAUUUUGACGCCUAAAGACUCAAUUUACAUGAGAAAACACAUGAUGAGGAUUCUAUAAUGCGAUCUAAAUGAUGUAAAAUAUAGACAUAUCAUAUGUCGAGUUACUUAGAAGUUGUUACUAAUGGGUAAUAACGUGCAAAGUCACAUUGACUUGUGCACUAGUUGUUUUAGGCGCACCACUUAGGAUUUAGAAGGGACGCCUCGCUGUUUUAUUUUUAAAUCAAACUUCGUGUUGUUUUUAUUUCAGACCUCAUGUAGUUUUGUAUUAGGGCUGCAAUUUCUCUCUAAGUCUAUUUAAGAGAGAAAAUCGCCUAAGUGUUAUUCAGUGAAGAAUUUUGAUCAAACAUUUAACGUGUUCUUCUCUCUUUGAUUUCUGAGAACUAAAAACUCUGAAAUUCGAAUCUCUUAAAAACUAAUAUAUUUACAAGAGAUUCUUCUAUCUCUCCAUCAUCACCUAAUCGAUCAUCACACCACGUCCACCUUCUCAUCUCACUCGAUCCGCCGCAUCACACCACCAUCUCUAUCUUCACUGGUUCAAUUAUCAUAUCCCUUUCACGACACCAUCGAUCUCUCAUCGCGCCACCAUCGCUGCUUCAUCGCACCAAUAUCAUUGCAUCUGUCCCUCUAAGUCACGAUCUCGAUUCACUUGUUGCCUUAGCUUCAGAGUUGAUCACCUAGGAUCGUAUCAAAUAUGCUAAGACAAGCUGUGCGACUUGGACAUGCAUGUUGGCCGAGAUGAAACCGUGUAGCACAUGUGUUCGUGGAUCAGACCGAGUUGGGCCUGAAACUUGGAAGUGAAGGAGACCAACUCGCACACAUACUUCAAGACCUGUGCUAUAUGGGUGUGCGAGUUAGAGAGCAAAAGAACCUGAACCGCACAUAUGUUCGUGCUUUACACCGAGAAGGAGAUGCGACUCAGUCUACAAGAUUUUAUCUCGCAAGAUCAUUCACCCAGAAUUGUGCGAGUUGGGUGUGCGAAUUUGAACUGAACAAGACCAACUCGCACACAUAUCUUCUCCAGAUCGCGUCUUGGUUGUGCGAGUUGAAGAGGAGAAGACCUGAACAGCACAUAUGUUCACAGAACAGACCAAGAUAAGCAUGCGGCUGAAGCUGAAGAAGUUUAGACGCACAAGACUAGUUUCAUGGCUGUGCGACUCAGGCCUGCGAGAUGGGAAACACUUGACCAAGUCGCACACUUAGCACAUUGACUCAGUACCCAGUUUGUCCUGGGUUGACCCGGUCCGAGCUACUAAGUAUAAAUAUGUUUUAGGGUUUUUACCAAGACCCAAGCUUUAUUCUCUCUAAUUGUUUUGCCUCUUUUGUGAAAAGACUCCCCUUUGUAAGAGAUAUCUACUUUUGUGAGUCUUAAUCAAGAGAAAGCAAGGAUCUUUUGUGUUUAAAGCUACAAUCUAUCAUUAUCUAUCUUUUCCAUCUUCAUUUUCCAUCAUUAAUCAUGCCAAUCUACUAUACUUGCAAAGGUUUAAGAGAGAUUAGUAUGAUUAGUGAGUAGUUUGCUUAAUGAGGUUCUAGAUAUGUAGGUUAGGGUGCUAAAGUGCUAUAUUAGGACUGCUUAGGGCUAGAUCCAUGUUUUCAUCUCUCUAAAUAGCUGAUCUCUAUGAUAGAUCCUUACAAAGCACUUGUGAUCUAGAAUCUGGAUUUUCAUGUACCAAAACUGUUUGUUGAAAUUCCUGAAAGAGCUAUAUUAGAGUUUUAUGCAUUAAUGCCAUGAUUGUAAUGCCCUAACCGUGAGCUAAGACGGCCGAAAAUCAAAGUCACGGUCUGGACUAAGGGAUGGCUUGAGAUGAGAAUGGGGACCAAGAGAGGCAUUUGUGUCGAGACAUAAUUGGGUUUGGCCGCACAGUUCAAGUUUUAGCCGAGGAAGCUGAAUUCUGGUCGGGAAAAAGGGGUUAAGGCGGGAUGGAAACCGCACAACCAAGGGACAUGAUGGCACGGAUCCCAAGGAUAUUGGCAGACAAGACUUGGUGUGCAUGUCAGCUAUAUAGGGGGCAGCCAGCCACCAAUGUCAGCAGUAGUGCGGGCUAUAGAUCGGACUAGACUGGACUGGCUAGAGAGGGGACAGCAAGCCACCGACAUCAGACCUAGCGUGGGCUAGUGGUCGUACCAGUCAGGGACAGGACAGCGCUGCUGCCAGAAUGGACCAAUCCAGGCCAGUUAGGUGUCAAAACCCACUAAGCCUUAGUUUUCCCUAUAAAUACCCGUACCAUUCAGCCAUUUUCUCACUUCUGUUCUAAGCUUUAGAGAGAAAGUUAUAGAGAGAUAGUUAGUGAGAAAUAAAGUGGUGAAAGGAGCGCGGAGGCGUUUUCCGGCGAGGUGUAUCGCAGGAACAUGAUCGAUCGGUAAGCUUUAGAUUUCGGUUAUAAAUCUAAAUUACCUUAGGCUCGACUUUUACUUAGACAAUGUCUAUAGAUCCAACGGAAGUCUCGAAGGAGCGAGCAGGGGAUCUAGAGUGUUGGUCCAAGAAAGGUGAGUUCCAAACUUAGGGAUGGUGCUGGGGUUAACAUGAUGGGUUUGGAUUCAGGGUUUGGAUUCAGGGUUUAGGGUUUAGGGUUUAGGAUUGAAUGAUGUUAACCAAAUAUCCUGUCUAACUCGGUCUUAAUCUCAGCCAAGAGUAACUCAUUCUGCCUUACUAUCCAACUUUUAAGCUUUGAAAUCUGUCCACUUUCUACGCUUUCAUCUUCAGAGGAGUUUUUGCCAUUGGCUCUUUUUCCUUUAAGGUUUAUGUUUUUCCGUUUAAAGUGUUUUCUGUUUUUUCUUUGGUUGUGUGGAUGGCUCCGCUUGAAGUGUUUUCUGCACCAGCCAAUAAAAGGAAAAAGAGGGGAAAGAAAGGAUCUAAGCCUGCGGGAAAUGAUCAAGAAAGUGAAACAACAACGUGUUAUAUCUGGGAGAAAGAAGGGCACUUCGCAAAGUCUUGUUCUAUGAGGGGGACAGAAGGAGAACAGGUCAAGGUGAAGUGUUUCACGUGUUUAGAAAGAGGUCAUUACUCCACUACUUGUCCUGAGAAAAUGGAAGAACCGUUUAAUGCCACAGCGACGCAACCUGCAAAACAAGCAACUGAACCCUCGAUCAAGAAGCAAGCAGCCACGAGAAAAGCAUUCGCAAUAGAAUUAGAAUUUCCGAAACCUUCAGGCUCUGGGAAGAGUCCCAUUGCAAGUACGCUUGGGUUCUAACUCUCUUUUGCAUGGAAAUUAAAUGUACCUUGGUUGCGUGUUUAAUUUGGUUGCUUGGUGAAAUAUAUUCUGGUUUGAAUAUACUGUGUGGAUAAGAACACUACGUGUUGGUGGUAACCCCACACAUGUUUUGUUCGACUCGGGAACAUUGCAUAGUUUUGGGAUUCCUGAGGUAGCGUCAAGGAUUGACAAAUGGGAAAAGUCGAGGGAGGUUAGGAUCUCUGUAUUAACCCGAGGAUAUAAAACAUUAGUGGCCUCGCAGGAGAUGAUAGGUGUACCUAUACAGGUCCGAGAGAAAACCUUUUUAGCAUACUUUUUAGUAGCACCUACUAGUCAAUUUGAGGUAAUCCUGGGGAUGGAUUGGCUGUCUAGACAUCGAGUGCAUCUAGACUGUGGUCGAGGGAAUAUCAUCUUCGAGGAAGGCCAACCAUCAAAGAUUACUUAUCAGGGCAUCAGGCUAGAGACAGUGACCUCAUCGAUAGCAGCGGUUUGAGCGGUGAAAGAACUAGAAGCUGGGGAACCUUACUUAGUUGCUAUCAGUGUUGUAGAGGAAGAGAAGGAUAAGGAGUUAUCCGUGGAAGAUAUUCCUGUGGUGGGGGAAUAUGAGGACGUGUUUAAAUCACUGACGGAGUUCCCUCCCCCUAGGAGCAAUCCGUUCACGAUUAAUUUGGAACCAGGAGCGGCUCCAAUUGCGAAGACUCCUUAUUGGAUGGCACCAGCGGAGCUAGCAGAUGGCACAGUUGAAGGACCUUUUGGAUAAAGGCUUCAUCCGACCUAGUUCAUCGCCUUGAGGAGCUCCAGUGCUAUUUGUGAAGAAGAAAGAUGGAAGCAUGCGACUUUGAAUCGAUUAUCGAGGGAUCAACAACGUCACGAUCAAGGACAAGAAUCCACUUCCGAGGAUUGAUGAAUUGUUGGAUCAGUUGUAAGGAGCAAGCUGGUUCUCUAAGAUAGAUCUGGCAUCAGGGUAUCACCAGAUUCCAAUCUUAUAGAGGGACUUAAUGAAAACGGCGUUCAACACUCGGUACGGGCAGUACGAGUUUGUGGUGAUGCUUUUUGGGCUAACCAAAUGCGCCAGCGGUCUUCCUGAGAUUGAUGAACGAGGUGUUUCACAACUAUUUGAAUAGUUUCGUGAUCGUGUUUAUCGAUGACAUCUUAAUCUACUCAAAAACUAAGGAGGAGCAUGGCGAGCACCUGAGGAAGGUCCUGGAGAGAUUAAGAGAGAGGAAGCUGUAUGCUAAGUUUAGCAAAUGCAGAUUUUGGAAAAGGGAGAUAGGAUUCCUCAGACACCGGGUGUCAGAACAAGGGGUGUAAGCAGAUCUAGAGAAGAUUACAGUUGUCAAGGAGAUGCCUCGACCCACAACUUUAACAGAAGUGAGAAGUUUUCUAGGUUUGGCGAGAUACUAUCAGAAGUUUGCCGAGCUAAAAUCAGCUGGCCGGGAUUUUUGGGAAGUUUAGCUAGAAAUUCCAACAAGCCGAGUUUUUCGUGACUUGGUUGGAAUUCGGACAAGAUUUGUCGGGAGCUGAUAUGUUCAUAAUUUGCAUCAUUUAGAAUGUAUAUUUAGGUCCAAACCAUGUUGUAUAUUAUGCAUUUUAAGUCCUUAGGUUGCAUUUUAAGGUUUAGGAACUUGUAUUAGGUCCAAGUGAGUUUUGCAUAGUUUGGAUGGUUAAAACAGGUAUUUAGAGAACAUUUGGAGUGGAGAAAGUGAUCCAGCUGAAGAAAUGGUGUUUAGAGCCUUGAAAAAGGUAAAAAUGGCUUCUAGGGUGUUAUCGGCAUCAGACUGUACCGGAGAGAAGGUUUUAUCCGCUAAAAAGCUUACCCGGAAGGUUUCCCGUUGACCAAAAUGCUUACUGCUGGUCAAGAGGUUUAUCGGGUGAAAAUCAUGUCUUGGUCGAAGCCGGUUUGGUGCCAAUGCGGUCAAAAAUGCUGAUCAGUACAUGGAGUGGUUCGGUUUCAGUACGUACCGCAGGCUACAAGAUUAUCGGCUAAAAAUCACAAGCAGGUAGAGGAACCUCGGCCAAAAAGCUUCCCGUCGUACAUGAAGGCUCAGCAUAAAUCUCUUGUAAAGAUCAACCAUCUGGGUAGUCUUAACGUCCGAUUCAGCUGACAGGGUCUGCAUCAAAGUUGGAAUUGAUCGGGUCACGGUUCUAGAACAGUGAAAUCAUUGGAGUUGGAGUCGUGAGCUGAGAGUUAAGCUCACCGGAAGACACACCUGUCUCGCUAUAGUUUUAAGACCAAUCAUAUAAGUCACAAAGAUUGCGUGGGACGAUGGCUUUCCAGUCCGAUUCAGUUGCCAAUGCCUUCAUCAAGAUUCAAUUUCUUUAAGUUCUCUUUCCAGAACAUGUAAGACCAUCCAUUUUGGAGGUAUUUUCUGAAAGAUACCGUCCCCGGAGUAAACACUGGUCCAAGAGCUUCUUUUUGAUCGUUUCAAUGCACUUCAGAGACGAGCCGUCCGGGAAACCUUCCACUUCCCAAGCGCUAAAGGUUUAUUCAUAAAAGUUUGAGAUAUUUGAGUGCUAUUUCCACUGAAGUUGGAAUCAAGCCAUUUGAAUCCAUAUCCUGGAUGUUACGCUGCCCCGAAUGCAAAGUGGUCCGAGGAGACUUGGAUUGUGCGAGAUGGUUCUGCGACUUGGUUUACUCGCAGCACUUAGAGAUUGAAUUCUGGAAACGAGCUGCGAGUGGAGAUAUGUGGGUAAGGCAACUCUGAGCAUGGGUAAAUAUUUCCGAGCUGAGAAUAUGCUAAGUCCACAAGCUGUGCGACUUGGACAUGCAGGUUGGCCGAGAUGAAUACGAGUAGCACAUGUGUUCGUGGAUAAAACCGAGUUGGGCCUGCAACUUGGAAGUGAAGGAGACCAACUCGCACACAUACUUCAAUACCUGUGCUAUAUGGGUGUGCGAGUUAGAGAGCAAAAGAACCUGAACCGCACAUAUGUUCGUGCUUUACACCGAGAAGGAGAUGCGGCUCAGUCUACAAGAUUUUAUCUCGCAAGAUCAUUCUCCCAGACUUGUGCGAGUUAGGUGUGCGAAUUUGAACUGAACAAGACCAACUCGCACACAUAUCUUCUCCAGAUCGCGUCUUGGUUGUGCGAGUUGAAGAGGAGAAGACCUGAACAGCACAUAUGUUCACAGAACAGACCAAGAUAAGCAUGCGGCUGAAGCUGAAGAAGUUUAGGCGCACAAGACUAGUUUCAUGGCUGUGCGACUCAGGCCUGCGAGAUGGGAAACACUUGACCAAGUCGCACACUUAGCACAUUGACUCAGUACCCAGUUUGUCCUGGGUUGACCCGGUCCGAGCUACUAAGUAUAAAUAUGUUUUAGGGUUUUUACCAAGACCCAAGCUUUAUUCUCUCUAAUUGCUUUGCCUCUUUUGUGAAAAGACUCUGCUUUGUCAGAGAUAUCUACUUUUGUGAGUCUUAAUCAAGAGAAAUCAAGGAUCUUUUGUGUUUAAAGCUACAAUCCAUCAUUAUCUAUCUUUUCCAGGAGACUAGGUCGCAGCAAAAGAGGAAUGGCCGAGACAUCUUAAGUCCAAAUACCUGCGACCUAGUCAUGCUACCUGGGAACAAAGAAGCUAGGCCGCACGUAUGUUCGCAUUUUACUCCAAGUUGGGCAUGCUAGCUGGGAAGCAUGAAGACCAGGUCCCAGCAGGAAAAGAAAGGCCAAAUUGUUUAAGUCCAAAAACCUGCGACCUAGUCAUGCUACCUGGGAACAAAGGAGUCUAACCCGCACACAUGUUCGUAAAUUACUCCGAGUUGGGCAUGCUAGCUGGGAAGCAAGGGUUCCAGGCAGCAGCAAUGAGGAAAGAUAAAACCGAGCUGAAGGAAUUUUACUGCAACUUAGUCAUGCGGGGUAGGCACAAAAGAUCCCAGGUAGCACAAAAACAUUUCCGGUUCUACACCGAGACGGUCAUGCGGCUCGAUCCCGACGGUUUCUGGUCGCACAAAGGAGAGAAAGGAGGCCGGUCAACGAGAAAAGGACGGGUCAAAGCCUUGACUGGUCAAAAUAGAUCUAUUGACCACCAGUCCAAAGGCUUGACCCUGUCCCACACUCUCUCUUCCUCACCAUAAACCCGACUUUGCAACUCUUUCUCUCAUUUCUCUCCAUUGUUUUCAUCAUAUCUCUCUCAUUUCUCCACCAAAUUUGUUGAUUCAAAGUGCUCUGAACUCGUUUUUGAGUUGUUAACAUCAUCCUGAUUGCAUUUCGAGCUCGUUGCAUCUUAAUCCCAAGGUAUUUCAUUCUGUUAAAAUUCACCUUUUUCCAUGUUCUUCAAUGGUGAUUUUUGAACUUGAAGGUGUGGAAUUGAUUUUGAUAGGUUUUUUUAGACCUUGGGAUUAUUUUUAUAAAUGCUAGGGUGCUAGAUAGUCUUGGAAAACAGAGCAAUUUGUUGGUAAUUCCUUGUUCUUGAGUUUUGAAAAUUGUUGCAAGAAAUUCAUGAGAAAAAUCAAUUUUUUUUUAAAAAAAGAAAUGAAUUAGUUUCUUGCUGAGUCCUUGCUUUGCACUCUUGUUUUUGCAUUGCUAUGAACUUAUUGGAUUGAUGCUUGGCUUGAGAAACCUGUUCAUGUGGUUUUAAAAUCGAUUCUUGCAAAUUUUGUGAAGCUUGUUCUUGUUCUAACAUUGUUUUUGAGAAUCUCUUGGCAGAUGACUGAAAGAACCAACUCUCUGGCCAAGAAGAAGGGCACUGCAUCCAAGGGCAAGGGUUUGGUCUCAGGGUCUUCACAGCCAAGAGAAAAAGGCCAAGGAGCAAAGAAUACCACAAAGCAAGGAAAAUGUGAUCCAGCGCCAAAAAGGACAAGGCAUGAAGGGAAAGCUUUGGUGGUUGCUUCUGGUUCCAAGAAGAAAAGGAAACAGUUGGCUGUGGUAUCUAAGGGUGAACAGACUGAAAGUGCCUCAAGCAGCUCAGCUGGUGGUUCACAAGGCACCAUUGAAGAAGGAUUAAAGAGGUUCAAGAAAACUGAACCAGAAACACUUGAUUAUCUGGCUAAGUUUCAACAGAUAGAGAUCCAGCAAGGGAGGUUCCCUGAUGUGGACUUUCUGAAGAAGAUUGGCAUCUAUGAAGAUGUCAAAACUUUGCUUGGGAACAUGGGUGUUGAGUCACUUUUGGAGAUGAGAGAGAUCACUUAUGAAGAGGAGUCUCAAGAGUUCUUGGCUUCCUUUGAAGCUUUCAUUUACUACCCAAGGGAUUCAAGAAUUAUUCAAGGAGAUGGGCUUGGACAUGUGGAGUUAACUGUGAAAGGGAAGGACUAUUCAGUGUCAUUCAGAGAAUUGAAUGAGAUUUUUUGGUUUUCCACACCUAGAAAAGCUCUUCUCUCCAACCAGGUCAAUCUCAGAAAAGAUGAAGUUCAACUUCUAUGGAGAUCAAUUGCUUCUGGGAAGUACACAGCUGGAACAGCUAAGUCCUCUUGGAUAAGGAAUCCAGUUCUGAGAUAUGUACACAAGAUUCUGUCUCACAGCUUCUACUUCAAGAUUGAUGUUGGAAGAGUUCACAAAGGCGAUCUGAUGCUCCUUGGUGUGGGGCUUAAACAGCUGAUGCCAACUCAUGAAGAUGGGAAACCCUAUGAAGGGUAUGAAUACCCACUUUGCCUUGCCUCUGAAUUAGCAAGGUCUUUGAUGUUCUACAAAAAGUGCAUGUGGGGUUCUACAAAGCAAGAUGCAAAGCUGACCCAUGGAUGGGUAGUAACAAAGAUCUUGAAGGCCAAGGGGUACAGAUUCAAGGAGAACAAGGCAAGGUUUGAUCUGAUUAAUGAAGCCCAUUUGUGUAAGAUCGGUUUCCUUCAAGGAAGAGUGGGUACCAAGGUAGUAUACAACUUCAAGACUCUCAUCAGUGAGCCAGCACAAACUCUCCUGCCCAAUCCCUCCAUCACCACAGUCCAAGUUAAGAGGAACAUUCACUUCUUCUUGCUGAAGGAAGAGCUGUACAAUGUCCAAACUGAUCCACAAAUCCUCACAUACAAGCAAGCUUGCAGAGAAGAAGCUUCCAAGGGAAAGAGAGCAACCGCUGAAGAUGCUACCACAAGUGCUGCUGGUGCUCAAGAUGCUGAUCUGCCUCCACCUCAAAAAUGUUUUGGUGGAAACAGAUACCACUUUGAAUAUUACAACUGGGAGGAACCAGGCACUUCAGGGUUUAGAGCUCAACAAAAGAUUGGUAUUCUCCAACAAUGGUGCAAGUACCAAGACAAAACCAUCCACAAGAUGGCCAAGUGCAUCAAGGAGAUGAAGAAUAGGAUCAAGAAGCUUGAAAACCCUUGCAAAGGUGGGGCUCCAGCACCAGUUUCACCAAGGAACAGAGAGGAAAUUGGAGAGAGUUCCAUGAACUGCACAGCCCUGGUCACAUAUGGCACAACUUGGGUGGAUCUUGACGACGGGUCUGAUGAGGCAAGCCAUCACUCUUGGGAGACACCAUCCGGUCACACUUCAAACCCCUCUUACUCAUUGGGGUCUGACUUCAACAGCUCUUAGGUAACACUCUAAACCUUGUAAAUAUGCAUGUAGAUUUUCUUUUUCUUUUUGCAUUUUACUUGUUUGUUUUGUUUUCACUCCUUUCUCAUGUUUUUUAUAACACAAGGGACUGUGUUAUUUAAGUGUGGGGGAGGAGUUUCAUCUUUUAUUAACCAUGUUUUCUCUGUUCUUAUUUUACACUUUGAGUCUUGAGUCACAUUCUAGUUGCAUAUUCAUGUAGUCUCAUCUAAGUGCAUAUAAAAAAACCAAAAAAAAUGGAAAAACCUGAAAACUUUUCACAAAAAAAAAUGAUCAUGUAGUUGCAUUCUCAUUUUUAGGAUUGAAUCUAGAUUGCAUGUUCAUGUAGGUUGCAUCUUGCAGGGAGUAAUGAUAGGUUUUCUAGAGAGUAGAUCACUUUGAGAACUUGAACUGAAUAUGCUUGUGAAUCUUUUUCUGUGCUUGCAAAGUUUGAAAUGAUCUGAAUCUGAGAAGCAAGUUUGAAUUGAACUCAACUCUAAUUAAGUGUGAACCUUGAACUUGACUUGAAAAUAUCUUGUGAUGCAUUGUUUGAAAAUGCUUGUGGAUACCGAUAUACAUACUUGAGCUAGAACCAUUGUUUUUACCACCCUUUUUCCUUAGCUCAAGUAGCUGAAUCCGCAUCAUGGAUCAGUUCCCUCACCUUGAACCCAUCCUUAUUUCAAGCCAAUGUUUGUGUGUGAAUUGAAAGGCCACCUUGGAUCAAACUUAGCAGAAAGUGUUAGGUUUAGAGCGACAAGGGCAGGUCUCAUUGAGUGCUGUGUUCCAACAUCAAGGAACUGAGAGUUUUGGCGAGGAAUAAGUGUGGGGGAAAAGACUUGUUGGUGAGUGGAAAAAGGUGAGAUAAGUGGAAAAGAGAAAGUGGAAAUAGCUAGGGGAAUGAAAGAAAAAAGAAAUCAGUCUUGGAGUUUUGAGUUAAAGAAAGUGAGCUCUGGUGUGUUAAAAAGAAAGAGUCUAGCCUCUAAGUAAAAGGAAAAGAAAAGAAGCCAAAGAGCUCAAAUGUUUUGAAAAGAAAGAAAAAAGGAGGCUAGAGGUUGCAAAAGAAAAAGAGCUGUGUAAAGUUUGAACUCCAAGACUUGAGAGUGAAAGUGAAAAGUAAGUCCCCUAGUGAGAGGAAGAUAAGUGUGAAAAGUGAGGUUCUUAAGAGAGUGAGCAAGUGAGAAAGCUUUGAGUAGACGGUGGGGUGUGAUGAGUCUUUGCCCUUGUAUGCAUAGGUUGCUUUUUACCUUUAGCAUUCUGCCAAAGUUUGAUCAUUCACAGAGAGAUCCCUUUGCUGCAUUAAACCCACUUGAACACUAAUGAGAUCAUUUUAAUCUCAUAGCCUCUCCCUAGCCAAGCCAGCUUGUUUAGACAUUGCAUCAUGAGAUUCACCUGAUAAAAACUUAAUGAAUGUGAAAGAGUUGAGAGAGAGAAGAACUUGUGGAGAUUCCUUGCUGAGUUGAUAUAUAUCUGAGUAUGGCUUUGCAUUGCAUAAUUGAGCAUGAACUUGAAUUCUCAUUGUGAUCACUUCUCUCAAAAAGUAAAUGUGAACUCCCAUGCACUCAACCUCUCUCUCUCAUUUGUUCUUGUUUGCUUGAGGACAAGCAAAGGACAAGUGUGGGGGAGUUGAUAUGUUCAUAAUCUGCAUCAUUUAGGUUGCAUAUUUCAUUCCAAAUCAUGUUUUAUUUCAUGCAUUUUAGGUCCUUAGGGUUUGUUUUAGAACUUAGGAGAUGCAUUAGGUCCCAAUGAAUCUUUGCAUGUUUUGAGUGUUUAUCAGGUGUAUUUGGAGCUAUUUGGAGCUGAAAAGAUGAAUCCAGAAAGUGGAAUGGUGAUCAAGGCUUGAAAAGUGGUGAAAUUGGUUUUUUGGAGGUUAUCGGCCAUUCUCGCGUACCAGGAAGGUUUUUAUCGGCCAUUUUCACGUACCACGGGUAGACUUUAUCGGCCAAAACGCGUACCGGCUAUUGAAUCUCUCGGCCAAAAUUUCCGGGUGCAGACACGUUUCCGAAAUCGCCUGUCCGGGGAACCUUCCAGUCCGAUUUAGAUGUCGGGUGCUUCAUCGAAGUUGGAUAGGAUUGGAUCACGGUUCCAUAGCAAGUGGAAUCAUGGAAUUCGGACGCGUGAGCAGAAAGUUAAGCUCGUCGGAAGGAACCCCUGUCUCGAUGCUGUUUUGGACCAAGCCGAUGAGCUCCGAAGAAUGCAGAGGACGGUGCACUUCCAAGCCGAUUCAGUUUCUGGGGCCUUCAUGAUAGUCAGAGACAUUCGAGUCCUUUUUCCAGAACGUCCAAGAUCAUUCAAUUCGGAGCUAUGAGCAGGAAGAUACUGUCUCCGGAAUGGACACAUGUCUAGACGCCUCUCUCUGAUCGUGUAAAUGCACUGCAAAGAUGAGCCCUCCAGGAAGCCUUCCACUUCCCAAGCACCGAAGCUUCCUUCACCAAAGUUGGAUAUAUAUAAGUCCUCUGUCCUCUGCAACCGGAAUCACUCAAUUCGGACAAGUAUCUUAAAAGUUACACUCUCUGGAAUGUGAAGUGGUCCAAGCUGCUCUGAAUGCUGCGAGAUAGUCUUGCGACCUGGUUAACUCGCAGGCCUGAAGAUGAAUGCCUAGAAGUUGAUGCUGCGAGUUGAGAAGUGCGGGUAAGCUAUCACUAGAUGAGGUCUGAGGCUCCCGAGCAUGAAAAACGCUAAGUCCACAAUCGUGCGACUUAGGCAUGCGAAUUGGCCGCGCCUGGAACUAAGCCGCACGAUCACUCGCAAUCUACUCCGACUUGAGCCUGCGACCUGUGUGUAAUGGAGAUCAACCCGCACGGUUUGUACAUUCCCCAGAAACCGCCUUGGUCCUGCGAGUUGAAGAAUAAGAAGAUUAAGCCGCAGCAAGACUCGCAAAACACUCCUACUUGGGCGUGCGGCUAAGACAAAGCGGUUUAAGUCUCACAAGACAAGUUCUUCAUCUACUGAGACUUGGGCAUGCUACCUGGGAGACACUGGACCAACCCGCAGGAUUUCCACUUUACCCAUUAAAGCCGGGUCAGGACCCGGUUCGUCCCGGGCUGACCCGGUUCGUUUUUAGAGAGAUAUAAAUACUUUUUAGGGUUUUUUCCUAAAGAACUAAGCUUUAUUCCUUUUUUCUCUUGCCUCUUUUGUGAAAAAGACUCCACUAAGAAGAGAAAUAUCGAUUAUUGAGUGUUUAAUCAAGAGAGUUUAAGAUAUCUUUGUGUUUAAAGCUGUUUUCUUCUGAAUCUAUCAUCUAUCUCUUCAUCUAUACACUUCUAAUCAUGAUUAACAACACAUCUUGCAAAGGAUCUAGUGUGUUGAUCAUGAUUAGUGAAUAAUCUCCAUAUUAAGGUCUUAGAUAUGUAGAUUAGGGUGCUUAAGUGGUAGAUUAGUGAGCUUAGGGGUUAGAUCAUGCAUAUUCCAUUCUCUACAACUUGUUCUCUAUGCUAAAUCCAUACAAAUCAUAUGUGGUCUAGAUUCUGGGCAUUUCAUGCACCAAAAGUGUUUGAUGAAAUGCCUGAACCAAGGUUGUUAGAGGUUUAAGUGUUAUUCAUCAUGGGAAUGAUUGUCUAUAUGCUUAAAUGACAGAUUAAACUGAUUCUUAAUGCUUGUUAACUCAUGUUUCACUGAUGAUGAUUGGGUUAGAAACUGUUUUAGCAUAGGAGUUAAUACCUUCAUGAGAGGAUUAACUUAAUUAAAGAUGUUUAUGUUGAAUGGUUUGCUUGAUCAUAUGAUUCAUUAGCUCAUUAGUUUAUCACUGAAGGCACCCUAAUCCACUAUCAUGUCUAAGACCUUUCUCAUCAUCAUACAUACAUUUUCAUCACUUGUCAUUUGUUUAGUUAUUGUUUAAUCAUUUCAUUAGUCUUUAAUCCUGUUUAAGUUUGUAGUUGUCUCUAGUUAACCAAACCACUGUUGUUUGCUUGAAUUAAGAACUUGAUCACAUAGUUUAGUGUCUAUCACCACAUUCUUGGAUUGAUAAACCCCUUGUACUACAAGACAGGGGAUUGAUAACCUCUACAAAGAGCCUUGAAAACUCUUAGUUAUCAUGUCUGAACCAAGCUAGAUCAAGAGUAUACUGUUUGAUUUACAUGGAAGUGUUUUAUUGAGCAUAGAUGGUAUAUCAUGAUUGGUUUUUAAAGCAUCUAUUUCGUUUGUUUCUCUAAUGAUGAUUGGGUAUGAAAGAAUGUUUGAGAUUGUGUUUUGAUGCUUGAGAAAGAUUGAAACUUGUGUUGAAUCAUAAGCUUCUUAGAUCAUUAAUCAUCAUUGUCAUUAGCUACUUAGUUAGAUCCUGAAAGCACCCUAGCCACCUAUCAUAUCUAUAGCUCUAUUCUUCAUCAUCUCAUAUUCAUCAUCUUAUUUAGUGAUCUUGCUUUGCUUACUUAGCAUUGUUUAGUCUUGUUUUUAGUUUACUUGUUUAGCUUUCUCACUUGUUUGAACACCAAAAUCUGUCUAUUUUGCUUGAAUUAGGUAAAAGCUUACAUGAACUAGUGUCUGAACUCACCCUUUUGGUUUGACACCCUUUAUACUACAUGAUUAAGGGAUUGAUAACCCACUAACAGAUGAAAACUCUUACUUAUCAAUAUACUCUUGGUUAUUGGUUCUGAGUUGCUACUAGAUGAAUUGUCUCCAGGGUUUGCAUCUUUAACAAACAAUCCAUACUCUUCAUCUUCUGAGAAGAACUCUUGAAUCUCAUUGUCACAAGUGUACACCAUGUUGCAAGUUACAUGAGUGUUGGAUUUGUCCUUUUCUUUUGAUGCUUGCGCAGUAAUUGAGAAGGCAGCUUAAUCAAACAACCUAGAUCGGGUCACAAGGGGUUGGUUUUCAGUUGAACAUGUUUCAGAAAGAGGUUGAAAGGACUCCUAGUCUGAAAAAUCAUGCUCCAUUGUGGGUGAAGUGAUCAGGCCAUGGUGGAAGUGAGCCUGGCCGCGGGUGAAGUUCUUGCAUCUGCGGUCAGCUCCCUCGGGCUUACCAUGCUUGUUUCUUCAUUCCAUUCUUCUCCUUUGUUGUUCUCUUGCUUCCAGUUGUCUGGCACGUCUUGGGUAUCCAAAUCUUUGGUUCCAGUGUUCAGAUCAUUCUCCUUUAUAUCUUUAGAAAGUUUUUCAACUUUCUCUUCUACUUCAUCUGGAGCAUAGACAACUCUAUUCCGUCUUGUUUUCAACCUUAGGUACGCCUUGCCACAGCUCCAAUGUGUAGUCGUAGGUUUGGUUCUGGCUCUCACUCAGCUCCUUAUCCAAGUCAUCGAUCUUGAAAUUUAGGGUUUGCAGCUCCUUUUCACAUUGUCGAAUGUUAAACUUGUUCUUCCCUUGCUCUUCUUCGACAAACUCCAUUCUCUGAUUCAACACUUCAUUGUCUUUGGUUCUCUUAUCCUCCAGUGUCUUCACGUGCUCAGAGAGGUCAUCAAACCUCUUAUUAAGGUCGAUGGUGAUGGCAUCUAUCCUUGUUCACAGGGCAGUUUCAACGAACGCUUGGGAAUCAAGGAAUUGGUUCAGUUUGGCUUCCAAUCGAUUAAGCUGGAUGUUAAAUUGAUUUUUCUCAAAGUUCUGGUGCAGAAUAUGAGGAAGCAGGGGAUGAGAUGGUCGUCGAUUCACCAUGGGUAGCAAAUAGGGUUCAUCAUGGUGGGCUGGAGUUCACGAGCCUCCAAGGUGGUGGUUCUGAUGAAGGGUCCGAUCUAGGUGGUUGGAAUCAUGCUUGAAUGGUGAUUCACAUGCACAGGGAGCUUAAAACAGGUUGCAAAAUCUUUGCUCGGGAUUAGGGUUUCUUCUUGGAUGAUCCAUGCUUCAAGGAAUCUGAAACUAGGGCAAGCAGAAGAAAGAAUAAGCAGAAAAAAAAGUUAGGUGUUUAUGAGUUCGGUUUACUUCCUUUGGCGUUUUGGCAGAAACUCGACAUAUAUAUACCUUUCUGCGGUUGAACCUUCUCGGUUUUAACCUCCAGCGGCUAAGAAUUCCUCGGCAACGGCGCCAAAAACUUUGAUGGACAUGAGGGUCGCAGGUGUUUUGCAAGUCCGGUUGUCCGAAGUUUUAAUUUUAUAAAACCCUAAUGUCUGAAAGUGCACAGAUGUACGUUGUAGGACUUAUGGUGUUGAUCCACAUGGAAGAUGUCUAAUCUGCAAGGAAACACCAAACUGGGAGAGUAAGCAAAGUCAUAAACUCAUGGGGGUUUGGGGUUUUUGGUUACGGGAUCCUAAAAUAAUCCUAAUCUAGUAUUUACGAGAAACUAAAUGCAAUGCCAAUGAGUUGCUAAAGAAAUAAUUGAAAGGUGUUCGACUCAAACUAAGAACUCUAGACUAAUAGUAUGCGAUUUAGACUUCUCUGGUUUACUCUAAUCGAUGUCAAAGCAUUUUCCAAUUAGCUUUCGGGCGAUUUAUCCUUAUCUAUUAUUGGGAUAUGCAUGGAACUGGAAUAGACAUGUGUAUGAUUAACCCACUCUCGUCAUCUUAACCAACUAAUCAUGUAAAUCAGACAGUUAACUCUCGCUCUCAUGCCAGGAAUAAGAUUAUGCAUUUACUACUGAAAUUGUUUGCUCACAUCUUCUCUACAGGUAGCUCUCGACUAUUGUAGCUACUAUGUUUUUCUGAAGCUAGGUAUGGAUGAUCUGAUACAUUACUCUUGUGGCUCUGAUCGAUCAUAGACUCAGAGAAUAGGUCAUGAAUCUAUUCUCAUGCAGUAUGAACAACUUAGAAGAGAUGAGAUCCAUAAUAUUGUUUAGAAACUUAGAAAUCCAAAUCGAACAUGUAUACCUAUCGAUGACUCUUUAGAAACUUGACUCUCGGGGACAAAUCUACAUGAUGCAGGGAAUGAUAAAAGACAUGAAAGAAUGCAUAAAAUGAAUUAGAAAAGCUAAUUAGUUAAAAAGAAGAAAGAACAAUGGAUCCACGAAAAAAUCCCCUUCUCAAUCGUCUAACCCUAAGAAAACAGAGUUUGGCGGCUCAAAAACUCAUUACAGGAGCACACACCCGAUUAAAGCUGCUAAGAAAUAUAUUUAUAGGUCCUAAGGUCUUCCACAUCUCAUUUAGGACUUCUCUGCAGAGAAAAGACGAAAUGGGCUUUGAUGUUGGGCCUUGUGGCUCCGCAUAGGUCCACCGAGGGUGAGAGUCUCCGGGGCAGGUAAAACACUUGUUUGCCGCAGGUGAGAGCCUUCCGGUACUGGUGAAUUUGGUUAACUUGCUCUUCAUAUAUCUUUUGACUGCACCGUUAGAUUGUCCAGCUAUAAAGUGCUAUGUUAUCUCCUCUUGAAUGUCUCCCAAUUUGAGCUGGAUCGGAUGGUGAGAAAGUCUUCAUUUGAGGCUGAACUUCUGACGGUCUGACUCUGAGCUAAAAAUGUGGAUUUCUUCCAUUUUACCAUCUUUUUCCUUAAGUUUCCUGAAAAGAGUAUUGAAACUACAAACAUAGAGAAAUCAUGAUAAAAGUUUCUAAUAAUGAUUAAAACCUUCGAAAAAGCAUUUGAAAUCAAUGGUGAAAAUGGAUACAAAUAUGGUAUUAUCAGCAUGACAGUAGUUAGGAAUGAGAAUGAUGAGCUAAUCCCCACCAGGACUGUGACAGGGCAUAGGAUGUGUAUUGACUAUAGGAAGCUUAGUGCUGCCUUUAGGAAGGACCAAUUUCCUUUGUCCUUCGUAGAUAAAAUGUUAGAGAGGCUGGCAAAUCACCGAUACUAUUGUUUCCUUGAUAGGUACUCAGGUUUCUUUCAGAUUCCUAUAUACCCAAAUGAUCAGGAAAAAACAUAUUUUAUUUGCCCUUAUGGCACAUUUGCCUACAGAAGAAUGCCCUUUUGGCUGUGUAAUGCUCCUGCCACCUUCCAGAGGUGCAUGCUUUCAAUAUUUGCUGAUCUAAUAGAAGAGAACGUGGAGGUGUUCAUGGAUGAUUUCAGUGUCUAUGGACCCUCUUUUUCUUCAUGUUUGUCUAAUCUAUGUCAGGUAAAGCAAAGGUGUGAGGAGUCCAACUUAGUGAUGAAUUGGGAAAAAUGCCACUUCAUGGUGAGGAGGGCAUUGUGCUGGGACACAAGAUCUCAGAGGCUGGCAUUGAAGUGGACAAGGAAAAAUUUGAGGUUAUGGUGAAUCUGCAAGCACCAAGUUCAUUCAAAGAGGUGAGAAGCUUUCUAGGCCAUGCAGGGUUCUAUAGGAGGUUCAUCAGGAACUUUUCAAAGAUUGUAAGGCCGCUGACAAGACUUCUAUGCAAGGAGGUUGAGUUUGUGUUUGACAAAGAAUGUGAAUAUGCCUUCACCAUGAUCAAGCAAGCUUUUAUCUCAGCCUUCAUAUAGACAAUUGCCAACUUUUCAAAGAUUGUUGGCAAUUGUCUUUGCCUUUGACAAGUUUAGAUCUUAUCUGGUGGAGUCUAAAGUGGUGGUUUACACAGAUCAUGCAGCUCUUACAUACCUGAUGGCAAAGAAAGAUGCAAAGCCUAGGUUGCUGAUAUGGGUCCUUUUUCUUCAGGAAUUUGACAUGGAGAUUAAAGACAAGAAGGGGAUUGAAAAUGGAGUUGCUGAUCAUUUGUCCAGGUUAAGAGGUGAGGAUGGGAUCAUACUUGAUGAUUCACUUCCAAAGAACAUAUUAUGAUGGUGAAAGCUUUGAAUGAGCUGGGGGGAGGGGGGGGGGGGGUCAAGUCCAUCAAGGAAAGAGGUUUGCGAUGGUUUGCUGAUAUUGUGAAUAUCUUUCAUGUGGAGUUGAACCUCCUGAGAUGAGUAACUACCAGAGGAAGAAGUUCUUCAAGGACAUCAAGAGGUUCUUUUGGGAUGAGCCAUACUUGUUUGUGCUUAACAAGGAUCAUUUGUACAGAAGGUGUGUAGCUGAAGAAGAGAUUCCAGGGAUUUUGUUGGAGUGCCAUGGAUUUUCUUAUGGUGGCCACAAUGCUGCUUUCAAAACUGUGGCAAAGGUCUUACAAUCAGGAUUCUGGUGGCCAAGCAUGUUCAAGGACGCUCAGGAAGUUGUGAUCAGGUAUGAUGUCUGCCAAAGAGCUGGAAAUCUCUCCAAAAUAAAUGAAAUGCCUCAGAAUCCGAUUUGGGUGGUGGAGAUCUUUGAUUCUGGGGUAUAGACUUUAUGGGGCUUUUCAUAUCUUCACAUGGGAACCAGUAUAUUUUUGUAGCAGUUGAAUAUGUCUCAAAAUGGGUUGAAGCUGUGGCAAGUCCAACUAAUGAUGCCAAGGUGGUGGUGAAGUUGUAUAAAACCAUCAUUUUCCCAAGGUUUAGAGUACCCAGGGUUGUCAUUAGUGAUGGAGGCAGUCAUUUUAUAAAUAAGGUAGUCAUCCCUUAUCAUCCUCAGACAAGCGGUGAAGUGAAGGUUUCAAAAAGACAGAUCAAAGCCAUUUUAGAGAGGACAGUGAGCUCAUUAAGGAAAGACUGGUCCAAGAAAUUGGAUGAUGCAUUGUGGGCUUACAGGACAUCUUUUAAAACUCUCAUUGGAACUUCUCCAUUUAAUAUCCUUUAUGGGAAAGCUGCCAUUUGCCUGUACAACUUGAAUACAAGGCAUUAUGGGCAGUUAAGGUUUUGAACUCUGACAUAAAGAAUUCUCGAGAGAAAAGGCUCCUUCAACUUCAUGAGCUUGAAGAGAUUAGGCUUGAUGCCUCUGAAAGCUCAAGGAUCCAUAAGGAGAAGACCAAGACCUUACAUGAUCCGAGGAUAAUGAAGAGGGACUUCAAGGAGGGAGAUCUUGUGCUGCUGUUUAAUGAUAUGUUCAUAAUUUGCAUCAUUUAGGUUGUAUAUUUCAUUCCAAAUCAUAUCUUAUUUCAUGCAUUUUAGGUCUUUAUGUGUUGUUUUAGGACUUAGGGGUUUGCAUUCGGUCCAAGUGAGUCUUGCCUGUUUUGGAGUGUUUACAGGUGAUUUGGAAGCAGUUUGGACCUGAAAAGAUGAAGCCAGAAGAAUAAAUGGUGAUUUGGGCUUUGAAAAUGGUGAAAUCAGCCUUUUGGAGGUUCUCGGCGCUAGCCUAUACUGCUGGAAGCUUUUUUUCGGCGAUUUUCAUGCACCGCGGGUGGAUUUCUCAGCUUAAACAUGUACUGGCUGUUCAAGUUUCUCGGCCAAAUUUCCCGGAUGCAGAUACAUCUCCAAGAUCGCGUUACCAGAAGGUCUUGCCGGCCGAUUCAGUCUCCGGGGUCUUCAUCAAAGAUCAAGAUAAUUGAGUCUAGAUUUCAUAACAGUUGGAAUCUAUAGAUUUUGAGCCUCGAGUUGGAAGAUACGGCCACGCGAAGACAGACCUUUCUCGUAUCCGUUCCGGAGCAAUCCCAUACGUUUGGAAAGAUCUCAUGUCCGGAGAGUUUUAACGUCCGAUUCAGAUUACAGGGUCUUCAGAAAACUUGGAGAUGAUCAGGUCAAGGAUCCAUAACAGGUAGAAUCAUUGGAUUUGGAGUCGUGAGCAGAGAGUUAAGCUCACCGGAAGGCACACCUGUAUCGCUACAGUUUCUAGACUGAUCCGAUGAGUCACAAAGAUUGCGUGGGACGAUGCCUUUCUACUCUGAUUCAGUUGCCGGGGUCUUCAUCAAGAUUUGAGAUCUUUGAGUACUACUUCCAGAACAUCUAAGUUCAUCCAGUUUGGUGCUAUGUGCUGAAAGAUAUCGUCUCCGGAGUGAACACUGGUCCAAGAGCUUCCUUUUGAUCGUUUCAGUGAACUACAGAGAUGAGCCGUCCAGGGAACCUUCCACUUCCCAAAGUUCACGAUAUUUGAUUUCUGUUUCCACUGCAGCUGGAAUCAAGCCAUUUGGAUCUAUAUCCUGGAAGUUACGCUCCCCUGAAUGCGAAUUGGUCCGAGGAGAUUUGAAGUCUGAGAGAUGGUUUUGCGACUUAGAUAACUCGCAGCGCUUAAAGGAUAAUUUCUGGGAAUUGAGCUGCGUGUGGAGAUGUGUGGGCAGGGUAACCCUGGAUGAGAUCAAAGGCUCCCGAGCAGGAAAAAUGCUAAGUCCACAAAUGUGCGACUUGAAAAUGCGAGUUGGCCGAGUAGUGAACUAAACCGCAGGAACACUCGCUGUUUACACCGAGUUGGGCAUGCGACUUGGGAGUGAAGUAGACCAACUCGCACACAUACUUGAAGUCCUGACCUACAUGGUUGUGCGAGCUAGGGAGCAAAGGGAACUGAACCGCAUGAAGACUCGCGGUUUACACCGAGAGAGGAAUGCGGCCUGGCUUACAUGGUUUUAUCUCGCUGAAGCUUCUUUCUAGACGUGUGCGAGUUGGGCAUGCGACUUGGGACUAAAGGAGGACUAAAUCGCACACAUAUUCUCCCCAGAUUUCGUCUUGGUCAUGCGAGUUGAAGAGAAGAAAUACUGAAUCGCAUAAAGACUUGCUGUUUACACACAUAUGCGGCUGAGACUGAAGGACUUAAGGCUCACAAGACUGUUUCUAUGGCUGUGCGACUUGGGCAUGCGAUAUGGGAAGCUCCUGACCAACUCGCACACUCGAGAUUUUACACAUUAAAUCCGGGUCAGGACCCGGUUUUUUCCGGGCUGACCCGGUUCGUUUUAAGACCUAUAUAUAGUUUUUUAGGGUUUUACCCUAAGGACCAAGCUUUAUUCCUUUUGUUUCUUGCCUAUUUGGUGAAAAGACUCCCUUUUAGAAGAGAAAUAUCGAUUUUUAAGGGUUCUAAUCAAGAGCGUUUGAGAGAUCUUUGUGUUUGAAGCUGCAAAUCCAUCAUUAUCUAUCUUCUCCAUCUCCAUUUCUUAUCAUUAAUCAUGCCAAUCUUCUCAACUUGCAAAGGUUUAAGAGAGAUUAGUAUGAUUAGUGAGUAGUCACCUUAAUGAGGUUCUAGAUGUGUAGGUUAGGGUGUUAAAGUGUUAGAUUAGGAGUGCUUAGGACUAGAUUAUUGAUUCAUCUCUCUAACAAGCUGUUCUCUAGGCUAGAUCCUUGCACAUCACUUGUAAUCUAGAUUCUGGGAAUUUGAUGCACCACAAGUGUUUGAUGAAAUUCCUGAAAGAGCUGUAUUAGAGGUUUAAGCAUUUGCUGCAUGAUGAUGUCUUGUUAUUUGCUUGAAUGAUCUUUUAGAACUGUUUCUUAAUGCUCAUUGAUUCAUAUUUCACAAAUGAUGAUCUGGUUUGAAAAUGGAUUAGUGUAGAGGUUAAUGCCUUCAUGAGAGGAUUAAUCUAGAUUAGAGUUCUAAACCAUUUGAAUCAUGUCUCAUCAUUGUCAUUAGCAUUUCUAGUGUAGCACCAACGCACCCUAGCCAACUAUCAUGUCUAGAAUCUCAUGCUUCCAUCAUCUCAUAUUCACAUUACUUAUCAUUUACUUAGUUCUUGUUUGAUCAUUUCUUUAGCUAUUAAUCUUGUUUUAAGUUCUUAGUUGUCAUUAAUCAAUCAAAACCUCACUUGUUCACUUGAAUUGAGAAAAUGAUCAAAUAGCUUAGUGUCUAGCACCACAUUCUUGGAUUGACACCUCUUUUGUGCUACUUUGACAAGGGGAUUGAUAGCCCUAAGACCCAAAAAAUCUUGUCUAUCAAUUGGCGCCGUUGCCAAAUUGUGGAUUGUUUAGCAUUAAGCUUUGAUCUGUUCUUGAGAUCAAGUCUUUUCCCUUUUUUUUACUGAUCACUCUGCAAGUUCUGUCUUUGUUGUCAGGUGUAUGAACACCAGAUCAAGGUCAAGAAGCUGUGGUCCACCAUUUCCCCUGAACGACAACAUCAAUCUCUUAGUGCCAAGAAGAAGAAGAGAUAGACGUCCUAGGGAAACAGAUAGAGCAGCUGAUAUGGAACAGCAGAGAGAGCACCACGUGUUUGACAUUGAGCACCCAGGCUCAAGAGGAGCAACAGGCUCAGCAUGGUAAUGGAGCUCAAAGGAAUCAGGUUCAAGCUGACAGAAAUGAGCAACAGGCCUUUGUCAAUAUCAACAUGGCACAAAGGAAUGAGAGGCAGGCUCAGCAGAAUCAGCAGCAGGCUCAUAGGAAUGAGCAACAGGCUCACUACAUUCCUCAGCAUCAAACUCAAAGGAGACAUGAUCCUCCACCUGUGUUUGUUGGGGAAAAUGACAGGGCCAAUGCUCAUUAGUAUGGAGCAGGGAUUCAAGCACCACCGGUGCAAAACAACAAUUUUGAAGUCAAGGCAUAUUUUCUGAAUAUGGUCCAAAACUCCAAGUUCCAUGGAUUGCCAAUGAAAGAUCCUUUGGAACACUUGGACCAAUUUGAUAAAGUUUGUGACUUGACAAAGAUAAAUGGAGUAUCUAAGGACAGCUUCAAGCUCAGAUUAUUCCCCUUCAGUCUUGGUGACAAAGCAAACCAAUGGGAGAAGAAUCUUCCAAGAGGCUCUAUUAAGACUUUGGAGCAAUGCAAGCAGGCAUUUCUGUCUAAGUUCUUCUAAACUUCCAGAACAGCAAAGCUAAGAAACCAAAUCUCCAGCUUCACUCACCAUACCAAUGAGAGUUUUGGUGAAGCAUAUGAGAGAUUCAGGAGCUACACUAACCAAUGCCCACACCAUGGGUUUAGUGAGGCUUCUCUUCUCAGCACACUUUACAGAGGGGCUCUUCCCAAGAUUAGGAACCAGCUGGAUACUGCAUCAACUGGAAACUUUCUGGGGAAGGAGAUUCAUGCUGCUUUAGAGCUGGUUGAGAACUUAGCAAUGAGCAAUGAUACAUAUGGCAAAGACUUUGAUAGAACCAAUAGGAGUGAGAGUUCAAGCAGGGAUCAAAGGUAUGAAGGAUUUUAAAACACUUGAAAGCAAGCUGGACAAGGUGUUAUUGGCCACUCAAAAGCUAAUGCACUUUGUAGGAGAGUAUGAGGAACCUUCUCAAUGCUUUGAUAACAUCAGUGAAGAAGGUCUUACUCAGGAAGAGCUAAACUAUAUUGGGAAUCAGAGGUUCCAAAGAUAUCAGUAUGCCAAUGUAGCCAACCCACAAGACCAAAUUUACCCUACCUCUCAAGCUCCACAGAAUUUUGUUCCCAAGAACAACUUUCAAGGGUCUUUUCAAACAAAGAAUCUGUUUGUUCAGAAUCAGGGUUACAGUCAGCAUCAGCAACCACUUCAGGGUUCUGGUUUCAGUUCACAGCAGCAGCCAAAGGCACCAACAGGGUUCAGUCCACCACAGUUUCAACAACAAGCGCCGGUUCAGCAUCAGUUCCAGUCAGCACUGGUUCACCAGCAGCAAAAGAAUGGGUCGGACAUGGUUGGGAUUCUACAACAGCUGCUCCAGGGUCAACAAAUGUUUGCAAGUCAGUAUGCAUCUAUGCAGCAAGACAUCAAGGAGCUGAAACAGAAUCAGGCAUCCACUUCAGGAAGCCAAGGUGGCUUACCUAGUAAGCCUGAACCAAACCCAAAGGAGUAUGCUAAAGCCAUUACAUUGAGAAGUGGCAAAGAGCUACCCGGUAUAGAGCACAACAAUGUGAUCAUUGAGGACAAUGAUCAAACUGGUGGGGAGGUAGCCCCAAGGGAUGAUCAAGAUGCUGAAAGAUCAAAGAAUUGGAAGGACAAAGAGGUGGAAAAGCCAGCAAAACCAGAAAAGCCUUAUGUUCCACCACCUCCCUAUCAACCUAAGCUCCCAUAUCCAGGAAGAUUCAAGAAGCAGAUUGUAGAUAAAGCAAGGGCACUCUUUGAGAAGAUUGUUAAUGAAACACUACUUACAGUGCCUCUCAUUGAAGCAUUUCUGAUGAUGCCUAAGCUGGGAAAGUUUCUAAAGGAUGUUAUCUUGAACAAAACCAAAGAGCUACAGGGUAUGGUGGUGCUUAGCCAUGAGUUUAGUGCCAUCAUUCAGAGAAGUUCAGUCCCAACAAAGCUGUCUGAUCCAGGGAGCUUUACUCUCCCUUGUGCUAUAGGUCCAUUAAUGUUUUCUGGUUGCCUUUGUGACUUGGGUGCAUCUGUCAAUUUAAUGCCAUUCUCUAUAGCAAGAAAACUUGGAUAUAGAGUGUUCAAACCUGCUAGAAUCUCUCUUGUUCUAGCUUAUAGAUCUGUAAGGUUACCUGUUGGGAUGCUAGAGGACUUACCAGUCAAGAUAGGUGGUUUUGAAGUGCCUACAGAUUUUGUUGUUUUAGAGAUGGAUGAAGAACCUGUUGAUCCACUGAUUUUGGGCAGGCCAUUCUUGGCCACAACAGGAGCAAUCAUUGAUGUAAGAGGUGGCAUCAUUGAGCUACAACUUGGUAAAGAAAAGUUGAAGUUUUAUAUCAAGGACAUGAUGAAGAAGCCCACCAUAAAAGGCCAAUGCUUCUAUGUAGAGACCAUGGAUCAACUAGCUGAUGAACUGCUUGAGGAAUUGAAUACUGAUGAUCCUCUUCAAGUUGCCUUAACCAAAUAACAAGGAGACCAUGGGUUCUUGCCGGAGGAGAGUGAAGGAUACAAGCUGUUUUUGGACAAUGCAAGAGAACUUGGUCCUGAGGCAAGGUUUUUGGAAUUGGAACAAAGUGGCCCUGAGGUCUUGGAUAUCAGCGGCUCAAACACAAGCGAAGGAGCAGUUCAGAGAGUCAUGGCCGUGGGUUCUAAAGUUGAGAAGCAGGCUGGGCCGUGUGAACAGAUUGGCAACAAGGGAAAUGCAAUCUUGCAAGACAGCUUCAGUGCUGAUUGGGAUGAGUCAAAGGCACCUCAGCUGGAACUCAAACCUCUUCCUAAGGGGCUUAGGUAUGCUUUCUUAGGUCUCAAUGAGUCUUAUCAUGUCAUUAUCAAUGAUAAGCUGUUAGAGGACCAAGAGCAUAGGUUGUUAGAAGAGUUGAGGAAACAUAGGAGAGCCAUUGGCUACUCUGUGGAUGACAUAAAGGGUAUCUCACCCUCCCUAUGCACUCAUAGGAUUCACUUAGAAGAGGAAUCUAUGUCAUCCAUUGAGCACCAAAAGGCAUCUCAAUCCCAACUUAAAAGUGGUAGUGAAGAAAGAGAUUCUCAAACUCCUAGAGGCUGGGAUAAUUUAUCCAAUCUCAGACUCUAGAUGGGUUUCACCAGUACAUGUGGUGCCCAAAAAGGGGGAAUGACAGUGUAUAAAGAAUGAGAAGGAUGAGCUGAUUGCUACAAAGACUAUAACUAGACACAGGAUGUGUAUAGAUUAUAGAAAGCUCAAUGCAGCCUGUAGGAAAGACCAUUUUCCUUUACCUUUUAUUGACUAAAUGCUAGAGUGGCUUGCAAACCAUCCCUUCUUUUGUUUUCUAGAUGGUUACUCAGGAUUCUUUCAAAUCCCCAUAGAUCCAAGAGACCAAGAGAAGACCACAGUCACCUGUCCCUAUGGGACAUUUGCUUAUAGGUGCAUGCCAUUUGGGCUGUGCAAUGCUCCUGCUAUUUUCCAGAGUUGUAUGAUGUCUAUUUUUUCGGAUCUGAUUGAGGAGAAAGUUCUCAUGGAUGACUUCUCAGUCUAUGUACACUCAUUCUCCUCUUGUUUGUCUAAUCUGUCUCAGGUCCUGGAUAGAUGUGAGGAGCACAGCUUGGUGUUAAAUUGGGAAAAAUGUCACUUCAUGGUUAAAGAGGGAAUAAUGUUGGGGCACAAGGUCUCAGAAGCUGGAAUAGAAGUGGACAGAGCAAAGGUGGAAGUGAUGGUCAGUCAAGGGGAUAAGAAGCUUCCUUGGGCAUGCAGGGUUCUACAGGAGGUUCAUCAAAGACUUCUCAAGAAUAGCUAGGCCUUUGACUAGGCUAUUUUGCAAAGAGGUUGAAUUUUCUUUGAUGCUGAGUGUGAGGAAGCUUUCAAGAAUAUCAAGGAGGCAUUGAUCAGUGCACCAAUUGUCCAGGCCCCUGAUUGGUCAUUGCCCUUUGAAGUGAUGACAGAUGCUUCAGACUAUGCAGUUGGAGCUGUGCUUGGCCAGAGGAAGGACAGAAAACUUCAUGUGAUCUACUAUGCCAGUAGGAACCUUGAUUCUGCUCAAGAAAAGUAUGCAACCACAAAAAAGGAAAUGCUGGCAAUAGUUAUUGCAUUUGAUAAAUUCAGAAGCUACCUGGUGGGAUCAAAAGUCAUUGUGUACACUGAUCAUGCAGCCCUCAAAUAUCUCAUGACUAAGAAAGACGCCAAACCUAGACUCUUGAUGUGGGUUCUUCUCCAGCAAGCGUUUGAUAUGGAAGAGCAGGACAAGAAGGGUAUUGAAAAUGGAGCUGCAGAUCAUCUUUCUAGGCUGAGAGUGGAAUCAGAUGUCCCCUUAGAUGACUCACUUCCUGAAGAGCAUCUAAUGGUUGUCAAGACCUACUUAAAGGUGGAGCAGGCUGAUGUUAUAAGAGUGAGGAGUUUACCUUGGUUUGCAGACAUUGUUAAUUAUCUCUCUUGUGGUGUAGAGCCACCUGAACUAUAUGCUUAUAAGAGAAAGAGAUUCUUCAAAGAGGUGCAAAGGUAUCAUUGGGAUGAACCUUAUCUGUAUGUGCUGAACAAAGACCACCUCUAUAAGAGAUGCUUAGCUGAAAAAGAGAUGCAACCAGUGCUACAGGAAUGUCAUGGCUCAGCUUAUGGGGCGUCACUUAGGAACUUUCAAGACAGUGGCCAAGGUGUUACAAUGUGGGUUCUAGUGGCCUACAAUGUUCAGAGAUGCCCAGGUGGUUGUAUCAAGCCGUGAUCAGUGGCAGAGACAAGGCAACAUCUCCAAAAGAAGUGAGAUGCCACAAAAUCCCAUCUUGGAGGUGGAACUUUUUGACUGCUGGGGUAUUGACUUCAUGGGUCCUUUUGUGAGCUCAUAUGGGAAUCAGUACAUAUUUGUUACUGUGGAUUAUGUGUCCAAAUGGGUUGAGGCUGUUGCUUCCCCAACUAAUGACUCUAAGGUGGUGGUCAAGCUCUUUAAAAGAACCAUCUUCCCAAGGUUUGGGGUUCCUAGAGUGGUGAUAAGUGAUGGAGGUUCUCAUUUUGUGAACAAAACUUUAGAAGAACUGCUAGGGAAGCAUGGUGUCAAACACAAGAUAGCUAGUCUAUAUCACCUUCAGACCAGUGGCCAAGUAGAGGUUUCAAACAGACAGAUCAAUGUCAUCUUAGAAAAGACAGUAAGCAACUCAAGGAAAGACUGGAGCAAGAAGUUAGAUGAUGUUCUCUAGGCCUAUAGGACUGCUUACAAGUCUCCCAUUGGAACAUCACCUUUCAAUCUGUUGUAUGGGAAGAGCUGUCAUCUACCAGUGGAGCUUGAGUACAAGGCUCUUUGGGCUUAAAUGUUGAACUUUGACAUUAAGACAGCCCAAGGGAAGAGGCUACUCUAGUUGCAUGAACUUGAAAAGAUCAGACUCAAUGCCUUUGAGAGUGCAAGGAUAUACAAGGAGAAGACCAAGAACUUGCAUGAUCAGAAAAUUCUCAAGAGGGAGUUUAAGGUGGGAGAUCUGGUUAUUUUCUUUAGCUCAAGGCUCAAGAUCUUCCCUGGUAAUUUGAGGUCAAGAUGGUCAGGACCAUUCAGGGUUUUAGAGGUCAGAAGCUAUGGAGCAUUGGUCUUGGAGGGAAAAGAUGGAAAGGAUUUUGUGGUGAAUGGACAAAGGGUCAAACACUACCUUGUUUCUGAGAAGAGAGAGGAGGCUUCUACAGUUCCUCUUGAUGAUCCACCAGCCUGUUAAACAGGUUUUCAAAGUCAAACUUAGCGACAUUAAACAAAGUGCUCUUGGGAGACACCCCAAGAGUAUCCUUGUACAUAGUUCUUUUGAUCUUUUCUUUUCUUUCUUUUUAUGUUUUAGGAUCUUUUGAUGGGUUUUUGUGAGUUGUUCUCAGGUUCCAGGUGACUUUUGGAAGCUAUGGCUCAGGGACAAAGUGGAAUGGAACAUGUGAGAAGGCUGAGAAAAGGGUUUAAGGCAUAAAAGUUUGAUGUACACCUGUGCGCUACUUGAGUGUGCGGCUCAGUCAGGCCAGAAACCAACUCGCACAAGAACUCGCUGUUAACACCUACUAAGUGUUGCUGUUCUACGAGUUAUGUCUGCGAGUUGGAUACAAAGGAGACCAGGCCGCACUAAUUCUUGUUGUUUACACCGGCCUGGGCGUGCGAGUUGAUUCAGAAGAAGCCAGGCCGCACACCAGGAGAAAGAGUCUGAGGCGUUCAAGUGUUAAAAUGUGCAACCUGGUCAUGCGGCUUACAUCAAGGAGGGACCGAGCCGCACUAAAACUCGCUGUUUACACCGAGUUGGUCAUGCGGCCUGGCUCAAUAUCUUCUCAGGUCGCAUGCCAGGAAAAGGGCGUGCGGUUUGGAUACAAAGAAGACCAGGCCGCAGUAAAACUCGCUGUUUACACCGACCUGGUCAUGCGAGACGGUCCAAGAGCAGCCAAAGACGCACACUAGGAGAAGCACCUGUGGCGUUCAAAUAUUAAAAACGUGCGACUCGGACCUGCGGGGUAGUUCAAAGAAGAUCCCAGGCCGCACUGAUGCUCGCCGUUUACACCGGCCUAGCCAUGCGAGCUGGAACAAAGAAAUCCCAGGCUGCACACAGAGAAGAAGAACAGAUCAUCCAAGGCUCAGAAUGUGCGACCUGGUCAUGCGAGCUGGAACAAAAGAAGACCAGGCCGCACAUUAACUCGCUGAAUACACCGGGUUGGACGUGCGGGUUUGUUGAAGGUCACGCCAGGUCGCAGCAUGAGAGAAGGGACCAUAUCGUGAAAAGAAGAUUUUUGUGCGACCUGGGCAUGCGAGACGGUCAACUGAUAACACCGUAUUUUGACUAUUUUUAUGGAUCACUUAAUGUCUUUGACAUGUGUUUUUACUCCAUUUUCAAAGGUUUUCAAAGGAGUUCUAUGUUUUUCGGAUUUUAAAAGACUUUUUAGGUAAUUUGGGAUAAAGUGGCAUAAAUUGGAACAAAAAGACUCUUUUGGAUAAAUGCAGACUGUCAGAACUCUCAUGGAGAGACGAAGACCUUCUCACCGUGUGAUCACCCUCAAAAUUGAAAAACUUAUAGAAGAAUCAACCAGCUUUCAAAUGCACUUGGUUUGGAGACAUUCUAACGGUCUGAUCUCAAGAUAUUUCAAUAGCCCCAAAGACACUCGAAGACGGCCAGCAAGUCACGCGACCGCGGCCACCAGCCUAUUUCCUGCGCUCACAAGCUUCUCGACCGCGGCCAACCACCUAUUUCCUGCGGGCGGCCAACUCAGAUUAAAAGCCCAUAUUUCUGAAGCCCAAAGUCAUUUCUCAGCCUUAAUUUCGGAACCCUAGAGACCAUAGAGUGUUGAAGGCUAUAAAUACUUGUCAUUUAGGUCGUGUUUAGGGAGAACCUAGACACUUUUACAGAAACCCUUUUUCUUUAGCCGUUUUAUGCGAUUUUUAUAGAAGAUUGUUCAAGUCUGAGUUCUUCAAUAGAGAAGCUUUCUUUCAUCUCUUUUCUUUACUGUUUUUUAUUACUUUUAUUAAAACCAAUGAUGAUGUCGACCUCAGCCAUGUCUGAGUGGAUCCCAAGUUGGGCUUAGGGUUCCUGAAAGGGGCUCUCAUAAUCGAUUAAGACAUCUAGGUUUAUAGAUCUGGGAUUUUAACUUCGUUUUCUGUUUAUUCUCGUUCUUAUUGCAUGUAUGCUUGAUUAAUUACCUAGUAUCUGAUCUAGAUAGUUAGUGUUGCGAAAGUUCUCAUUAAGUAUCAGACCUAGAAUGAAACUGGCAAUUUUUCCGUAGAAGUGGAAACCUACCUGCGGCAAGAUCGUGAGUACUGACGAGUCUUGUGCAGCUCUUGCGUUCUCUCCCUUCCAGGGCCAGAGUGGAAACCUACUGGUCAGGGUUGCGAGAAACAGUUGGUUAUGAUCACGAUAGUGAUGUAGUCAUACCGCCGUACUCUAGCUCUAGAACCCUAUAUUUCGAUAUCCGUCAAUCCCAAUCUAUAAUCCCUAGUGUUAAAACCGAUUAUGAUCCCUGUAGAGCUCCCAAAAGCUCAGCGUUUUUAGCCAUAGUUUACAAACCAAUCGAUUUUUACUUGUUUAUCUAGAUCUGCAUUUUAUUCACUUUAGUUCGAUAUUUUGCUUGUUUCAUUUGCUUUCAUUCAAUUUUUCUACUUGCUCUUUAGGAUAAAUUUAUUUGCUUUCUUUCGUUUUAGUUUAGUCUGUGACAAACAACCAACCCCUAAAACUAAUCUAGUUUAGACAUAAAGUUAGAAAUCGUAGAAGAAUACCAGACACACAAAUCUCUGUGGUCUCGAUCCGUAAAUACUACAACUGAUUAGCUGUGCACUUGCGGCUUUUAUUUGUUUUUGUUAAAGGUAAAACGUGUUCCCUCACGCAGUUGACACGCAUCAAAUUUUUGGCACCGUUGUCGGGGAAUUGUUUCGCUGCCUUUUGUUAUUUUUCUUGUUCUAAUUUCUGUUCUAGACACCUGAUCUCUAGUUCUUUCUUAAAGUUUGCUGAAUUAUCUUUCCCUUCUUUUGUUUUUCUCUGAAUUGCAUGAAUACCAGGCCUGUAGAAAACAUUCCAAUUCUAGACGAGACAGACAGACACGAAAGAGAACUUCGAAGACUUAGACGAACGCAAGGAAUGGCCAACGACGACCAGCCUGGAGAUCCUGUUAACCGAGCUUUAAACAUGGAUCAUGACGGGUCCGAACAUGGAGAAAAUGAAGAGAAUGAUCACAGAGAAGGUAAUCAUGCUCGACAAGAUGGAGAAGAGGAUGAACUUCCUCCAAGAAACCAUCAAAACCGCGAGAGAGAAGAACGUGAAGACCUUGAUGCACCUAUCAAUGCAGCCAAUGGUGACCACCAGGGGAUGCAGCCGAAUGGACACGUUAACCGCACUGUUCAGCCAGCAAAUCAACACCGAAGACAAGCCAGGAACCAUCGCAUAUCUGAUUUCGAUGCACCUACUCAGAAUUUUCAGAACCGAUUCGCAAUUCAAGUACCAUUUCCGAACCGGAAUGAGUUUGAAGUCAAACCUCAAAUCAUCUCAUUGGUGAAACAAAACCCAUUCCAUGGAGUUCCUUCUGAACAUCCAAUGGAUCAUAUUGAGCUCUUUGAAUAAAUCUGCAGCAUGAUGAGAACAAACCAAGUUCCAGCAGACUCUUUAAAGUGUAAGUUGUUCCCUUUUUCUUUAGCAUACAAAGCUCACCGUUGGUUGAAAUCUUUGCCUGCAGGAUCGAUUACUAAUUGGGAAGAAUGUAAAACUGCUUUCCUGAACCACUUCUAUACUAAGUCGAGGUCGAACUUGUUGAGAACCAAGAUCUCAAGUUUUCAGCAAGGACCGACUGAACCUUUCUAUGAAGCCUGUGAACGUUUUAAGGAGUGUGAACAUGAUUGCCCUCACCAUGGAUUUCCCGGAUCAAGCCUGCUUAGUACAUUUUACCGAGGUUUGUAACCAAAAUACAAACUUUCGCUUGAUACAGCUAGCAGUGGAGAUUUUGGACAAAAGAUGAUAGCACAAGGAAGAGCCCUCAUCGAGAAUUUGGCUCAAGCCAAUAGCAAUGAUUUUCCUGAAUAUGAUCGCUCGACAAAGCAAACCAGAGCAGACAACAAGGAGAUAACCAAGUUGAAGAACAUGAUGAGCCAGCUUUUGAAAAGCAACAAUCGCCAAAUCCAUGCUUGUGAGACCAACAAUGGUGCAGAAUAUGAAGGACCUAGUGAUAUCGAUCACAUUAAUCCAGCCUUUCAAGAAGAAGAAGUGAACUAUGUAGGAGCUCAAGCACCAUAUCCAAAUCGCUUCAACAAUGGCUUCAACAACAACUUCCGGAAUGCGAAUUAUAACAAUCUCUCUUACCGCAAUCCAAAUGUGGAGAAUCCUCAAGAUCAGUACUACCCACCACAGCAAAAAUCUUUCCAAAACAAGUUCCAAGGUGGAAGUUUCGGAGGGACAGGAGCUUCUCAACCGCGACAGCCAUAUAACUAUCAAGGUACAGGUUUUAACAAUCAAUUUGUACAACAGCAAGGAGUCAUGACGAAGCAGCUAGCUUCACAAAUUGGAAGACUUGAACAGUCCAUCCAACAGCUCUAUAUGACAAACGAGAAAGCAUCUAAGGACAUGAACGUGAAGGUUGACUGCAUGUACAAUGACCUGAACGGGAAGUUUGAAGCUUUAUCUUCGCACGUCAAAAAGCUAGACGUACAAGUUGCCCAAACAGCCGACUCUAUGAAGAGACAAAGUGGAGCUCUUCCCGGAAGAGUUGAAGAUAACCCCAGAGAUUUUGCAAUGCCAUAACCACACUGCCCGAAGAAGAAGCCAGAACUGAUGGAAAGGAUGAAGAAACCCCAAUCUUUGUACCACUUUACAAGGAUGUCGAUGCCAAGCAACCACCAUUCAAGGUACCUCAACGUUCACCGUUUCAAAGGCUUACAAAAGGCGACGAUCUAGGACGUUUUGUUUUCCAAUGUUUCCUCUCAGGAAUCAAGUUCACAAACUGUCUAUGCGAUUCCGGAGCCAAUGUCAACAUCAUGUCAAAGACACUUGCCGAAACAUUGUGCAUAAAAACUUUAAAGACAUCGACGGUCAAGGUUAUCUUUGGAGAUUGAUCUCAAAAAGAUAUUGAAGGGGCGAUUCAUGAUCUACAAGUUCUAGUAGGGGACAAGAUUGUUCCAGCAGAUUUCCAAGUCCUGGAAAUGGAUCAAGACAAGGAGAGACCACUCAUAUUUGGGAGGCCAUUUCUAGCUACAGUAGGAGCAGUAAUCAAUCACGCGAACCGGCAUGCUGUCUUCCUCAAUGUAGAUCGCAGAAGGUUUUAUCCGACUGUACUAGAUGAUUUUCCAAGCAAAGGAAACCAGCCAAAAGAGAAAGAAAAGGAGAAGCCGAGAGCUUUUGCAAAGAUCAAGAUCAUCAUUCCACCAGAUACAACGGAAACUAGUGAGGACCAAAUCUAGGAGCUGAUCAAAAACACAAAAAGGGUUUUAAACAAUGUUAAAGUCCGAAAGAAGAGUAAAGGAAAGAAGACGACUCCUCAAGGAGAAGAAUUUAAACCUCCAGCGACCGGAAAUGAUAAAGGCACAUCAAGUGGAGUGCCAUUUAAAUCAGCCUGAUUUUUCAUGCCUACGUCGAGCUAAAUGACUUAACACAAAAGCGCUUAAUGGGAGGUAACCCAUUUAGGUACUCUUUCUUUUAGUUUUCUUUUCCUUUUUACAAUUUAUGUUUUUUUUUCUUUUAAGUUUCAGGUAUUCUUAUAAAACAAAAACACAAAAAAUCAGAAAAUUAGAAAAACCAAGAAAAGAGGAGAGGUUUUUGGCUGCUCGGCCGGGCAUAAACCUGAAAGUUGGACGAAGGCCGCAGGAAAAAGGGCCGCGGUCGCGACCAACCAACCCGCAGCCAAAGCAUCAUCGACUGCGGCACCGUGAAUGUGACCGCGGCCGAGCCUAUAAUCACCGCGGUCGCGCGUCUCCUCACUGCGGCCGUUGGUCGUUGAAACGGGAACUCGGACUUCCGCCACUUUUCAAAAGUUUGCUGUGUUUCCCGGUGAUUCUUGGUGUUACCCGGUGUUUCCCUGUGAUUCCCGGUGUUACCUGGUGUUUCCCGGUGAUUCCCGGUGUUACCUGGUGAUUCCCGGUGUUACCUGGUGUUUCCCGGUGAUUCCCUGUGAUUCCUGGUGAUUCCCGGAACAUUCCCGGAAAAGCCCGUUAAGAUUUUCUGUAAGUUUUAAACCACAUGUUGCGUACAAGACAAGAAACGUAAUUUCCCAUAAGCUUUUGAAUUCCCGGAAAUUUCCCGUUUUUGCUACAAAAACGCUUUUUAAAGAAAGAAAAUGCACUUUUUGGAUCAAAAACUCCUUUUUAUCUUCUCUUCCAAAAGACUUGGAGAUUUAGGAGAUAGAACAUCUUUUUCAAUUCUUAAGCUUUUUAAGAGAUUCUUGGCCCAAACAUCACUCUUUUUCAAAGCUGAUUUCAAAUAUAUCAUCAAAUCUCUCUUUCCAGCAAGGUGUGAAGCUCAAACUCACCAUUUUUAAUUGAUUUUGGAAUUUAGGGUUUCCUUAAAAAGCCCAAAUCUUGGUUUCUUAAAAAGGACAAUAGAUUAUCCUUCUAGGUUAUCUGAAAAUCGAUUUUAACACCUAGCUUAAGAGGAAUUGAGAUUUUUGAAAUUUGGAUUCUACAUGCUUUAUAAAAAUCGAAUUUGGAACAGCAAAAUUGAUGAAUUUGACUUAGUCUUGUGUGAUUAGUGAUUAGUAUUAGGUAACCUAUAUAUUUGACAUGGAAAUUGCUCACUUAAACCGAUUUUUAGAAGAUUUCUAUGUUGAGAACAUCAAAAAUCCGAAUCUGGUCAUGAACUACUCGAUUUCUUCGAUUCAAUGUCAGUUAUGCUUGCUUGUGGUUUUAACUAAUCUCUUGAUCCUAUGAGUAGUAUAACUGAUCGCUAAUGUGUUAAAAUCAGCAUCCAUAUUCACUCUUUUUCCAAGAAUCAUCUCAUCUUGUAGGAAAAAUGGAACAAACCAGAUCCCGAAGAAGCCGUCGCACUGGUGACAGCUCUGAGGACACUCCCGAUGAUGUUACUCUUGGAGAGUACAUGCUGAACCAAGCCAGACCGAGAAGAAGAAACUACGUGAUGAGACUGCUCCAGCACUCAAGAGAAACUCGAGCAAUUCCCGAGCCACCACAGAUCCGAUACAUUGGGAAAGAGAUCAACCCGAGAGUGGACUAUGCAAGACGUUUCAAGAAGCUGAACAUCAAACCGACGCUCUGCAUUGAUUAUCAUACACUCGAGAUGCUUGGCAUUAGAGAAGAUGUAAUCUGGUACCUCGAUGCACUUAAGCUGAGACCCUACAUGGAGCUGAACCUUCCAACAUAUCCCGAGCUAGUCUGCGGGUUCUUAGCAACUGUCACCCUCCACCACACGAAGAGGAGGAACCCCAGAGCAUCUGACGGCAUCUCGUCGUUCUCUAUCCGCUGACAGACAUACUAACUCACCAUUCCUUCACUUUGUGAAGCUCUUAAGCUUCCAUACACUGAUGGCAUUCACCUUAAAGAGGAACCCGAUUUUGACUUGUGGAGAGAGAUGGGUCAUGGCGUCUAUGAUAGCGGGAGAUACUCCGUUUUUGAGUGUUUCAUCCAAAAGAGUUCUUGAGUGUUUAUCAUCUUUUCAUCAUCAUCUAUCCAUCAUCUAUCUUUUUUCAUCAACUAAUCAUGCUUAACUACUCUUCUUGCAAAGGAAUCAGAGAGUUAAUCAUGAUUAGGGAGUAGUCACCUUAUUAAAGUUCUAGACAUGUAGGUUAGGGUGCUUAGAGGUUGGAUUAAGCAUGCUUAGGACUAGAUUUAUGCAUCUCUGUCUUGUUUAGCUGAUCUUAUUGCUGGGUUUUAGAUGAUCUCUCUAACAAUGUCACACAUUUCAUCACUUGCGAGCAUCAAAGAACUAAUAACUAGGGCCAUGAACUAAACUCUUAUAAUAAUGCUCUCUCAAAGAAAUCUAUCAUUUCUCCCAUGCAAAUGAUGCAAACCUAUAUGAUUAUGCAACUUUAGACCCAAUCUUAACAUGUGAAUGCAGCUACAUGAACAUUUUUGUGAUUUUUUUUUCAAAUUUUUCAAUUAUUUUUGAUUUUACUCCCCCACACUUAUCCUUUGUUUGCCCUCAAGCAAACUAGAACAAAUGAGAGAGAGGGUUGGAAUUUGGGAGUUUACAUUUCUUUAAAGAGAGAGAAUUGAUCAUCAAAACAGUUCAAGCUCAUGGUUCUAGGUACUAAUUGUGAAAUCCAAUACAAGGAAUACUUUGAAUGCAACAAAUCCAAACCAUGACCUACACAAGCAUUCUUAUCUUUCAGCCUUUUAACAUUCAUUAAGUUUUAACCAUGUGGAUCAAAGUGAUGCUUAUUCAAAUGAACUUGUUUGGCUAAUGGAUGAGGUUAUGAGACGAAAAGGAUCUCAUUAAAUGCUUAAAUGGGUUCAAUGCAGUAGGGGAUCUCUCAUUAAAUGAUCAAACUUUGGGAGAAGGCUAAAGGUAAAAAGCAACUGACGCAUACAAGGGCAAAAACUCAUCUAAUCCCUAAUACCUAAGAUGCCUCUAACACAAAGUCUCACACUUCUCUCCUCACUCAUUUUUUCUCACUAGGGGAUUCACUUUUCAUUUAUAAACACUGGCUUUGGGGUUUAAACUUUAAAACUUAGCUCUCUUUCACAUAGCACCUUCCAGCCCCUCUUCUUAUCUUUUUGGACACUUUAGCCUUUUUGGCUUCGUUUCUUUAUUUCUUUUCACUUAAAGGCUGGAAUUUUCCUUUUUAAAACACCAGAGCUUUCUUUUGUUUGAAAUCUAGACCCCACUCCAUUUUCUUUCCUUUUCCAUCCCCUAGCUCUCAUUACUCUCCACUUUCCACACAUCUUUUCUUUAACCUCUCACCAACAAACCAUUCCCCCACCCUUAAUCCUUGCCAAGACCUCUUAGUUCCUUGAUGAUGGAACUAAACAUCAUGAGGCUUACCCUUGUCUCUCUAAACCUAACACUUUCUGCUAAGUUUGAUCCAAGGUGGCCUCUCAACACUAACAAACAUUUGACUUGAAGGAAGGUUGGGUUCAGGGUGUGGAAACUGAUCCAAUGUAUGGAAUCAGCUAUUUGAGCUAAGGAAAAGAGUGGUAAAAAUGGGCUUCUAGCUCAAAUAUGUAUAAGUAUCCACAAGUUCAUCUAAACAAGCAUCACAUGAUAUUUUACAGUCAGGUUAAGUGUUUCAAUUGCUAAGGCUGAAUUCAGUUCAAAGCUUGUUUCAAUCAAGGUCUAAACAAUGUCACACAUUUCAUAACUUGCAAGUAUCAAAGAACUAAUAACUAGGGCCAUGAACUAAACUCUUAAAAUGAUGCUCUCUCAAAGAAAUCUAUCAUUGCUCCCAUGCAAAUGAUGUAAACCUACAUGAUUAUGCAACUCUAGACUCAGUCUUAAGAUGUGAAUGCAGCUACAUGAACAUUUUUUGUGAAAAGGUUUUCAAAUUUUUAAUUUUUUUGUGAUUUUAAAGGGAUCUCUGGAAUCAUUGAGUGAAAAAGAGAGAGAUUGAGAUGAGAGCCAGGGGAUGUAAAAGAAAAGAAAUCGGAUUGGGGUUUGGUGUUCAACAAAAAGAAACCUCUUGAGUUUAAAAAGGAAAGUCUAGCCUCUAAGUGAAAAGAAAGAAAGAAAAGAAGCAAAAAGGCUCAAAUGUCUAAAGAGAUAAGAAAAGAGGCUAGAUAGUACAAGUGAGAAAGAGUUAAGUGUAAAGUUUAGACCCCACGGCCAGAGUUUGAAAAUGAAAGUUGAAUCCCCUGGUGAGAAAAAGAAUGAGAAUGAAGUGAGAAGUGGGUUAAGAAGGCAAAGAAAGCAUUGGAAAAGGGGUAGCUUAGGUGUGUUCUUCAUGGCUUUAGAUUUAAGGUAAAAGAUCAAUUUGGGGCAUUGGUUUCUUUUUACCCUUAGCCUUCUUUUGAAGUUUAUUCCUUCAUAGAGUGUUCCCUGAGUUGAAUUAAACCCACCUAAGCAUUCAAUGAGAUCAUUUUUAUCUCAUAACCUCAUCCCUCAGCCAAACAAGUUCAUUUGAAUAAGCAUCACUUUGAUCCACAUGGUUACAACUUAAUGAAUGUUAAAAGGCUGAAGGAUAAGAAUGCUUGUGUAGGUCAGGGUUUGAAUUUGUUGCAUCCAAAGUAUUCCUUGUAUUGCAUCUCAGGACUAGUAACUAGGACCAUGAGCUUGAAUUCUUUUGAUGAUCAACUCUCUCUCUUUAAAGAAAUGCAAACUCCUAAGCAUCAAACAUCUUUCUCUUAUUUGUUCUAGUCUGCUUGAGGGCAAGCAAAGGAUAAGUGUGUGGGAGUUGAUAUAUUCAUAUCUUUGCAUGUUUAAGAUGCAUUUUUAGUCCAAGAAUGGAGUCUCAUUCAUACAUUUUAUAUAGAUUCUUCAUGUUUUAUCUUUGUUUUAGAAUUUUAGGACUUUGCAUUAGGUCCAAGUGAGUCUUGCAUCUUUGAAGUGUUAAUCAGGUACAUUGGAGCCUGUUUGGACUGAAAAAGGUGGAACCAGUGGAAGAAAUGGUGAAAUUGGCAAAAAGGAGGUUAUCAGACAUUUUGUGAACUGCGGGCAGCUUUUUCUCGGCCAAAAACCGUACCACAGGUUACGUCUCUAGGCCAAAAACCUUACCGCGGUACAUGUCUCUCGGUCAAAAAUCCCUACUUGCCAAUAUAAUUCCAAAAUUGCCUGAGACGAAGUCUUUCCCGGUCAGUUAAGUCUCCGAUGUCUUCAUCUAGAUUUGAGAUCAUUGUGUCUAGUUUCCAGAACACUUGGAAUCACCUGAAUUGGAGCAGUGAGCGUAAGGUUAUCGCAAGCAGAAGAAGAACACGUCUCGGAGACUUUUCUGGAUCAUUCUUGUGCGCUUUAAAGAUCAGCCACCCGGGAAAACUUGCUCCCUCCAGAUGCAAUCGGGGUCUUCACCAAAGUUCGAGGCGGUUGAGUUGAAUUUCUUCUGGAGCUGGUACCGAGUCUCUUUUGGAGCAUUGGUUCGAUAGUUACACCGGUUCAAGUAUUCACAUGUUUUUCACAGAUCCUGAGUGUUCAAGUGAAAAUUAUGCCUCGAAAACACUACCUCGACUCAAUCCAACUAAAGGCAUGUCUUCUCAAUUCUCUUUAGGCACACCUCGACAUGAAGGCCUCAACCAUAUAACCUCGAGGCAGCCUCGUUCAGAAACUUCAUCUCCAAAAUGGCUAAGUGUCAAGCUUUAUACUUCAUCAUGAGUUUCGAUCUAGAAACGACUAAGUAUUAGACUAAGCCUCGACUUCUAUGCCUCGACUUACCUGAACCGAGGCACCUCUACAUAAAAAGCCUCGACAUGAAGACCUCGGCUCAUCAGGGAACCCGAGGCAAGCACCGAAUGAAAACAUGCAAGACCUUGGGUUCACCCCAACACGAUUUCAACCUGAGGCCAAAGCCAAACCAAAUGGUGCAAAACCUUGACCUCUGACCUCGACAUAUUCUAUCCCGAGGCCUCUUCUCUUCACCCGUCCUGAGCAAGAACAACAACGCCUCGACAUAUAAGCCUCAAGAAUAAUCAAACCCAAGGCAUGCAUGUGUUCUUAAGGCUUAACCCAGAUUUCACUGCCUCGGGUUGGAGGCUUCGGCUUGGAGAUCUGGACAUUGACCCGAGGCACACUUACCUUUACCCAAGAAAACUGGGUCAGUACUCAGUUUGUUCUGGGCUGACCCGGUCCGAACCUUAGGCUAUAAAUACAUUUUGUGGCUAAAAACCCUACUUACCUUUCAUCUACUUUUGUUCCUUGCUUCUUUUGUGAAAUACUCUUUGUGUUAAGAGAUAUCUUUGGGGUUUUAAUCAAAUCAAGAGCUGUUUCUUAGCAGUUUAUCAUCUUAUCUUCUCAAAUCACAUCAUUAAUCAUGAUCAACAACACAGCUUGCAAAGGAUUAAGUGUAUUGAUUAUGAUUAGUGUGUAAUCUUUUUAUAAGGUUCUAGACGUGUAGAUUAGGGUGCAAAGGUGUUAGAUUAGGGAGUUUAGGAGUUAGAUCAUGCAUUUUCCUUUCUAUAAUUAGCUAUUCCUAAAGCUAGAUCACUGAUAUUCACUUUGGUCUAGAUCAUAGGCAUUUCACCACUCAAAAGGUGUUUGAUUAUAUGCCUGAACCAGCUAAUUAGAGGUUUAUGCUUUGUUCAUCAUGGAAAUGAUUGUUUAAUGCAUAAAUGACAUAUUAGAGCUUUUUAAUAAUGCAUACUGAUUAAUAUUACACUAAUGGGAAUUAGGUUUGAGUAUGGUUUAGUGUAGAGAUAAAUACCUUCAAGAGAGGAUUAGUCUAGAUUUGAGUUCUAAGUUGAUUGGAUCUGUUUGAUUGUUUAUCAUUAGCUCUCUAGUUUAACACCAAUGCACCCCGAUCAAGUAUCAUGUCUAGAACCUUUGUUUUCAUCAUUUUCAUAUCAUCAUGACCUUGCCAUUGUUUGUUUUGCUUUUUUUGAUCAUAGUUUAUACUAGUCUAAAUACAAUUUCACCACUUGUUACAAAACGAACUCAUUGCCUCUUGGAUUAAGACUGCAUUCAUGCAUUCUGGUAUCUAGAUAUCACACGUUGGAUUUGACACCCCUUAUAUUGCAAAGACAUUGGGGAAUUGAACCCACAAGAACUGAAAAAAGAUCUUGUUUUAGCGAUCUUGGGUGAAUCCAUUGGGCUGGCUUAGCACUUACUGCGGGUAGGAAAAGCUUGGGUUGAGGCGAUAGGUUUUGUGUCAAGGCGCGGGCUAGGAAUGCGGGCACGACAAGGCCAGCGAUACGGGUCGAGGCUGUGUGAUCGCAGGCAAGUCGAGGCGAACGGUGUGGGUUCUAGCCGCGAGUCGGUUGCACGGGACCGCAGGUCGAUGGCACGUGACCGCGGGCAGGACCACUUCACGGCUGGUAAAAACUCGGGCCUGCAGUCGAUGGCCUUGUCGCCUCGGUCGGGUCAUAUGCUACCGCGGGACAGAGUGGCUCACGAGCCGACUCAUUCUUCUCUGUUUUCUAUCGUUUAGGGGUUUAUUUCGAAUCUUCUCUCCAAUAUUUUUGUGUUUUUUGGUUUUUUGAAUGUUUUGUGGUUUUUAUUUGAAGCCUUAAAUGCAGAAAAAAAAAAUUAAAAAAAAACAUAAGUAAGACGUACUAAUUGGGUUACCUCCUAUUAAGUGCUUUUGUUUAACGUCAUCUGCUCGACCUUUCAGAAAGAAGUUAUGCUUGAGACGAAGAUUCUCCUUGGAUGGAUGUUCCUUGGAGUUUCUUGAGUUUUGUUGAUCUAUCUUCUUCUCCUUGAAUUACCAACUUCUUUCUUUUCUCGUUCUUUGGGACUUUGACAUUUUUCAAGAGUUCCUUAGUACUUCAAUCAGUCGUUGGAUUUGUUCUUCGUUGGUCUCUGUUAAAUCCGGUGGGAUAACGAUUUCAACUUUAACAAAAAAUUUUAUCUUGUAGCUUGGCUUAUUCUUUUUCUUGUCUGUUUCCUUUGGCCGACUCCCUUUAGUCUUGCUCUGGUCGUCUCGGAAUUCAUCACGGACUGUAGGGUAGAACUUCUUUCGAUCUAAACUCAAGAAAACAACACACCUGUGGUUGCGAAGAACAGGCAGCCAAAGAUCAAUGGUCUUUCCUUGUCAUAUUCCAUCUCAAGGACAUGAAAAACAGCUGGGACAACCUUGUUUUCCUACAAGUAAUAUCAGGUCAUGGGUUGUUCCUUCGAUAUCUUUUUGAGACGAAUCGCCAAAGACCACUUCAAUGGUCGAUUUCUUGAGUGUCUUGAUGCCUAGCUUCUCGGAAAAUGUCUUUGACAUGAUGUUGACGUUUGCUCCGAAUCGCAUAGACAAUCCAAAAAACUGAUCCCUAAAAUUAAACAAGAGAAAGAAAAACGUCUCUGAUCAUCAGCUUUGGAAAGCCUUUAAAGCGGACGAUGUUAAGAUACCUUGAAAGGUGGGUGGUCUGUUAGUUCAGCCUCGGAUUUGACACUCUAGAGGUAAAAUAAUUGGAGACUCCUUGGCUUCUUCAGGCACAGAGGCUGAGAUCUCGGUAGCUUCUUUAUCAGUUACUGGUUUCUUUCCUAUAUCAUUGCAGAAACACUUCAGGUUAUCUUCAACUCUUCCGGGCAAACUAUAUUUUCUCUCUUCAUCAGAUCAGUGGUUUGGGAUACAUGAACAUUUAGCUUCUUGAUAGACUAGAGUUUUCAAGCUCUUAGGGUAUCAAUCUCCUUUAUCUGUUGUAGCAUAAAGGGAUAUCAAUCCAAAAAUGUGGUUUAGUACACUAGUCUAUCAACUUUGUGUCCUAAUCCAAGCAAAUAAGUAGAUUGGUUGUAACAAGUAACAAAUGAAAGCUAAACGAGACUAAAACAAUAUAAAAAUGCAAACAAAGCAAUAAACAAAGACAACACAAGAUGAUGAUGAUAUGAAUAUGAUGAAACUUAUAACUCUAGACAUGAUAGUUGGCAAAGGUGCAUCAGGGUUUAAUUAAGUAGCUAAUGAAAAUGAUAAUGAAUGAUCUAAGCAGCUUAGGAUUCAAGCAAGUUUCAAUCUUUCUCAAGCAUCAAAACACAAUCUCAAAAAUCGCUCAUACCUAAUCAUCAUUAGAGACACAAUGAAAAAAAAGCAUUAAACACCAAUCCUAAUAUACAAUCUAUACUCAAAACAACAUUCCCAUGUGAAUCAAACAAUUGAAUCUUGAUUUAGCUGUUUCAGGUUUUUCAUCGAACAUCUUUUGGGUGGAUGAAAUGCCUAAGAUCAGGGUUAAAGAUAUCAACUAAAACCCAGCAUUAGGAUCAGCUAUACAAGACAGAAAUGCAUUAAUCUAGUCCUAAGCAUGCUUAAUCAAACCGGUAAGCACCAUAACCUACAUAUUUAGAACGCUAAUGAGGUAACCACUGACUAAUCAUGAUUAACUCUCUGAUUCUUUUGCAAGAACAGUAGUUAAGCAUGUUUAUCCUUCAACCUUUUGACAUUCAUUAAGUUGUAACCAUGUGGAUCUAGUGAUGCUUAUUCAAAUGAACUUGUUUGGCUGAGGGAUGAGGUUAUGAGACAACGAUGGUGUCAUUCAAUGCUCAGUGGGUGCAAUGCAGCUCAAGAAAUCACUCUAAAGGAAUAAACUUUAACAUAAGGCUAAGGGUAAAAAGCAACUGAUGUAUACAAGAAUAGAAUCCUAUCUACCCAAUGCCCCAAAUUGAUCUUUCACCUUAUCUAUAAACCCAUGAAAAACACACCUAAGCUACCUUUUUUCCAAGACUUUCAUUUCUUUCUCAACCCACUUCUCACUUUAUUCUCAUUUUUUUUUCUCACCAGGGGAUUCAACUUUCCUUUUCAAACUCUGGCUCUGGGGUCUAAACUUUACACUUAGGUCUUUCUGACUUGCACUAUCUAGCGUCUUUUCUUUCUCUUUAAACACUUGAGCCUUUUUGGCUUCUUUUCUUUCUUUCUUUUCACUUAGAGGCUAGACUUUCUUUGUAAACUUAAGAGCUUCCUUUUCUUUGAACACUAGACCCCAAUCCAUUCUUCUUUUCUUUUCCACCCCCUAGCCCUCAUCUCAAUCUCUUUCUUUUUCACUCAAUGAUUCCCAAGAUCCCUUCCUAACCUACUCUAGUCUCAUGAUGCAGAGCUAGAUCAACAUGAAAGCCUACUCUUGUCGCUCUAAAUCCAACACUUACUGUCAAGUUUAUAAAGCAAGGCUUCACAUCGCUCACUAGAGUGUUUAGGCUUCAAAUAUGGCUUAGUUAAGGGCAGGGAAAACUAUCUUCAUGAUGGAGAUCAGCUACUUGGGUUAACAAGAGUGGUAAAAAGGAAGAAGAUAACCCAAGUAUGUAUAUGUAUCCACAAGUAUAUCAAAACAAACAUCACUUGAUAAUUCAAAGUCAGGUUAAAAGUUCCACUUGCUAAGGCUGAAUUCAAUUCAAAGCUUGCUUCAAUCAAGGUCUAAACAUUGUCAUACAUUUCAUCACUUGCAAGCAUCAAAGAACUAAUAACUAGAGCCAUGAAGUAAACUCUUUAAAUGAUGCUCUCUCAAAGAAAUCUAUCAUUACUCCCAUGGUAAUGAUGCAAACCUAUAUGAUUGUGUAGCUAUAAACUCAAUCCUAAAUGUAAAUGCAACUAAAUGAACAUUUUUUGUGAAAGUUUUCGAUUUUUUUGGUUUUUUUCUAUGCAUUUAAAUGUUAUGUAUGAUAAAAGUGAAAAUUCCUCAGACUAACCCUUAAGGUUAAUGUAUUGACAAACUUAGCCUAACAUAUCCAUCAGCUUACUAGAGUAACCUUAGAAAGUUGGUGUUAUACCAUUUUGUCCAAAUAAUGAAUAUUAUUACCAGAUUGCCAUUCUAUUUUAAAAAACCUUAAAAUAAAACAUAUUACAAAAAAAAAGAAAUCAUAAUCCAAAACAUUCUUAAAAUCGAAAAUCGAAAAUACAAAAACAUAAAAAUAGAAGCUGAAACCCUAAUCUCCUCCGGCGGCGACUGUAAAGGCGAUUUCGCGACGAAGGAGACGAUUUCGGCGAUUUCGCGACGAAGGAGACGAUUUCGGCGGCGACGAAAGUUUUUCGGCCACUCAUCUCGUAAGUGUUGACGUCUGGGUUAGUUUCUCGUCGCGGACAAGUUUUUGACUUUGGUUUUCGCGACGGUUGUGUUUGGGUUUUACUCGCGACGGUUGUGUUUGGGUUUCAAUGGUGGUUUCGCGCUAACGUCAGAAGAGAACUCCAUCUUUUCGUUCGUAGUCGAAAACCCUUUACCCAGAAAUCGUAACCCUUUGCUUUUUUUUGUUUUCAGGGAAGUAUUAUCGGCGGGUUCCGUCUUUCGAGAACGGUUUCUACUGAGCCCAGACGAUUUCCGGCGACCAAUUUCUGUUUGUAGUGGUUCGGUUCUAAUUUCUUUUUGGUAGACUUUCAGCAGUUGGUUGCAGUUGUUCGAUUUGUAUAUGCUUAACGGUAGAUUUAUUCGUGUUUAACGGAGUUCUUUUCUAUGUGAGGUAGAUUUGUUUUCGUUUCAUUGUGUGGUAGUAUUGUUGGUUUAUUUAUAUCAUGUGUGGUAGAGUUGUGGUCGUAUUUGGUAGAGUUAUAUACUAUAGUUGCUCCCGGGUUUGGUAGAUUUUAUAUUAUAGUUGCUUUCUUGUUUGGUAGACAUGUUCAUGGUAGAUUUGUUUUCAUAUGUGGUGAGCGUUUGGUAGACUUACGAAUUCUAUAUUUGCGUUCUCUCUUUGUGUGUGGUAGAUUUAUGUAUUUAUUUGGUAGAUUUGUGUUCUAUAUUUUCUUUUCUUUUAUUUGUGGUAGAUUUGUGUUCGUUUUGGUAGAUUUGUUAAUGUUUUGUGGUAGGUAUUCUAUAGUUGUUGUCGAGUUUGGUAGAUUUGUUGUUGUUCAUGGUAGAUUUGUUUUGAUGUGUGGUAGAUUUGUAAGAUUUAAAUGUUUUUAUUUGUUUGCACCACAUGGCUUCAGCUAGCGGCUCAAAGGAUGAUCCCCAAAGAUUGUACCCGGAAGGCAAAUCUCCUUUGCUGAAGAAGAGUUGUCAUCAUAACUGCAAGCUUCAUGAGUUCAUCAUGAUGAUCAGGGAUCACCUUGGGGAAGAAAUUUACAACGACAUCAUGAAUAAUUCUCAAGUUGGCGUGCUACUGAAGCUUGCAUUGACUUCGUUCAUAUGGAGUGCUAAGACGGUUCAGUAUUUUGUGAGCAACCAACUGAAGGUGGAUAGGAAUCAUGAGUUAUGGACUCUUAUUGGAGGUCGCCCNNNNNNNNNNNNNNNNNNNNNNNNNNNNNNNNNNNNNNNNNNNNNNNNNNNNNNNNNNNNNNNNNNNNNNNNNNNNNNNNNNNNNNNNNNNNNNNNNNNNCCCGAUGUAGAUGACUCGGUUGUUCCUCUUCUUAGGUGGACUUCAUCACGGUGUCGUUAUGUGGUCGAGACUCUUUUGGAGAUGGAUAAGAGUGAAACCGAGGACCACCAAGGUACUGGUACCUUAGCUGCUAUUUAGUUGGUAGAGUUUUUUGAAUAAUAGCUUAGUGUUUGGUAGAGUUAUUAUAUACAACAAUUGUGGUAGAGUUAUUAAAUGUGGUAGAAUAUAACAUUUGGUAGAGUUUUUACAAUUUGGUAGAGUUUUAACAUUUUGGUAGAGUUUUUACAUUUUGGUAGAGUUUGUACAGUUUGGUAGAGUUUUUACAUUUUGGUCGAAUUUUUGAUUCAGUUUGAUAGAUUUAUUAAUAUCAUGGUAGAUUUAUUAAUAUCAUUUUCUAUGGCAUGGCAGGUUCAGGUUAGACAUCUAAUGGCGGUGAAGCCCUUGGAGGAAAUAUAUCCUGUCUGGGAAGGUGAACCCCGACGUGUAGACGUCGAUAUAAAGGUGCAUAACAUGAUAUGCGAUAUUCUGGAUGGAAGCUUGGAUGAGGGGUUCUGGGAAUCUCCCAAAAAUGUAGGUGGCGAUGCAACAGGUGGCGCUGCAACAGUUCAGACGCCGAAACAGUCGAAGAGGAAGUUGGAAACUCCACGCGUGGAGAAGAAAAAGAAAGAGAAGGUGAAAGAGGCUGAAGCAACGGAUUCAACUCCGAGAAGCAAAAGGAGAAGGGAAAGAGAGGCAAGGAAAGAAGAGACGAAGCACAAAAACAAGGAGAAAAAGAAACGUAAGAAGGAGGAUGAGGAAGAAGAUGAUGAUUUUAACUCGCCGGUGAAGCUACUAAAGGAUGCAAUUGAAGAAAAGAGAAAGGAGAAAAGGGAGAGAAAGGAAAGAAAAGAAAGAAAGGAGAAGGAAAGAGAGAAGGAAAGAGAGGAGCAGGAGAGAGAGAAGCAAAGAGAGAACGAGAGCAAGAAGAAAGAGCCCGCUGUGGAGAAGGAGGAUAGGACGAAUGAGAUCCUCAUGGCAAUCAAUGGUUUAUCAACGACGGUAGCAUUGCUAAACAGCAAUGUCAGCAGUGCUGUAAUUCGUAUAGACCACCUGGAUAAGAGGAUUGCCGUUAUCGAGGAUAAACAUGAAGAGAAAUAGGAGGCCAUGACGAAUUCUGGGAACAAGGUUGACAACGACCAUGGUAACAAUGAUUAUAAUGCCGGUGAUGCAGAAUCCAAAACCUCACCGAAAACCCCUAGAGCAAAGGCAUCUCCUCCAGCAGCAGCGCCAGUAGCAGGAACGUCAACGGGAGGUGGAGCAGGAACGGGAACGGGAGCUGUGGAAAAAGAUCCGGUACGCAAGUCUCUCUUCUAAUGUCAUGGAGACAACAUUCAACUAUGUUUAAACAGAUCGUUUUCCUUUCCUUUAUGGUAGAUUUGUACGAAAUACUUUUUUACUUUGGUAGACUUGUAUUGAUGGUUUUUUUAAACUUUUCCUGCACAGUAGACUUUUAAUGUUUUCUUGGAAUACAAGACUAACUUUAUGUGGUAGAUUUUUGGCAGUGAUAUUUAUAUUAGGUAGAUUUAUAAUUAAUUCGGUAGAUUUUUAGGUAGAUUUAGUUAUGUUAUUAUUUGGUUUGACUGAUGUGAAAUUACUAUACAUGCCAAGCAGUCAUGGAUGAUGGAGAUGCAUGAAACAUCAGAGCCAGGUUUUCCUGUUGCAAGAGUUGUUAGAACCCCAGCGUCGAGAGGAAAGACUGUAACCAAAGUGAAAAAAGAACCUGCUGAUCCUAAAGAGAAGAAUAAAUCAGGCACAAAGUCAAAACCUGAUUUAAAAGACAAAAACGAAGAAAGCCAGAUAAUCAAUAUAAGCGACGUUUCACGCCCACUACAGUCUAGACGAGUACAGAUCCCAUCCCUGCAAGACGAAGACGACUCAGCGAUUGAAGCUAUGAAGAAACGCUUAGAUAAGCUGGUGGAACAUGCAAAAAAUCCACCUGCUGAGAAGGAAAAAAGGGGACGCAGCCUUGCACCGACCCAGGUUUCACCCUACCUUGGUAACUCAGUGGUGAGACGCAUCAUGGACCCAGCAGGUCCCCCUCCUGGGAGGUAUGAUCCUUUUGAAGCGGUGGACAAUCGAAUACUGGAUAAUCUAACCCGCUACGUAGCUUUUGAAGCAUAAGUCAGUUUUAAAUUUCCAUGGUAGACUUACUUGUUUGAUUUGGUAGACCUAUUGUUUUAUAUAGUAGACUUAUUACGUAUGUGGUAGACUUACUUCGGAGUCUGGUAUGUCUAUGUCAUUUUUCNNNNNNNNNNNNNNNNNNNNNNNNNNNNNNNNNNNNNNNNNNNNNNNNNNNNNNNNNNNNNNNNNNNNNNNNNNNNNNNNNNNNNNNNNNNNNNNNNNNNNNNNNNNNNNNNNNNNNNNNNNNNNNNNNNNNNNNNNNNNNNNNNNNNNNNNNNNNNNNNNNNNNNNNNNNNNNNNNNNNNNNNNNNNNNNNNNNNNNNNNNNNNNNNNNNNNNNNNNNNNNNNNNNNNNNNNNNNNNNNNNNNNNNNNNNNNNNNNNNNNNNNNNNNNNNNNNNNNNNNNNNNNNNNNNNNNNNNNNNNNNNNNNNNNNNNNNNNNNNNNNNNNNNNNNNNNNNNNNNNNNNNNNNNNNNNNNNNNNNNNNNNNNNNNNNNNNNNNNNNNNNNNNNNNNNNNNNNNNNNNNNNNNNNNNNNNNNNNNNNNNNNNNNNNNNNNNNNNNNNNNNNNNNNNNNNNNNNNNNNNNNNNNNNNNNNNNNNNNNNNNNNNNNNNNNNNNNNNNNNNNNNNNNNNNNNNNNNNNNNNNNNNNNNNNNNNNNNNNNNNNNNNNNNNNNNNNNNNNNNNNNNNNNNNNNNNNNNNNNNNNNNNNNNNNNNNNNNNNNNNNNNNNNNNNNNNNNNNNNNNNNNNNNNNNNNNNNNNNNNNNNNNNNNNNNNNNNNNNNNNNNNNNNNNNNNNNNNNNNNNNNNNNNNNNNNNNNNNNNNNNNNNNNNNNNNNNNNNNNNNNNNNNNNNNNNNNNNNNNNNNNNNNNNNNNNNNNNNNNNNNNNNNNNNNNNNNNNNNNNNNNNNNNNNNNNNNNNNNNNNNNNNNNNNNNNNNNNNNNNNNNNNNNNNNNNNNNNNNNNNNNNNNNNNNNNNNNNNNNNNNNNNNNNNNNNNNNNNNNNNNNNNNNNNNNNNNNNNNNNNNNNNNNNNNNNNNNNNNNNNNNNNNNNNNNNNNNNNNNNNNNNNNNNNNNNNNNNNNNNNNNNNNNNNNNNNNNNNNNNNNNNNNNNNNNNNNNNNNNNNNNNNNNNNNNNNNNNNNNNNNNNNNNNNNNNNNNNNNNNNNNNNNNNNNNNNNNNNNNNNNNNNNNNNNNNNNNNNNNNNNNNNNNNNNNNNNNNNNNAAAUGGGGGACAGAUGUUGAUUUCGUGUAUAUCGCCCACAACGUGAACAACAAACAUUGGGUAGCCGUUGAGGUCGACAUUCCCAAAAAAAAGAUCCGAGUGUUUGAUUGCAUUCCAGAUUUAUACAGAAAAGGCGAGGUGGAGGAGUCUGUGAAGCCUUACGCGAGGAUGAUUCCGCUGUUGUUGAAACAUAUGGCACCACCGGAGCUCAAGAAGGGUAUGAAGGAGGGGCAGUUUCAUAUCUACAUGUAUAAAACAGCGGCACUAAACAGACAGACAGGUGCAAUGCAGCUCUGUAGAUUUGGUAUUUUUAUUUGGUAGACUUUUAACUAAUUAUCGGGUACUUGUUAUCAGGUGAUUGUGGCGUCUUUACUUUGAAGACCAUCGAGUGUUUGGCUUUGUGCCAUAAAUGGGACCAGCUGAAAGAUAGCAACAUGCCUCUCAUUCGUAUGAAAUACGCAGCUGAGAUUUUUGAUGAGGUACAUGAAGCAGAAGAAUCCCGGAUGUCUGAUCCUAACCCUCGAAGUUUAUUUGAUGACAAGUACGGUUUACAGACAGACUCCGCUAACUGAGAUCUUGGUUUGGUAGACCUUUGGGAUCUGAAAUCGUUUUUUGGUAGAUUUAAUACUCAGAUCCAAACUAAUUGGUAGACUUUUGGUAUCGGAUGUUGUAUUUUGGCCGAUUUAUUACUCAUAGCCAGCCUCUUUGGUGGUCUUUUGGAAUUUAGACGUCGCUUGUGUUUUGGAAUUUAAAGCGACUCGCCAUGGCUGUAAAAGGAACCUGCUUUGUAGAUUUAUAACAUGAUUGGUAGAUUUAUUGCAUGAAUGGUAGAUUUAUAACAUGAUUGGUAGAUUUAUUGCAAUAUUGGUAGAUUUAUAACAUGAUUGGUAGAUUUAUUCCAUGAAUGGUAGAUUUAUAACAUGAUUGGUAGAUUUAUUGCAAUAUUGGUAGAUUUAUAACAUAAUUGGUAGAUUUAUUAUUGUAAAAUAGUAGAGUUUAGAUAAAACAAGUUCCAGAUUUACAAGUACAUAAAACAAGGUUUUCAAGCGGAUUAUUGCAGUCUAUAAUAGUACAAAUACAAGGUUUUCGAUUUGUCAACUAAGCUCGACAAGUUAGGCGAUUAUGUCCGCCUUGGCCACAGUUACCACAUUUGGGGAUCUUCCGAGGACGUUUACUCGCCAUGGCGGCCUCGAACGCACCCUUAAUCCGAAUUUUCUUUGGCCUGCCGGGUCGGUUGCGAACAUCAGGCGGGAGACAAAUUUUGGUUGCUACUUCAUCUGGCACAGGGAGUGCUACGUCUCUUGGCAUCACACUAACAGCAUACGCUUGUUGCAAGUAACUAGUGUGGUAGUAAUGAUGGCAAAGAGAGAUCGGCGACAACUUCCUCCUAUCGGCGGCGGCAAGGAAUUUUAUCCAAAUCAAACCGUCGACAAGUACAUGUUUUCUCCGUUAAAUUGACAACAUGUGCAGAUGUUGUGCCUAAAACCUCUGUACGAUGCUGAUCAAUCUCUUGCACAGGUAAGAGUUUAGCAUCUUCAACUCUAGCCUGUCGGCAAGGAAUUAUUUAGAAGUUAUAUAAGUCUACCACAUAGAAGUAAUAACUCUACCAAAUAAUUGAAAGUCUACUUAAUAGCAGAGAUAAGUGUACCAAGUCUACCAAAUAAUAGAAAGUCUACCUAAUAGCAGAUACAAGUCUACCAAAUAAUAGAAAGUCUAUCUAAUAGCAGAUACAAGUCUACCAAAUAAUAAAAAGUCUACAAGGUAAAGUAGUGUCUACCUCCAGCAACUUUUCAAUGCCCGUUGUUAGAGUGGUAGCCAUGUUAUUGGCAUUCACACGUCUUUUAGCAAACCACCUGGUCAGGAGACUUAUAUCAUCCACUAGUCGUACGAUAGGCUUACCUCUUGCAGCAGAUAGCACCUUGUUUAAUGACUCCGCUAUGUUGCUAGUGGUGAAAUUGUACCUAUCACCUUGGAAGUGUACACGACUCCACAUACAAAUAUCUGCCUUCACCAAGUAUGCAUGCAGUGCAGGAUUUGCCUCUUGAAUCUAAGCAAAAAGGGCAUUGAACUCGAGAAGUCUAUAAGCAGUGGCAGCCUUCUUAACAAGCUUGAAUGUUUCAGCGCCUCUGAAUUUCACCAUAAUGUUCUUAUGGAGAUGAUAUGUACAAAUACCCCGACUAGCAAGAGGAUAAACCUUCCCUAUAGCAUUUCCUAUGGAUUUAUGCCUAUCAGAAAUAAUGGCAAGUCCUUCAUCAUCAGGAAUAACACGGUGUAGUUGUGUAAAAAACCAUUCCCAAGACUCAUCGUUCUCAGUAUCAACAACAGCAAAGGCUAUGGGAAAAAUGUUGAAGUUUCCAUCUUGCGUGGUGGCGAGUAGUAGUGUACCUUUGUAUUUUCCAUGUAAAAACGUACCGUCGACCACUACCACUUUCCUCAUGAAGGGAAACCCCUGUAUGCUUGCGCCAAAUGAGAGGAACAUAAAUUUGAAUCUAUCUUCUUCAUCAACUUCUAGCUUGAUUAGUGUACCCGGAUUUGCCCGCCGAAUCAUAUAUAAGUAUGAAGGCAGAUCUUCAUAACCACUUUCAGACGUCCCUGAUACUAGUUCUCGAGCAUACUUUAGGGCCCGAUGGGCUUUCCAAUAGUCAACCUGAAAAUGAGAAUAAUAUAGUGAAGUCUACGAAAUAAGAUAAUAACUCUACCAAGUGAGAUAAUAACUCUACCAUAAAGAUAAUAACUCUACCAAGUGAGAAAAUAACUCUACCAAAUAAAUUAUAUAAGUCUACCAAAUAAAUUAUAUAAGUCUACCAAAUGACCUAAUAACUCUACCAAAGAAAUAAUAUAAGUCUACCAAUAAACUAAUAACUCUACCAAAAAAAAAAAUAUGUCUACCAAUUGAGGUAAUAACUCUACCAAAAAUAAUAAAAGUCUACUAAAAUAGAUAAUAACUCUACCAGAGAAGUAAUAUAACUCUACCACAUACCUUUAUACUAUAUCGUUUUGUCAGAGCUUCGGCGACGUGAUUUGGUAAGACUUUUGGGCCAACACCUCCGACGAAGUCCUUAUAUAGACGGCCUAGAACCUCAUGGGUUGCAUGGCGGGUGCGUUGUGAUCGCACAGUCACAGAACACGUGUGUUCUUGAGUAUAAGUUUUAACCCAAAAACAUUUGCUGCUCCCAACAGUUGAAGCGCGAACCCUCCAUUUGCAACCAUCUACCUAACACUUAACAGUUAGCAAUUUCUUACUCGAAUGAUCGACAUUGUAGUCGAAUUUGUGAGCAAUGGAAAGAAUUUUGAGUCGCAUCUCGAAGUCCUCUUUUGUUUCAUAACGCUGGCCAACGGCUAAGUCUAAAGAUGAAAGCUCUAGACAUUGAAAGUCGGGAAUUGUAGUCGGUCCCCUUUUCUUCGGUGGUAGAUUUAGCGACUCCUCCUCAUCUGAACUUUCACCAUCUGGACGUUUCUCACGUCUACCGUACUCUUCGCCAUCGGAACUUGCACCAUCAGGAUCUUCGCAUCCAUCAAAUCUGGUUGACAAAUCCUCUUCUUCAUCAUGCAUUUCUUCGUCUUGUCCAACUUCAACACCUUGUUGCGGACGAUCUUGGCGCACUUGUUCUUCAGGGACUAGACUAGGACAUGCAUCUCGAUCUUCGUCUUCAUCAACAACUCCCUUCUGAACUUUUUCUUUGAUCUCAACACAUAAACGAACCGUUUCGUUUUCGUUCUGGAAUUGAUGCAAAAAACUCUGCAGCUGUCUUGAAUUACCAAGAAACACAGGAGGUGUAUCUAGAGGUAAUUUCCGCCGGACUUCAGACGACAACAUAUAGCUGAACUGAAGCUCAUAAAGAUGUUGAUCCAACCCGAAAUCUUCAUAUGCGAUUUCAACCAAAUCGGCAAAGGACGUUUUGCGGUCUAUCCCUAUAAAACUACAUCUCUUGGACUGAUCUACGAUGAAGACCCACCUCGUUUUCUUUAAAACCCAGUUACCACAAACCAAAACAACUUGAUCCAUGAAUAUAAAAGUGGAUAAGAGGCACAAGAUCGAAGUAGAAGGAAAAAAUCAAGAGUUAUCCCAAGUUUAACAGCUCGACGGCGAAACCUAGAGGUUGAAGAUGGACUCUGGUUUUGUUCCGUAUUUUAGACAAUACAUACAGGGCAAAAAAGUAAAAUCGCACUGCCCGAUAACUAAGUCUACCACAUUGAUAUUGAAUCUAACAAUUUACAAACAAAUCUACCAUAUAGGUCACUAAGUCUACCAUUAAUAAACAUAUGUACUUGUAAUGUUUAUAGCUCUACCAACUAAAGUACAGUACAUUUAAGGAGGUGAAAACCCAGCAGAAAACAUAAACUUAUGAGCGAGUUUCGAUAUAAAUCGGCUGGUCUUGCGAUAUAAGCGAGUUCAAACGGUAAUAGCGACGUCUUGGCUUCGUCGAUUCCACCGACGGCGAAGGAGUACUCACACAUUAUUUGGUAUGAACAUUCAUAACCGCGGCAACAUAACUUUCAUAAGUCUACUUCAUAAUAAAAACAAAUCUACUUAAGUAAACAGAAGUCUUUCAACAAACAUGAAAGUACAACUACUGAUGCAAUCAACGUGGCCAAUCCAUAGCAAACGACGGUACUACCCACCAGAAAUUGGCACACUCCAAUUUCCAGAAGCAAGAUUCACAAAGUUGAUCCCCAUACGUCUCUAGCAGGUAUUCAUCUCCCAUCCAUUGCAUGUCUGGUACUUUGAGACAACCACAAAUCCUUGUACUUAAAGACUUUUUAUAAGCCUGGAAAACCAUUUCCACCAGUUCCUCGGGCUUCUGGAAAUUGAACGCAGGCAUAAAGAUCUUUUCCAUUGUCGAUCUCAUUUUCUUUGCAUCUUCCCGGGAGAGAGCUUUGACAGAGUUGAAUACCUCUGAUGUGCCAUCCAUGGUUAGAUGUAACAUAGUGUGGCAGUACUUACCCAUGAGAAAUCCGUUNNNNNNNNNNNNNNNNNNNNNNNNNNNNNNNNNNNNNNNNNNNNNNNNNNNNNNNNNNNNNNNNNNNNNNNNNNNNNNNNNNNNNNNNNNNNNNNNNNNNNNNNNNNNNNNNNNNNNNNNNNNNNNNNNNNNNNNNNNNNNNNNNNNNNNNNNNNNNNNNNNNNNNNNNNNNNNNNNNNNNNNNNNNNNNNNNNNNNNNNNNNNNNNNNNNNNNNNNNNNNNNNNNNNNNNNNNNNNNNNNNNNNNNNNNNNNNNNNNNNNNNNNNNNNNNNNNNNNNNNNNNNNNNNNNNNNNNNNNNNNNNNNNNNNNNNNNNNNNNNNNNNNNNNNNNNNNNNNNNNNNNNNNNNNNNNNNNNNNNNNNUCCCACCUCCACGGCAAGAUAAUGUUGAUUAAAUCAACAUUCCUAAGAAAACCCGCUUCGUUAGAGAUGUUGUUAAGUGUUUUGGACGAAACUUUUGCAAGACAAAGAUCCGCAUACGAGUUUGAAGAUAUUUUUAACAAUAUCUCGUACAAAAGAUCAGAAGGAAGCGACUCGAGAUUCGCCAUAGGGUUUAGCGGGAUGGGAAAUGAAUCGUCUCGGUUGUGGUAUUUAUAGAGAACUCACAAGAGAACUCGAAGCGACUCGAGUCAAUAGAAGUUCUCGAAAUCGAUGCGACUGUUCGUUGGAAAAUGCAUCAAGAGAAGUUCUCUAAAUCGAUGCGACGGUUCAUUGGUAACGGUUUAUGGUUACCGUUACCUUAGUCUACCAUAUGGACGAAAAUUGCAAGACGUACAACACUGCAACCAUAAGUCUACCAAACAGUAGGUUUUUUUGUUCAUAGAACAAUUCUUUUGGACAAAAAAGUAAUUUUACUCCAUAAAGUCAAAUGUCUGCCAAACAUUAACUACUAAGUCUACUUCAAGCAUGACAAAUAACUCUACCAUAUAAACAAGUCUACCAUAAGCAUGUCAUAUGUCUACCAGAUCAAGGUUAACUCUGUAAAUACCAAACUUAAUUAAUCUACCACAUUGUUAUUUCAAAAAGUCUACCAUACGGCCGAUAAGUCUACCAGAUUACAUAAACUCUACCAAACAUACAAACAAAUCUACCAACAUCUUGUAAGUCUACUUCAUGUCAUUAUUAAUCUACCACAAAUCAGAAUGAAAUUUAUUUAGAAUAUAAGUCUACCACAAAACAAACAUAUCUACCACAAAACAAAUAAAUCUACCAACAGUUUUUAAGUCUACCUCAUGUAACAUAUAAUCUACCACUCACCGGAAUGAAUUUUAAGUGAAACAAGUCUACCACAAGUCAAACAAAUCUACUACAAUAGCUAAAACUCUACCAACUAUAUAUAACUCUACCAUUAAACAGAUAUAUCUACCGCUACAACUAUAUAUACAACUUUUUUCACAUAAAUCUAUCGCUAAAGGAAAUAAGUCUACCAACUCAGAAAAUAAAUCUACUUCAUUGUCAAUAAAUCUACCGAAAAAGUCAACUAUGCGAGAAAGUCAACACUUUUGUUAACAAGUCUACCAAAACUUUUGACAAGUCUGCCAUUCAUAACAACAAAUCUACCGAAACAUAAUAAAUCUACCUCUCAUCGUCAAAACUCUACCAAGAAAAGUCUACCAACAUUUAAAAACUCUACCAACUCUUGAACAAAUCUACCAUCGCCCUAAUAACUCUACCAACAAAAUUUCUGCGUUGACCAAAUUUUCAUAAGUCUACCGCCAUUGCUUGGUAGACUUAUUAAUUUUUGAGCGCAUAAAUCUGCCUACGUGGCAGUAAAAAAGUAAUGGCAUUUUCGUAAUAAGGUUUUUUUCAACAAAGGCGAAAAGGGUGUUUUGGGUAUGUUAGGUUAGUUUUGUAAAAAAAUAAAAGUGCGUCGAACCAGUAAUAUAGAUACUUUCUAAGGUUAGUGUAGUAAUCCUCCCAUGAUAAAAUGAGACUCAAGAUGCACAAGAGAAAAUAAGAACAUAGAGAACAAAGUUGGAUAACACUAAACCCCUCCCACACACUUAAAUAAUACAGUCUCCUGUGUUAUAAAAGUAUGAGAAAGAGGAUAAACAAACAUGAAAUGCAAAAGAUAAAGAAAAAUGCUAAAUACUCAUGUACAAGUGUUUGGAGUGAUACCUUCUUAUGGACUUGGAGAUGGGGUUGGAGAAAGCUGGAGCAAGAGUCUCUUGUCUUCUGUUCAGCCUGGGUAAAAGGGCGUUCCAAGUCGCUCUGGGCAUGAUUUCCCCGAUGUUGAACCCGGAGUGUGCUCCAUUAUCUCAAGACUGAGUUUACACCGGGUCGCAUUUGUCCAAGGUUCUGCCCGGUGUGGCUAAUGCACGUUUCGAGGCUAGGACCACUCAGUGAUGCAUGUCUCCGAUGUUAACCUCGGUGUAAAACACCACGCUUGAGGUGAGGUUUACACCUCGGUCUUUUGAUGGUUGAGAAAGAUUGAAACUUGCUUGAAUCCUAAGUUGUUUAACUACAUGUCUAGAGCUCUAAGUUUCAUCAUAUUUAUAUCAUCAUCAUCUUGUGCUGUCUUUGUUUAUUGCUUUGUUUGCAUUUUAAUCCUAUUUUUAGUCCCGUUUAGGUUUCAUUUGUUACUUGUUACAACCAAUCUACUUAUUUCCUUGGAUUAUGACACAAACAUGAUAGACUAGUGUAUUAAACCACAUUGUUGGAUUGAUAUCCCUCUAUACUACAACAGAUAAAGGAGAUUGAUACCCUAAGAGCUUGAAAACUCUUGUCUAUUAAUUGGGGCCGUUGCCAGGGCCAAAACGUGUACUGUGGUAUGCGAGAAAAACCUGCCUCCGGUACGUGGUUUGUCCCAUACACUCUACAAUGCCAAUUUCAUCAUUUUUGCUCCUUUUUUCACCAUUUUUUCACCUGUAUUUCCACUCCAAAUGACCUCCAAAGUACUUAUUUGACAUUCUAAACAUGCAAGACUUACUUGGACUAAUGCAAAUUCCUAAAUGCUAAAAUAAUGCCUAAGAGCAUCAUUAUCGGUAAAUCUAUAAUGGAUUUCUUAAUAAUUUUUUAUUAUUAUAUUUGGAUUAAGAACCCUUCUUUAGAAAUUCAAUGUAUUGUAUGUUACAAUGCUAAAAACAUAGGUUCUUAAAAAAAUAUUUAAUAAUUUUUUUGUUUUAUACUAAAGUUUUUUUGUUUCCCUCAUUUCACAGCAUCUAUAUACUCUAACUAAUAUUUGUAUAAAAUCAUAUUAAACAAAUCAGAAGAUCGAAACAAAGUAAACGAUGUUAGUCAAACGCAUCUUGGUUAGCUACAAUGAAAUUAAUUUACACAAGACCAUGAUAAACUAGUAAUGAGAUUCUGUUUGGAUUUUAGUUUUAAUCGAUACCAUGAUAACUAGUAAUGAGAUUCUGUUUGGAUUUUAGUUUUAAUCGAUGAGUAUAACUUAACAUAUGAAUAGAUUUUCUUAUGUUGAUAAAAAAUGUGAGUUCUUUUGCUCCAUUAGCUCGGAAUGUUUGAAGAACAGAAUUGAAAUCAAGAUGAAUCUUCAAAUGAUCCAACAAAUACAAUGCCUUAUUCUCAGAUAAGUUGAUUAAGCAGAGUACUACUUACAUAAAAUCCGUAUAGGAUAGCCAACAACAUCGUUAUUCUCAGUAACAACAGUUUACCAUGUUGUUCUAUAUCUGUGUUAGAAAGAUUGAGACUUACUUGAUACCCAAAUAAAUAUGCUCUUGAAUACCAAAACCGAAGCAAUCAGUGUCGCUAAAGUUCCUUCUCAAAAGUUCGUAUUCUUUAACUUUCUGCCCACUCUCCAUGAGUUGCAUUGCCUUGU
rnacentral:lncRNA from 1 species